CUGCAGCUGAAUCUUUCUGCAGCUGAAAGGGAUAGAGCUUUAUUGUCAAUCGGAACUGAUCGUGCCUCUAUAAAUCCAAAUGUAUUGCUUGAUGAAUCUUACAUGGGAAGACUGUGUCGAGUAGCAACCACUCUUGCAUUACUUGGCCAAACUUCCCUAGAAGACAAAAUUGUUGGUGCAAUUGGCCUUGAGAAUAGUGAUGAUAGUGUUUUAGACUUCUGGAAUAUUACUAGAAUCGGAGAGAGUUGUUCUGGUGGCUGGUGGCGGGUGCAAGGUUCGUGCAGAAACUAAGGUGCCUGCUCUUGCUUCCUCAACUGCAACAUCUGUUGGAGCUUCACAAUCCCCUUUGUUGUGUUCUCAAUGUGAAAGAAAAGUUUGCAAAGUUUGUUGUGCAGGAAGAGGAGCUCUACUGUUUUCAAAUUAUAAAUCAAGGGAUGUGACCAACUACAAUGGCUUCUCAAGUCAGAGUGGAUCAAGCCAUGGAAGCCAAGUUGAUGUACCUACCAGUCGUUCACUAACACUGGAUGGCGUUGUCUGUAAACACUGCUGCCAUGAGAUUGUGCUUGAUGCAUUGAUGUUGGACCAUGUUAGGGUCUUGAUUAGCUUGCGAAGAAGUUCCCGUGCAGACAACACAGCAUACAAUGCUUUGAAUGAGGUUGUUGGAUCCUGCUUAAAGGAUAGUCUUUCUGAAAGGAUUCAGUCUUCCGAUAACGUGCAAGCUGCUGAAGUCCUUCACCAAUUAUGUGGUGGACAGGAAUCAGUUGCUGAAUUUCCAUUUGCUAGCUUUUUGCACUAGGUAUGUUCUUGGUUUGUAUUCAGUUCUCAUCAUGUUAUGUUUUCCUUUUAAAUUUCUUUUCUUGAUUAAAAUUUUUAGAAAUAUGUUUUAGUAUUUGUUCUUAUGAUAUAUGCCCAGAACAUUCAUCCCACUUAUCCAUGAGAAUCCUUGUCUGGUUUGAUUUUCAAUUGAGACAUUUUUGGGAACCCUGAGCAGGUUCCAUAUGCUAAUAAUCUUUGAGGUAAGGUGUUGUAGGAUGCCUUGAGAAGCUAAAAACCAAUUACAAGGAAAAGCUCUUGCAUUGUUUUGUGCAAUCUGUGUGCUAGCAAGUCAUGUCUCUAAUAAUUUCAUAGUUCGCUUGAUUGGAAUUUUUUAUCUUGAUAUGGAUUGUUUAUUCUAGAUUCCUUGGUGCCACUGUAGGUUGAAACAGCAAAAGAUUCAGCACCGAUUUUGUCACUGCUUGCUCCAUUAAAUUCUGGAUCAAGGCACUCAUAUUGGAGAGCUCCACCUAGUACUACUUCUGUUGAAUUUGUUAUUGUUCUCGGUUCUGUUUCUGAUGUCAGUGGGGUUAUCUUGCUUGUUAGUCCUUGCGGCUAUCUGUGGCUGACACUCCGAUGGUAAGUGCCAUAUUUAUUCCCUUAUUUCCUUGUUGUUCAAUAAAUUUGGUGAUAAGCCAAGUGGCCUUAAUAAUGAAGCCCAGUACCAGGGGUGGUGGGUAAUCGAUAUUCAACUUGUGAAUAUUCCUAAGCAAGCACGGAAUCAACAUAGACGUCGGCAAAAAUUCUCCAUGCUAUUAUAACGAAAGUCAUAUUUUGAAAUGAUUAAAAGAGUCCCUUUGUAGUGCCAUUGCCAAAGAAAUUGCAGCUGGGGGUUUAGUUUCAUGUAGGUUAGUUUCCGAUAAUAAACUUUCCAUUUCAUUAAUUGCUGAUGAAAAAACCAAGUAAGAACAGUUUCGUUGCUCGUCAUUUAUGUAUAUUUUGGUAAACUGUAAUUUUAAAUUCUCAACGAUCUUCCCUUGGUAGGUAAGAAGAUGGUCCACUCACUUUAUAUUUAUGAUUGUAGAUCAGGUUUCUAUUGGUUUGCCUUUAUCAUUGGGAACCCAAGUUUGAUAUUAACAGAGAUCACGUCAAUAAUAUCCUAUUUGGGUAGAUGUGGGUGAGGAUUUAAAAUCAAAUUUGAAAUUGGGGGAAAGAAGAGAAAAGGAACCACAAUAAUUAAACAAAAUAUUAGGAACUAUUCUGAUGAGUUUUAAUCUCGAGAGGAACAAUUUUCAAAUGCAAAUUUAACUGCUAGAGAAAUUGUAGCUUUUUGUCAUUAGUUAAGAGGAAAGAGAAUAAGAACUAUCCAGCCCUUUCCUUCAUGAAUGUGUGUUGAGGUUGCUGUAUUAUUUAGUCAGUAUUUGUAAUUUUCUUCCCUGCAGUGCUCUCUGCCUCCUGAAUUUGCUACUGAGUCCAUAUUUUUCUUUGAGCUGUUGCUUCCUAUUGCUGUUACAAGUACAAAUCUGGGCAAGCAAUAAGAUACACCGGGAGGAAAGGUCAUCAAUGGGAAAAUGGGAUGUCCAAUCCCUCAUCACAUCUUCUUCAGACUUGUAUGGUCCAGAAAAGACAGCUAGUGUUGAAAAAUUACCUAGGCAUGUAAAAUUUACUUUUAAGAAUCCUGUUAGGUGCCGCAUUGUUUGGAUCACAUUACGUCUUCAGAGACCUGGUUCGGCUUCAGUUAAUUUCGGGAAGGACUUCAGUCUUUUGUCUCUUGAUGAAGAUGAAAACCCCUUUGCGCAAGUAGACAGACGUGCUUCAUUUGGAGGAGCAGUUGAAAAUGAACCAUGUAUUCAUGCCAAAAGAAUUCUUGUAGUCGGAAGCCCAGUAAAAAGGGAGGGGCUUACCUCAUCACAGAGCUCUGAGCAGCUAAGUAUUAGAAACUGGUUGGAUAGAGCUCCACAAAUGAGUAGAUUCAAGGUAUUAGUUGCUUUCACUCUUUGUUCAUUCAUAAUUCCAGCUUUCUGCUUGAUGCCCUGCCUCUGAUAAACCUCUUUUUUUCUCUUCAGGUCCCAAUUGAGGCCAAGAGAUUGAUGGACUACGAUCUCGUCUUGGAACAAUAUCUACCUCCAGCGUCACCUUUGCUUGCCGGAUUCCAUCUAGACGCUUUCAGUGCAAUAAAACCUAGGGUUACCCAUUCACCUUCCUCAGAUUCAGAUAUCUGGGACAAAUCAGUAACAUUUUUAGAAGACAGGUACAUCUCUCAAGCUGUGUUGUAUUUACAAGUAUCCGCACUCCAGGAACCACAUAACAUGGUAACUAUUGCGGAAUAUCGACUGCCGGAGGCUAGAGCCGGAACGCCAAUGUACUUUGAUUUCCCAUGACCGAUACAGUCCCGACGAGUUUCAUUCAAGCUUCUUGGAGAUGUUACAGCAUUUGCAGAUGAACCUUCAGAACAAGAUGAUUCAGGAUUGAGAGCUCCACUUGUGGCCACAGGUUUGUCUUUGUCAAACAGAAUCAAGUUAUAUUAUUAUUGUGAUCCUUAUGAGCUCGGAAAAUGGGCAAGCCUUUCUGGAGUUUGAUCGUUAUUUAUAUGUCAGAGAAAGGGUUUUGGGUUUGAUUUUGAUUUUGAUUUGUAAUUUUUGUCAGUUUAUUGAAAUUUUUUGUUGUAUAAAAGCAGAAUGUAAAGGUAUAAAAAUUCAUUGAUGCUGCAAUGUCUGUGCUUUUGAGAAAGAAGAAUUAAUUGUCUUUUCUAUGCCAUUGGAGUUUCCCACUGCUUGUAUACUUGGGCUGUCGAAUGCUCUGUGAACCUUAAGGGCUAUAAAGUAAUUUUCAAGACUGAAGGAUUUAUUAAUCGAGUUCAAAAGAUUGUAAGUUGGUGACUGGUGAGCGUUGGCAUUUAAAAAUCAAUUGUUAUUCUCUCAAUAAUCUCUCUCUUCUCCUCGUGAAGUGUUUUCUUUUUCGAGUGAAGGUGGUUUUCCACUUGCAUACGUCGGGGGUCUUAUGAUAUGUAAUGUGUGAAAUUUCUUUCUCAUUUUACCAUAAAGAAAAAUGUUGUAAUAAUCUAAAGCUCGAGUCUUAAAUUAUCUUAAAUUUAUAUUUAGAGUGGAGCUAUUCGCAACCCUAUAUUAAAAUUACAAUUAAAAACAAUUGAAAAUUAAACACUUAUAGAUUCUUUUUACAGCAAAUUACUUAAUUCAUAAUCAAUCCUUUAAAAAAAAAAUACAUAUGUUAUUUCUUAUCUAACUAAAAUAAAUUGUACAAAUUUAGAAUAAUCUAUUGUUCUCUUUUGAUUUCUUAUUAUUUAAAUAUUUUUAUACAUAAAGUUACUUUGAAAUUAUAAUUUGAAAUAUGUGUUAUUUCAGCCAAUGAUUAACACUAAAAAAUUUAUCACCCAUAUAACUUUUUAAUUUGUGUGUAGGGUAAUAAUAAAAUCGAAAAUAAUUAAAAAAAUAGUACAAUAAUGAUUUUUAACAAUAAAACAAAUCAAAUGAAAAUUGAAAAUUUAGAAAAGUGUAUCUAAAAAAAGGAACGUUUUCAAAAAUAAAAUGAAUAUAACUAAAAAGAGAUUUUAUGAGGAGAUCACUGGGGUGCCAAUAGUCCAACUUGUAAUUAAGAAUCUCCCAUUAUAUUGUCAACCAAAAAGACACUUGAAUAAGAAGAAGAAUUUAUCAGUUUGAUUUUAUUUGUAGAUCCAACAUUUCUCAUAUCCUGAACGCCUUUUCGUAUCAAAUUAAAACAGUAGUAGCAAAAUCGUAGUAUUAAAAUCGUAGUGCACAUUCAAUUAACCAACUAAUAGUCUUUGGUAUAAGAUUUUAUAUUAGGUAGCCAAGUAGGUUGUCCAUCCCACUCAGACAUGCACGAAAGCUAAAUUCAUCAAAUGAAUUACUUAAGAAGUAUUUGAUAAUUUUGAAAUUAUCAAAAGGUGUUAUACUAUUAAAUAUUUUUAUACUUAAAAUUGUUUUGAAAUUAUAAGUUCAAAUUAAAAUAAUAGUAGCAAAAUCGUAGUGCACAUUCAAUUAACCAACUAAUAGUCUAAGAAGCAAAGAGAGGAUUACAAGUUCACAACACCAUUACAAAGGAUUCAAAAUUCCCACACGAAUACAUCAAUGUACAGAUUAUAAACAAUCCGAAUUGGACACAAGAAAAACCCUUCAAUAGAUUGCUUGCCUUCCCAAUGCUAUAUACUGUGCAAACUGCGCAUUGGCCAAGAAAAUGUUUUCAAUUUAGUGUAUUUUCAAAAUGCUUAUUUUCUCAUAGUAUAAAAAAUAAAAAAAAUAAGAAAGAAUUCUCACAUGUUUCAUCAGCAUGAUUAAAAUCAAAGAAGAAAGCGAGACAUAAUGUCUCUGACAUAAUAAAAUUACAAAAAUUUCAAGGAAAAAAAAAGGUUAAAACAUGUAAUCUUCAGAAGCAUAUAAUAAAAGAACACUUCCACAAAUUACUACAAUUUCAUGCAGUAGAGAUUGAAGAGUUGAAUUCCACUAAUUUUAAUAAUGAAAACAACAACAGAGGAUUAACUGAUGCUUUGACUUAUUAGUUCUGCAGAGCAUCUCCAAAAGCCUAUAUAAAUUUUACUCUUCAAAUACUUAUUUGCUUACCUAUGUGGCAAAUAAAAGGGUGAAAAAAUAUGAUAUUCUCCAAAAGACUCUUCAAAUAGAAAAAAGUUAAUAUUAUUUUAAUCAUAUAAUUAAUUUUUUAAAGAAAAAGUCAAUAGCAAUUAAAGCACUUCUCUCUCUUUCUUCAAUGAAAAGUAAUAAAAUAUAAAUUGAAGAGGGAGAAAUUAACUCUCCAAAUUUGAAGAGAGAGAAUUAAUUCUUAUUUAAAGAAUCUUAAUUGAAGUGUCUUUUGGAGCUUUAAAUAUUGAUGUGGCUCUUCAAAUAAGUAAUAAAAUCUUAUUUGAAGAGCCUUUAAAUAAGGUGCUUUCAAAAGCAAAAUGGAAUACAUAGAUAAAAACAUCAUCUUAAACAAAUCACAAUCUAGAAUUAGAGCAUUUUCGACAUACCUAAGGAAAACGAAUACGUGAAAACGGGUGAUUCAUUUGUUAAGGAGUGUUGAUUUGGUCGUCUCUGCAAAUUCUUUAGGGACUCGGUUCCAAUUCCUCAUCAUCAAAACUGUAAUAUAAUUCCCCUUCAUCAGAACUCGAAUCGAUGCAAUAUAAUUCCCCUUCAUCAGAACUCGAAUCAAAUUCACUUGCAGCAGUUCCACUCGCGCUUGGCAAAUCAUCCAAUUUCCAAACUUCGGUAGCAAAAUUGAGAGUAAAAGUGUUGGCUUUGAUCUCGCUGGGAUUUGCAUAUACUGGACAUACUCCGCAACGUUUUAUCUUCUGACCCUUUUGGACCUUUAUUAUGUUUCGGUAACGCUCAUUGAAGAACUUAAGUGAGACAGUUGUAUGAUGGUAACCAUCAGGAAAGCCAACAUUCAAGCAAGGUUUAAAACCAAGUAUGACAUGAUCUGAAUCAUGGGGGUCUUUAAUAGAGUCCCAAUAGAAACUCAGAUCAACAUGUUUGGUUUCAGAGAGAGUCUUUAUUUCUAAGUCGGAUCGACAGUAAACGUAAAAAUAACGAGAACGAUCAGAAUAAAGUUGCUUAAAAUCAAGAACAGCACAAAAAGCAAACCCGAUUAAGUUUCUGCAAAAAGAGUGCGGUGGCAGUUGAAUACGUAUCGAAGAUCCUGAACUUUGAUUGCUGAACCAGUCAGGAAUUUCGCUCCCAGGUAAAACAAUUUGGGAUUCCCUGAGUUCAGAAAGUUUCUGUGAAACGACAUUUAAAAAAAGAAAAUUGUAAAAUGAAAACCAUGAUUUCAGAUAUAACAAAGAGGGACAGAGUAAACAAGAGAGGGAAUUUGAUACCUCGUUGUAUGCAUUUUCAUAGCCCAGUCUCAGUGAUGCUGCAAUUGCCAUACGUAGUGAAUCUGCCAAAAUCUUGUUGUUUGCUUUUCCAUCAAGUUUCAAGCAGUUAGUAAACCCAAAAUAAAUUGGUUGUGGCGUCACAUAUUCCGGAUGCCAUUGACGAAGGUCAGGAGAGGGUUUGGAUAGCUUUUCGAGUACGGAUGCAUCUAGUUCUUGUACACAUGACGGAAUCUCUGGCAAAGAUUGAAGCCGGUUGCAGUUCAUUGCAAUUAGUGACUGUAGACACAAUGGAAGUUCAGGUAAUGACCGAAGCAUGUUACAAUCCUCCAAGUGAAGAGUUUCUAAACCCAAUGGAAGUGCUGGUAAUGACUGAAGCAUGUUACAACGCCACAAGUGAAGAGUUUCUAGACCCAAUGGAAGUUCUGGUAAUGACUGAAGUAUCUUACAAUCCCUCAAUUCAAGAAAUUUUAGGCCCAAUGGAAGUUCUGGUAAUGACUGAAGCAUAUUACAAUCCUCCAAGUAAAGAUAACUUAGCCACGACAGUUGCUUGAUACUUGCAGGUAAACUCUCAAAGUUAUUUCCAUUUAAAUUGCCAAUGUUAUCCGGCAACUUAUCAAGUACAGAGCAACCACUUACGGACAAAAGUACAAGCCCCGUUUGCAAUGCCUCAAAUCCAACUUUUCAAGAUCAGUUAGGCACUCUACUGAUGAUGGAACUUCUUCUAUUGCAGUCUGGCCCAAGUUUAGCGAUGUUACUUUCCCAGAAAUCUGUGGAAACUCUAUGAGAUUAACACAAUAGGAGAAAUCAAUAGUUACUGGACAAACAAAAUGAAGAUUGCUAGGAAAAGACCUAAGACUUUUGCAGCCCAUAAAAUCCAACCUACUGAGAUACUUGAAAUUCUGGAUAUAUGAGGGAACACAAGCCAAGUUUGUAUAAUCCAAAAGAUAUGUUUCAACAUUUGGGGUUUCUAAUGGGCCUGGCAUCUUAAUGAAAUGUCGAGAAUGGCUGAGGUUAAUAGAUUUUAACUUGAAAGCUUCCUGCAAUAACAGAUAUAUAAAGACUAUAUUAAUUAAAAAGCAACAUUGAAUUCAACAAUUAAUUGCACGUAUAUUUAAAGAAAGAAAAAAUUAAUGUUUUAGUUUUAGUACAGAACUUACCUUUUCUCCUUCCCAAAGUUGCUCAACUUUACUAAAACGCAAAUUCAGUUCAACAAGGUUCUUUGGCUUGAAAUUUGAUGGCAGUGUCCUUAAGGGAUAUGUGUCCCAAUGAAGAUAUCUCAAUUUUUUAGGAAGAUAAUCUAGGCCAUUUGGAAGCUGCACUUUAGAGUAUGAAAGUUGCUCUUCAAUGCUCAUACUUAGAAACUUUUCAAUCUCAGGUACAUAAAAUUUGAGCAAUCUUAGAUUAGACAUUUUUGUGAAGGCUCCAGGGUCUAAAUUGAUGCCUUUUAUUUUGGACAAAUCCAGAAAUAUGCCUUCAAUUGCAUCGGUCCCCUUAUUAAAAAAAAAAACAAAGAAUGAGUAACCCUAAAACAGAAAAGAAACAUUCGCAAACUUUAUUAACUAAGAACUCCUUAAACAAAAACAAAUUCUGCAAUCUUUGAUUUUAUUUUUUAAAAAUAUUAAAUAUCUAUAUAUGAGAAAAGAAAAUUUUGGGGACCAUUGCAAAAUUAAACUAACCAAAAAAAAAAUUCAAAAUUUCUCUAAUUUACAAACCUGUUAUCUUAAUAUCUAGAAGUUGAGAAGACAAGGCGUAUUUGAUUGGUAUAAGAUUUCGAUUUUUUUUUUAGUCCAUAGAAUCCAAAAUGUUUGUUCAAAAUCAGGGAAAAAAACGAAAGUUAUUUUUUUUUCCACUAGCUGUAAUUGUAUCCAAGUCAAAUUGAGAUACGACCCUUUUCGAAAGGAUUUAAUCAUCUUAUAGCCUCCUUAAGAUACAUUUAAGCUAAAAGGAGUGAUUGGAGGCAGAACUUAGUGGGCCAAUCAGUUCAUUUUAUUAGCGACUGUUGCUUAAAAAAAAUUAUACUCUAAAACACACUUACUUUUUUGAAAAAAAAUAUAAUUAUAUUUAAGUAGAACCAGGUGGGCCAAUCCUCAUGGCACUCACUUUGUUCUGACACUCUUCACUAAAUUUGAAGAAAAAUAAAAUUAUACUCUUCACACUCUUAUUCAACAUUCCAAAAUUGAUAAAAUCUGGAGUUUUCUUUAAAAUUUUAAAAUUUGAAGACUUGUUCUCUUGACACCCUCAGUCAUUAAUUUUACCUAAUUAUGGUUUUGGUUGUUUUGUUCAUAAAAAUGCUUUUACUAAAGGAUGUUCUGGUAAUGAAAAAAUUUAUAAAAAAACAAACAUGGGUGUGCUGAUAUAGUUGGAAAAAUAUGAGUGCAUAACUCCAAACAAAUAAAAGAUACAUAAAAAAAAAAAAGGAGGAUUCUUACCAUAUUAUGCUUUAGUACGCGGCGGAUUUCCUUAGGAUCCCACAACCUACUGCGUCUGCCUGGCUCUUCCUCAGAUUCUUGGCGAACAAUCUCUCGGCCCAUUUCUUGCAAUAAAUCAUGCAUUUGCAAGCAGUUAUCUGACACUGUUAUAAGUGACUUGUCCACGAGGACAUCCAGUCUGUGAGACCCAGAAUCAUCAAGUAUCCUUAACACAAAAUCUUUAUCCUCUCCCUCAAGGAAACACGCAAUAUCUAGAAACAUACUCUUCACCCUGGGCGUUAAUUCUUUAAAACUAAUCUUUAAUGUAUCAUAAAUACCAUGAAUAUCAGAUUCACAAAUCCGAUUUAAGUCGUCCAAUACAUUUUCCCAAUGGCUUUUCCCCUUGAGAUACAGGGAGGAACCCAACACUUUAAGAACUAAUGGAUUGCCAUCGGCAUACCAUACAACCCUCCAUGAGUGCCGGUAGAGAUCUUCAGGACAAUGAUUUUCUUUAACAGCGAAGUUACAAAAAUGCUCGAAAGCCUCAUCAAAUUUCAAUCCAUUGACCCUAUAUAUUUUCUCCACUCCAAAUUUUUCGAGGACUCGUUUAUCCCUGGUGGUUACAACAAUUCUACUUCCUGGACCAUAUUGAUCAAGCCCUCCAAUCAAACCCUCUAAUUGUUCAUCUUUAUUCACAUCAUCGAGUACAAUCAACACCUUCAUGCGUCGGACCCUCCCUUUAGUAAAUUGUGGAAUAUUGGGACCAGCUACUUCAAGUUUUUCACUUAAUAUUGUCGAAAGCAUUUCCUUUUGUAGGUCUUCUAGGCCACCCUCUGUUUCUGAUUUUCUCCUAACAUUUUUUGCAAAGUAUUUACCAUCAAACUCACCAGAGAAUUGAUCGAAAAUAGCUUCAGCAAGGGUAGUUUUGCCUAUACCACCCGUGCCCCAAAUUCCAACAAUAUGGACAGUAUCCCACAAAUCCAUACACAGAAAUGGUUUAAUCUGCUCAAUUCGUGAAUUUAAUCCAACUAGGCCAUUGGAUGAGUCCGUUGAGACUGUUAUUUUUUCCAACUUCUUCAAAACAUCAUCGACAAUUUUGUUUACAAGUUCCGCAUCGUGCCUAAUAUAAAGGUGCAAAGAUGCAAAAACAUUGAGUCAAAUCGGGCCAAGACAGAAACAGAGAAAAGAUGAAUUAGGAAAGAGAGUUACCUGAAUUUCGUGGAUUCAUGGCCGGCUAGAUGGGAUGUUUCUGUCAGUGCAUCCCUCCACUUCUGAACCAUUUCUGGUUUAUCUUCGAACUGUUUUUUGAGCUCAUCAAAACGGUCUCCAAAUGUUCCGUUUUGAUGCCGCACAUCAGAUGGACUUACUCCAUAGAAGACUGGAAUAAUAAUUUGGCCGUUUGUGUUCUUGCAUUCAAGAAUCUUGACAAGUUCAUUCAGGCACCAUUUUGAAGAAGCGUAGUCCUUUGAGAAAAUGACCACCGAAAUUUUUGAACCUUGGAUUGCGUUCAAAAGGGCGGGUGAAAUCUCAUCUCCUCGCCUAAGCUCUUCAUCAUCAAUAAAUGUUUUGAUUUUUUUUCCUUCAUACAAUUUAUCAUAAAGAUAGCAAGUAAAGCUCUUACGAGUGUCCUCCCCUCUAAAGUUGAGGAAGACUUCAUAAUUGCAAGAAGAAGAAGAGGAAGCCAUGAAGGAAAUUCUAGAAAUUUGAAAGUAGAUUUAGGGAAUUAUAAAAAGCUGAAGGAAAUUGGAAUUUUGUACAGUUUCUCCAGCGAGGAACUUUCACCUCCGCACUAGAUUCUUAAGUUUUGAAAAUUAUGAGACCUUUAUAUUGGAAGAUAUUAUAAUCGAAUCAAAACUUAAAAUUUUAAUAUUGUUAAUCUUUAAUCUUUAAAAAAAAAUUACCUCGCCGUUACAGUUUGGAUUAAGAUUUGAGCAAGCAUUUACCUAAAUUUUAUCUCCGCCUGUAAAUUCUUAUGUUUUAAAAAUUAUGAGACCUUUAUAUUGGGAGAUAUUAUAAUCGAAUCAAAAUUUUGAAUUUCAAUAUUAUUAUUCUUUUAAAAAAAAAAUUGAGAUAACAGAGUGAUUGAUAAUAUAGGAGAACUUGUCUAGGCAAGCACAUGCAUACACAGAAAUGUGAUGGAUUCAAAAAGAAAUUAAAGUGAUAAUGUACGUGGAUCCUUAAAAUAAAAAGCGAAAUCGCUUGGUGGCCCAGUAAAAUUAGAGAACAAAGAAGAAUUAGUUAUUGAUAUACAAAAGAGAAACACUCCAAAAUUUCAAGCAAAAAUAGUUUCAUAUACCAUUUCAAUUUUGUAAGGGGUGAGGUUUUGAAUUUCAAUAGUUUCCUCUAAAAUCAAAAGGCAACAAUUAAGUUAGAAAGAGCAAAGAAGACUUAUUAGUACCUUAUUAAAGGUAACAUUAUGGAACUUUCAAUUUCAUUACCUCACUCUUCAAUUUUUAUUGAGAUUUGUGCAAGAAUUUACCUAAAUAUUACCUAAAAUUGAGAUAUCAGAGUAAUAUCAAAUAGAAAAACUUGCCACGGUAAGCCAAAAGUCUAGUCAACCACAUGCAUAAAGCUAAAUAGAACAACUAACAAGAGAACAGAGAAACGCGUGGGUCCCUAAAAGAAAAGGCAAGCACAUAGAUGAAAAAGCCAUUACAUUUCGAUUUUACAUGUCAUUAAUUUCUGUAACACGGUGUGUGGCAGCAUAUGCACAAUCAAGUGAGGCAAAAGGGAUUCGAUUAUCGUGGCAGAACAUGAACGAGGACGCGUGAUGAAUAAUUCCUUCGAUAAAACGAAAAACAAACGCAGAGAAAAGAAUUUCUUAUAUGACAAGAAAUCAAAGAAAUCAAAGUAAUGUUUCAUUUUCCCUUCCCUACCUUUUUUUUGUUUUAUUUUUAUAGCAAAGAAUUAUAUCAUGAAAAGAAUCAAUUUAAUCACCUUUUCUAGCAGCACAAUUUUUCUUUUAUAAAAUUUGACCAGGGAGACAAAGAAUAAUUAUUCAUACCUUCAUCACUAAGGAAAUACUUUUCGGUAUGGCUAAGGUGAGAAAAGGCUUUCCACAAAAACUUGUACUUUGUAUUCCUGUAAAUUUUCUUUAAAGUCAAUAAAAACCAUAAGUUCUUUACAAUAACCAUCUCUUUGAUAAAAAAGUGCCGUAUUCCUUUAGAAUUUAAAACCGGCAAAACUGAAUCAGUGUCUUUGAAGAGACAUAAUGGUCGUAAUUCUUUAAAUGAGUUGGCUAUGGAAAUCGUUAUCCAAGAUUCUUUUACGCCAUAUUCUUUCGUAAACCAAAAUUCAUUUUGGAAUACUCUGUUGAGAAUGUCAAAUAAAACGGCAUUGAAGGAAGUUUUCAAAGGCAGAAUCUGCACUUGUCAGAUGGAUGAUCUGCACUUGUCAAAGACACAAUCCGCGUCGAACGAAUCGACACAUUUCCUUUCGUAUUCACAUAUGCAAUUUUUGAAAAAAUGUAGCUUUUACAUCUAUAAAUAACACUCAGUGUAUAAUGUUUUAUUCAAGAAAAGAAAACAAGUUUCUUCAUGGUAUCAGAGCCAUGAAUACGCUCAAGUUUCUUCAAGUUUCGCUGCUCUGUUUGUAACAAAAACAGAGAAAACCAAAAUCUUCCCACAACCAUUUUUUCCACCAUUUUCUUCCUUAAAAUCAUUCCUACCAUUAUAGAAAUCCAUGCCGAUCAAAAAACAAGCCACCCAUACGUAAAAAACUUGAGUUUACAAAUUUAUCAACAAUCUCAUAAAUUAGAUACAAAACAACGUGAUGUUAAAUCUCCAGAACUGCAGCAGUCUUAAAACGACAUGUCGUUUCUAUUCCAUCAGAACCGACAUAUCAUUUCUUUAAGCAGAGGCCAAACGACUUGUCGUUUUUUUUUUUAUCUAAAAAAGUUAUUUUUUCUUAUUUCAAUCUAGACGCCAAAAAAAAAACAAAAAAAUGGAGAAAACUCCAACUGAAUCUGAUCCUGUUGUCAUUCAAUCUGUUCAAUCUGAUGAGUAUUUAAUGUUGGAAUUAUCUUCACUGAGACAAACUACGAUAUUUGGUCUUAAAUAAUGGAGUUGCAUCUCGCAGAAAGAGAAAAACUCUCAUAUAUUUGUAGCAACACAAAGUCAUCUGAGGAAUCUUCAAAGGAAUAUGAGAAAUGGUAUAGUGAGAAUGAAAAGGUAAAAAAAUGGUUACUCAUAUCCAUGUCUCUGGAUAUCAUGAAGUGAUAUUUACGAAUUCCUACAGCCUACGAAAUAUGGGAUGCAUUAUCAAAAGCCUUCUAUGAUGGAAUCGAUGAAUUACAAGUUUUCACUCUAAACCAGAAGGCGUCUCUACCAAGAAAAAUUGACAGCCACUAUCUAAAUUCUACGGAGAAUUGAUCGAAAUAUUUUGAGAACUUGAUCACCGAGAUAAAGUGAUCAUGAAGGAUCCAGAAGAUGUUGUAAUAUACAAAAGGUCUGUUGAAAGAUUGAGAGUUCACAUUUUUCUUGUUGGGCUAGAUGAAGAAUUUAACCAAGUUCGUGGAGAAAUUCUAUGAAAAGAUAUUAUCCCAGACUUAGAAGAAUGUUAUUCUUUGAUCUGAAGAGAAGAUGUACGGCAAAACAAACUAAACAAGAAGGUCGACUCAGAAACGUUUGCUAUGAUAGCACGACAACAGCCUCAAAGGAAGCUUGUUGACAAGUCAUCACUCCAUUGCACUCAUUGUAGGAAGAAGGGUCAUAUGAAAGCACAAUAUUUUGAAAUCAUUUGAUAUCCUGACUGGUGGGAUACUUGAAAGAAAAACAUCAAGCAGGGAUAAAAAACUGCAGUAGCUGAAUCCACAUCCACUACAGAUCUUAGAAAAGAAUCUUCAGUGCAAAUCGCAACCUCUGUUAGUCCAGGUAAGGCCCUUAAAACUCUUAUACUUGUUAUUAAUAGUACAUGGAUAAUUGAUUCUGGGGCAACUGAUCAUAUGACUUUUGAUUCUCGACAAGUUUCUCAAUUGAUACCAUCUUCACAAAAACAUGUUUCCACUCCAAAUGGAACCACAACCUUAGUUAUUGGGGAAGGAUCUUUACGACUCACAUAUAAAUUAAAUUUAGACUCUGUGUUAAUUGUUCCAUCUUUAGAUUAUAAUCUUUUAUCUGUGUCUCAAUUAACCACUUACUUAUCAUGUGUUGUAAUUUUUUGGCCUGAUCAUUGUGUGUUUAAAGACAUCCAAACGAAGCAAACGAUUGGUUAUGGUAUUAGACGGGGCCACUUGUACUAUUUGGAGAUGACAUCAACAAACACUGGAAAGCUAAGCCCUGCACUAGUCGCAGAUAGUUCCAUAAAAAAAAGGAAAUCAGAAAUUUGGUUAUGGCAUAGACGUUUAGGGCAUGUGUCAUUUGGUUACUUAAAAAAAUUAUUUCCUAGUUUAUUUCUGAAAUUUGAUAUUUGUAACUUUAAAUGUGAUGUUUGUGAACUUUUAAAAAGUCAUCGAACUACUUUUCCAUUGUCCUUAAAUAAGAAUCAAGUUCCUUUUAUGGUAGUACAUUCUGAUGUAUGGGGGCCAUCGAAAGUUUCUACAAUUGGAGGUGCUCGUUGGUUUGUUACAUUUAUUGAUGAUUGUAGCAGAAUGACAUAGAUUUUUCUGAUGAAAUCGAAAGACGAAGUAAACUCUUUAUUUUAAAGAUUUCAUAAGAUGGUGACGACUCAAUUUCAGACACAAAUUCGAGUUCUACAUACUGAUAAUGGAGGCGAGUAUAUGAGCACAACAAUUCAACAGUUUCUGAAAUCACAAGGAACUGUCCAUCAAACCACUUGUGUGGGGACACCCCAACAAAAUGGCAUUGUUGAACGAAAAAACAGACAUUUACUAGAAGUUGUUCGAGCAUCACUAAUCCAGGCCCACAUGCCACUAUCUUAUUAGGGAGAAGCACUGGCAUCCGCAGCAUACUUGAUCAAUCGAACACCUUCAAGCUCCCUUGGAUUCCAGACUCUUUUCCAGGUUCUAAAUGAUGCAAUUAUGUCACCAAAUGUGCCGAAUUUACCCCCACAUGUGUUUGGCUGUGUUGCCUUCGUUCAUUUGCCGCAACAAGACAAAUUAUCUCCUCGAGCACUACGUUGUGUGUUUGUAGGGUAUGCCUUACAGCAAAAGGGAUACCGAUGAUAUGAUCCACCAUCAAGAAAAAUAUACAUCACCAUGGAUGUCGUCUUUCAUGAAGAUAUCAUAUACUACUUGUCAAAGCCUGAAUUUCAGGGGGAGUAUAAUGAAGAGGAAAUUCAUAAUCUUAUAUAUCUUCCACCUAAAGAAGAUCAAUCUUCCAUUGAGGUUGUAAACCUUCAAGAUACUGGAAAAGAAAAUGGUGGUGAUUCUCAGGCUGAGAUAAGUGAAGACACAUUUGGGGAGCAAAAUAACUUAGACACAACUGCAAUCGAGAAUGAGUCACAUGAAGAAAUACCUAACUAAUCGUCUGCAGAGGAUGUUCCUACCACAAGUCCUAGUCUAGUCAGAAGAAUUCUUCCUCAGCGUCAAAAUAGAGGUAUCCCUAAACCCACAUAUGAGCCCGACCUUUCUAGUAGAGUCAAAUACCCUAUGAUUUAUUUUGUGUCUAACCAUCGCUUGUCAGAAUCAAAUCAGUCAUUUGUGAAUCAAUUAUCUACUGUAUCUAUUCCUAAUAGUGUGCAGGAAGCCUUAAAAGACCCAAAGUGGAAAGCGACUAUGAAUGACGAAAUGUGAUCUCUUCAAAAAAAUCAAACAUGGGAACUAGUUGAUCUUCCACCUGGAAAGAAACCAGUGGGUUUCCGAUGGAUCUACACUAUAAAGUACAAAGCAGAUGGCUCUAUUGAACGAUACAAAGCAAGGCUCGUAGCUAAGGGUUACACCCAAACCUACGGGAUAGAUUAUGCCAAUAUGUUUGCACCGGUAGCAAAAAUUAAUACUAUUCGUAUCUUAUUAUCAUUAGCAGUCAACUUGGAUUGGCCAGUGUAACAGUUCGAUGUAAAGAAUGCUUUCCUCCAUGGAGACCUGUCUGAAAAAAUUUAUAUGGAUAUGCCACCAGGAUGUAGUGGACCAGAACGACUCAAUCAGAAAGUAUGCAAAUUGAAGAAAUCAUUGUAUGGGUUGAAGCAACCCCUAAGAGCAUGGUUCGGGAAAUUCACAAAGGCUAUGGUUCUUUUUGGGUAUAACCAAAGCAAUUCAGAUCAUACCUUGUUCAUUAAAAAAUGACAAGGUAAAAUCACUGCCCUCAUUUUCUAUGUGGAUGAUAUGGUAGUCAUAGGUAACGACGGGGAAGCAAGAGAGGCUCUUCAGAAGUACUUGUCGAGAGAGUUUGAGAUGAAGGAUUUAUGAGCCUUAAAAUACUUUCUUGGAAUUGAGGUUUCUCGAUCUAAGGGAGGAAUUUUCCUGUCUCAAAGGAAAUAUGCUUUAGAUCUAUUAAACGAAACGUGAAUGACAGCUUGUCAGCCUAUUGACACCCCAAUAGAAGAAGGACUGAAGUUUUGUAUUACCUCAGACUAAGUUCCAGUAGACAAAGGAAGAUAUCAAAGGCUGAUUGGAAGAUUGAUGUACUUGUCCCACACAAGGCCAGCUCUUGCUUAUGCAUUGAGUGUUGUAAGUCAGCUUAUUCAUAAUCCCGGAGAACAACACAUGAAAGCAGUAAUGCGGAUCCUAAGGUACCUGAAGUCAAAUCCAGGAAAAGGAAUCCUAUGUUCCAAAAAUGGAGAUUACAGCAACAUAGAAGUUUAUACUGAUGCAGAUUGGGCCCGGUCAGUUAGUGAUAGACGCUCUACCUCAGGAUACUUUACCUUAGUGGGAGGCAACCUUGUCACAUGCUGCUUCACUUGCUGCCAAUCCAGUUCAUCAUUCAAGAACAAAACAUAUAGAGAUUGAUGUUCACUUUGUGAGAGAUAUAAUUUCCAACGGCGGAGUGGAAGUAAGAUAUGUCCCUACUGAAUAUCAGCCUGCAAACAUCUUCACAAAAGCUCUUCCUGCUGAUAUGUUUCAACAGUUGCGAGACAAGCUACAUAUUCUUCCUAGAACAUUGCGCUUGAGGGGGCAUUAUGAAAAUAUUGUAGCAGAGCUACCAAACUUGAGUAAUACGAAUUCAAAGUUGUUAGAUGACAUGGCAGCACACUUGGCAUUCAUUGGUGUUUUGGAAAGUUAAAGUGAUCAACCUUAUCUCUUAGCUUAUCAUUAAUUCAAGCUGCACUUUUGUAUUUAUCAAGAUCAAGAUAAAGAUAACAAUUGUGCUAGGCUUGAUCUUAUUCUUGGCAUUAUCGUGUUUCCUGUAGAGCAUUAUAAAUGUAAUGAUUAUGAGAUGAAUAAAAUAACGAAAAUGUGUUUUGUUUCUUCUUUAAGCUCAUCUUUAUAAUUUAAGUUGGUAUCAGAGCAUGGCGAGCUCCAAUUCUGCGAAAUUAGUCAAUAUGAAUACUGUAAACCAAACACCACAAAUUUCUAAUUUUUUGACUCCUGUCAAAUUGGAUAGGCAAAAUUUUAUGAUAUGGAAGUCUCAAGUGCUACCUUCCAUUCGUGGUAACAAUCUUGAAAGCUUGAUCAAUGGAGCAAAACUUGUACCCACUAAAUUCUUGGUGCAAGUAGAAGAGGAUCAAACAGUAACGACUGUGGAAAAUCCAGAAUAUAUACAAUGGCUGAGACAAGAUCAGCUUUUACUUAGUUGGCUUUUGUCCACUAUGACUGAAUCAGUUUUAAGCAUAGUGGUGCAGUAUACAACCUCUUUUGAGGUUUGGAAUGCCUUGAAGACAUUGUUUGCAUCUCAGUCAAAGGCUAGAAUUUUGUAGCUCAAGAUGCAACUCCAAACCACGAAAAAGAAUGCUAUGACCAUGAGUGACUAUGUCAACAAAAUGAAAAAUUUAGCUAAUAGCCUGGCAAUGGCUGGAAAAUAUGUUACUGAAGAUGAUUUAAUUUCUUAUAUUCUUGCAGGUUUAGGAACUAAAUACGACCCUGUGGUUGUAAAUAUUACAGCAAGAACAAAUGAUUUAUCUCUGCCUGAAGUAUCCUCUCUUUUGCUCAAUCAUGAAAGUCGAAUGGAACAACUCUCAGCUGCUGCAAAUCUUGAGUCUAAAGGCAGUUUUAAUGCAAAUUUUGCAGGAGCUUCUUUUCACAAAAGGAAAGUUAUAAGAAAAGGCUUUAUGUCAGGAAGUUUAUGAGGCAAUGAACGUGGUAGAGGCAAAGGAAGAACCAAUUUUAGCCGUGGUGGAAAUAGGCCAACCUGUCAGAUAUGUGGCAAAUAUGGACAUUCAGGAUAUCAAUGUUUCUUCCGCUUUGAUCGGGGGUUCUCUGCAAGACAAGAGGCAACACAAGCAGGUCAAGCCUCUGCCUAUAUGGCACUCCCUGCUGAAGAAAUAGAUAAUGGAUGGUAUUUGGACAGCGGAGCAACACACCAUGUUACAAAUGAUUUAAACAAUCUGCAGAUUAAGUUAGAAUUUAAGGGAGGUGAGAAGCUGGUAGUAGGUAAUGGUAAAACUUUAGCAAUAUCUCACAUUGGCAGUGCACUUAUUUAUAUUCCAAACCAUGAACCAUUGUUGCUUAAUGACAUUUUAUAUGUGCCCAAAAUCACCAAGAACUUAAUUAGCAUUUCAAAAUUACUUUCUGAUAAUAAACUAAUGCUUGAUUUCUGUGACAAUGUUUGUACUCUUAAGGACAAAGUUCUGGGGAAGAAGCUGCUGCAGCGAAAAAUUGAAAGAGGCUUAUAUCGGCUACCAGUGCUUUCAAGACAAGCCAUUCUAUCUGAUUCAAAAAUUAUUUCCAAUAAAUCUUAUUAGUCUUCUCUUCCAUUUAGCUGUUUCAAUUCUAGCUCAACAAUAAGUUCUGUAAAUGAACAAGAAUUUAUUUCCAAUUCCAAGCCUAGCAGUUUUAUAAAUCUUUUGCACAGAAGGAUGAGACAUCAUCAUCUUGCUGUACUAAAACAAAUUCUACCUUUGUGUAACAAAACAAGUCAGUUAAAUAAAAAUCUCAUUCCUCAAUUCUGUGAUGCAUGUCAACAAGGAAAAAGUCAUAGGCAAACUAUCAAAGCAUCAAAUAGUAGAGCUUCAGAACCUUUAGAAUUAUUGCAUCUUGACUUGUGGGGGCCUGCACCUUUAAUGUCUAGAAAUGGCUACAAAUAUUAUUUGAGUAUUGUAGAUGACAACACACGUUUUACAUGGAUAUUUCCACUUAAAGUUAAAUUACAAGCGUUUGAAGCUUUUAAGUAUUUCAAAGUUCAAGCCGAAAAACAAUUAGGAAAGAAAAUCAAAAGUUUACAAACUGACGGUGGAGGAGAGUUUCAAGCAUUUACAAUUUUUUAAAAGAACAGGGUAUUAUUCACUGACUUUCUUGCCCACACACGCAUCAUCAAAAUGGUAGAGUGGAGCGAAAACACCAACAAAUUGUAGACACUGGUUUAACACUUUUGGCAUAGGCUGGCAUGCCACUCACUUUUUGGUGGGAUGCUUUUCAAACAUCUGUUUAUUUAAUUAAUAGAAUGCCUACUUCCAUCUUAGAAAACAAAUCACCAUUUCAAAUACUUUAUGAUGAAGAAUAGGAAUCAAUAUUAUACUAGGAUUAGUUUCCUUAUUAACUAAAGUUUAAGACUUUUAAAUUCCUUUCUAAUUUAGAAUUUUGUUUCCCUUUCAAUUUAGGAUUUUGUUUUACUUCAUGAAUUAGGAUAAUUAUUACUACUAUAAAUAGCUCCCUCUUGUAGCCUUUAAAGGCAGAGAAUUUUGAGUUUAAUAAUAUUUCAAUUUUCAAAUCUCUUUGUGAGUAUUUGAACAGUUAAUUCUCGGUAUUCUGCGAAAUCAACGAGUCUUAAAUCCCUAAGUUCGCGGUAUUCUUUUGAAUCAACAUGAAUUUAGUUGUUCUUUUAUUCUGGUAUUCUCUAGAAUCAACGGAAUAUUUUGAAUAUUAAACUUCCACUGCAUCACUUUACAAGAAAAUACCUGAUUAUUCUUUUCUAAAAGUUUUUGGAUGUGCUGUAUUUCCUCAUCUUCGAGAUUACAACAAACAUAAAUUAGAUUUUUGAUCAGAUAAAUGUAUAUUUUUAGGCUAUAGUACAGCUCAUAACGGGUAUAAGUGUCUCCACAAGUCAGGAAAAAUUUUUGUAAUGCGACAUGUUGUCUUUAAUGAAUAUGAUUUUCCUUUUAAAAGUGAUCCCUCCUUCAAAAUCUCAAAGAGUUAUCCAAAUCAUGAUUCUAGUACUCUCUUUCAGUCUCCUAUGUUUGCAGGUUUUGAAAGUCCUAGAGCCUAUAAGACUCUCUCGGUUAUUCAUGCAACAGACUCUCUACUAGAGUUGGUUCAUAACACAAUAGUUAUAGAUCAGGCAUCAAGUCAAGAUGAGGAAACCAAUUUUGAAUCCAACACCAAAAGCCCACCUGGAAAAGCCAACCUUGAAUCAAGCACUGAAAUCCAAGCAACUGAAAACACCACACAAUCUUUAUCUAUCCCCGCGUUUAUCAAUCAAGAAGCCGAUCACACAAUCUCUCAACCACCUAGUUCAACUCCUCAUUCUCAACAGCCAACACAUACACAAUCCACUCAUCCAAUGAUCACUCGUGCCAAGGCCGGCAUCUUUAAACCCAAACCUAGACUUUACCUAACAACCUCUCAUACCAAAAUAAGUGUACAUGCCAGUGUUAGUGAAGCUUUGGAAGAUCACAAUUGGCGUAAUGCUAUGACAGAAGAAAUGAAUGCUUUGGCUAGGAAUAACACACGGUGUUUAGUUCAACCUACUUCUGACAUGAAGAUUGUGGGAAAUAAAUGGGUUUUUCGGAUAAAACAAAAGGCUGAUGGUUAGAUAGAGCGAUAUAAGGCUCGGUUGGUUGCAAAAGGAUUUCAUCAGACCCCAGGAAUCGAUUUCAACGAGACUUUUAGUCCUGUUGUUAAAGUUGCAACAAUUCGAUUGGUGUUAAGUAUUGCUGUGAUGAAAAAUUAGGGUGUAAUACAACUGGAUGUGAACAACGCCUUUUUAAAUGGAGACUUAGUAGAAGAUGUUUACAUGAUGCAGCCUGAAGGCUUUAUCAACAAAGCACAACCAAAUCAUGUGUGUAAAUUGAGAAAAGCAUUGUAUGGGCUUAAGCAGGCUCCAAGAGCUUGGUUUGAAAAACUCAAGAGAGCAUUGAGUGACUGGGGUUUCACAAAUUCUAAAUUAGACACAUCACUAUUUAUUUUGCAGCAAGGAAGGGAUAUAAUAUUUGUCCUUAUUUAUGUGGACGAUAUUUUAAUAACAGGAAGUAAAGAAAGUUUGGUGCAAGAAGUUAUUGAACGACUUAAUUGUCAGUUUGCUUUAAAAGUGCUCGGACCAUUAAGCUAUUUCCUUGGUCUUGAAGCUCAUCGCACAGAGAAUGGCCUACAUCUUAGCCAACACAAAUAUAUUUGUGAUCUCUUGAAGCGCACAGAUAUGGAUGGCUGCAAGGAAACAUCUACUCCUAUGAGUGUAGUACCGAAACUUUCAGCUGAAGGUGGUAAGCAAUUUUCUGAUCCUACACUUUAUCGUAGCAUCGUUGGAGCCUUAUUAUACGUAACUAUUACUCGGCCUGAAAUUUCUUAUGCUGUUCAUCGUUUAAGUCAGUAUAUGCAAAAUCCUUUACAGCCGCAUUGGCUUGGGUGUAAAAGAAUCCUUAGAUAUUUACAAGGAACAGCUGAUUAUGGAAUUUAUUAUACUACCAAAGGAAGAAUGACGCUCACAGGCUAUACAGAUGCAGAUUGGGCAAACAAUAUUGAUGAUAGAAAAUCAACUGGAGGCUACUGUAUUUAUCUUGGCAAUAACUUAAUCUCAUGGAGUUCAAAGAAACAAAAUGCAGUAGCAAGGUCUUCAACUGAGUCAGAGUAUCAAGCACUUGCAAAUACCACAGCAGAAAUUUUAUGGCUUCAAUCUGUGCUUAAAGAGUUGCAGGUGCCACUAACUGAAAUUCCAAUUAUUUGGUGUGACAACACUGAAGCUGCUUCACUUGCUGCCAAUCCAGUUCAUCAUUCAAGAACAAAACAUAUAGAGAUUGAUGUUCACUUUGUGAGAGAUAUAAUUUCCAAAGGUGGAGUGGAAGUGAGAUAUGUCCCUACUGAAUAUCAGCCUGCAGACAUCUUCACAAAAGCUCUUCCUGGUGAUAGGUUUCAACAGUUGCGAGACAAGCUACAUAUUCUUCCCAGAACAUUGCGCUUGAGGGGGCAUCAUGAAAAUAUUGUAGUAGAGCUACCAAACUUGAGUAAUACGAAUUCAAAGUUGUUAGAUGACAUGGCAGUACACUUGGUAUUCAUUGGUGUUUUGGAAAGUUAAAGUGAUCAACCUUAUCUCUUAGCUUAUCAUUAAUUCAAGCUGCACUUUUGUAUUUAUCAAGAUCAAGAUAAAGAUUACAAUUGUGCUAGGCUUGAUCUUAUUCUUGGCAUUAUCGUGUUUCCUGUAGAGCACUAUAAAUGUAAUGAUUAUGAGAUGAAUAAAAUAACGAAAAGGUGUUUUGUUUCUUCUUUAAGCUCAUCUUUAUAAUUUAAGUAAAGGGACUUUUGCAUAGCCUCUGGUGUGUGUGUGAUUUCUCUUUCGUUUCCUCAUCAAAUUCUGUAAUUCUUGCUUCGAUAAAAAGCUUUUAAUCUCUUCUGUAGUGUGUGAUCAGUGCGUAAUCAUUUUGAGCAAUAACAGCUUGUGGGUUUUUCCUUCAAACAGUGUCGUUUUGGUCAGUUUGUUAGUUUCUGUGUUCGUCUGAUUCCAUUGCUCUUGUUCUCUGUUCUUGAUCUGUUCGUGGAAUUUUUCUUUGGUUAUUUGUUCUCAAAUUUCAACUGUAUAUAAAGUUUGAACUCUGAUUGCUUAUAAUGUAUUGAUUAAGAAUAAUCCUAAGAGUUCCCGAUUGAAAUUUUUAAUGACUAUUUUUAUUGUUUUGGAUAUACAAAUUGAAUUAAGAAAAAAUAUUGUCAAAUUCAGAGGAUAAGGGGAAAUAAUUAUGCUUCAAAAGGCCAGAGAUUAGAGAAUAAAGAAGCAUUCAUUACUCUAUCAAAAAAAAAAAAAAAAAAAAAGCAUUCAUUACUGAUAUACAAACUGCUUUUAUUUGGAUUUUGGAAGGGGUGAAGUUUUGAACUUCAGUUGUUCCUCUAAAAUCAAAAGCAGCAAUUAAGCGUUCUCAAUUAGAAAGAGCUAAGAAGACUUAUUGGUACCUUACUGAAGCUAACAUUAUGGCACAGUUGUUCAUAUAUAAUGGCUGCUCUGUUAUGCUAGCUUCUCUGUUUUUGCUUCUAUUUUUGCUUACAGUUUUGAACAUAAAUUCUUGCUCAAAUAACCCAUAAUUAAAUAACACUAAUAUGGCUCGUGAAAUCCCAUAAUAGCUAAUUACGCAACUUUCUCCUCCUCCUCAAUUCUGUCUUCCCCUGCUCGUACACUAAAUUCAAAAUUCAAUGCCCCGAAAAACAACACAAGAAAUCUUUGAGUUAAUUCGCGACCAGUUUAUAUAUAGUAGCAAUUGAAAAAGGAAAAAGAAUAAAAGAGUUCAUUAUUAUUCAGACCUUCACUUAUUAGGAAGUUUGUUCUGCUGUUGGGUGAGAUCAAGCUCUCAGCAUAUACUUCCACAUUAUACUUUCUAACAUUUUCUUGAAAGCCAUCAAUCAUAAAAUCUUCAUACUUUUUUCCAUCCUUUGGAUCAAUAAGUACAAAUUUCUCAUCUAAAACAGACAAAAUAAAAUCACUGUCCUUCAUGGAACAUAAUGGCUGCAAUGCCUGAACUGAAUUGGCUAAUGAAAUUUGAGUCCAGGAUUCUCUCAGCCCAUAUUCUUUCAUAAUCCAAAAUUCUUUUCUUUCUCGACAUGGAACAUAGUCUUCUUUUCUUUCUGGACAUAUGUCUCUGUACUUUUCUCUCUCUACUGAUCCACACUUUUUCAUACUUCUAACUAUCAUUUUGUUUUUUUUUUGUUAAGUUGUGAUUUAUUCAAUUAUUUUGUAUUUUUAAUGAAAAUUAUUUAAUAUUUAGUUAGUUUUGAUAUUGAUUAGUGAUUGAAAGUGUAUUUUAGAAGACUUCCGGUCUCUUGGAAAAAGGAAAAAUGGAGACGAAGAAGAAGUGUUCUUGAUUUUUUUGUAGGCAUUAAAGUUAAACGGUUUGAAAUGAUAUUUUGUUUUAAUUUCACUCAUUAAUCUCAUUCAGGAUAAAAUUAUAAAUGCAAAUAAAUGGGGUUUCAUGAGUUUUUUUUAAUAGUGUUAAAAGGUCUACUCACUAAAUAAAUAUGUUUAACCCAAACCAAUGCGAUUAGUAAGUUAUUGGGUUGGGUUGAUCAGGUUAAAAAUUAAAAUUAAAAAUUAAAUAAUUAAAAAAGGCAUAAAAACUAUCUGUUACUUGAAAAUAAAAAGAAUUUCUAAUAGUUAGUUCUAAUGUCCCAUAUCCAAAACAUCCAUAUUAAAUAAAUAUUAUAAGUUAGAAAUACAAUAUCCAAGAAAGAAUGAAUGAAAUACCAUAUUUUUGUUGAGAAUUAAGAGUGUGAUUUUAAUUUUGAUAUUGGAGUCUAAAGUGCCACGUUUAAAUAAUCUCUUUUAUAAAAUAAUAAAAAGAGAUUAAAAAUUAGGUUAGCCAUUUAGGCAUUCAGGGUUUAGCAAUUAAGGAUGAACAUAUUAUUGUUGUUGUUUUUUGUUGUUGUUGUUGUUGUUGUUGUUGUUAUUAUUAUUAUUUAUAUGUUUACUAAUCCAAUUUACGUAUAAGUACAAAAGUUUCAAAUAUUGUCUAUUAUUUUUUUAACAUGCCUAUUCCUUGUGGAUAAUUCUGUCUCAUCACUAAUGUUGUUUCUUGCUUACAAUUUGUAUAGCGUCUCAAAAUAGACAAUAGGGGGAUUUUGAAUUUUUUAAGUCUCAAUAUAGUCUCUUAUCUUGUGAGACAGAUUUUCUUUCAAUAAUUUGGAGGUAAACAUAACAUAACUUUUUGGACUAAAGCCUAGCUCUGCUAAUUAGUAAUUGGUGGUAUCCUUUUCAAGACCUGAGUCUUUAAAUUCGAGUUUUAUAUAGUGCGCAUGUGUAUUUAAUUAAUAUUUUUUUAAAAAAAUUACAUCAAAUACUAAUAUUCAUGACAUAAUUUAGUUCAUAAUGUUUUUUUAAAUACAUCGAAAAUAUAAUUUUUUAACAACUUAUAGGCAUGACAAAUUUCAAGAUAUAAAUAUCAGUCAAAAUAAGUGAAAGAAAUAAUGGUGCCAAUUCUAAUUUCUUAACUAAAUUAAUUACUGCAUGAGCCCCCAAUACGGCACGAGAGUUUGAUGGGCUAACUUGGCACAAGAACAAUAGUUAAUUGAUUUAAGAAAUAAUUCAAUGAAAAAUAUAAUUGAUAAGAAUUUAGUAUUGAAAUGAGUUUUUUUCGAAACACUGAAUUAAUGAUUAUUAAGCAAGAACAAUAAAAAAAAUAAAAUAAAAAAUAAAGAUUAACCAUUGAUAAGCUUCAACAAGAACUUAACACAACCCUCAAUCCUAAUUCAAAUUAUAAAUGUCAUUCAUAUAUUCAUUAUAAAUCAAUAACAAAGGUUAUAAAUGUUUAGAAAUUCUAGAGGGAAGGAAGCUAUCGCCGGGCAAUCAACAACUAAAUUUGAUGUAAUUGUGGCACAAGAUGGAAUAUGAAAACUACACCAUAAUUUCAAAUGCCGCCAUAGACAUUGACUUAUCUACAGUAACAAUGAUCUAAUUAAAAUUAAAAUAAAGUUUAUGGGCAUUUAUUAUAUUUGCCAUUCCUCAUUUGCAAAUAGGGAUAUAAUUAUAAUUUUACUUAGUCAAAGCAAUCAGUAAUUUUUAGGGGUGUUCAAAAUUCAAUCCGAUCCGCUCAAUCCGUCUGAUCCGUAGAAAUCCGAUCCGUAAAAAUCUGAUCUGUGGAUUGGUAGAUUGGAUUGAAUUGAAAAUUUGAUAAUCCGCAAUCGGUGGAUUGGGUAUGGAUCUACUUCUGUAAAUUCGUAAAAAUCCGUGAAUCGGCAAAAAAUAAAAAGUAUUUAUUUAUUAAAAAAUAAAACUUGUAAAUAUGGCAAUAGUACUUACUAGUAAAUAAAUAAGUUAAAAUAUAGUUACAUUAACACUAUAUUAUAUCUUAUCCGAUAAUAAUAAAAAAUAAAAAAUAAUUAAAUAAACAAAUAUAACUUUCUAAAUAGUUAAUUUUCAUGUACUGAUCUAAACGAAUGAGAUUUUUUUUUUUUCAUUUUGGUGUGUUAUGUUUUGAACUUUAAAUGUAAUUUUUAGUUUUAUUUAAACAAGUAAUUUAUUUAAAUCUUAUUUAAUUUUAAAUUUGAUCGGCAAUAAAAUUAUUUAUAUUAAUUUUUUUUUAUUUAGUUAGUUCGUAGAUUGGACAGUAUUAAAAAUUUUCAGUCCGUAAACCAAUUCGCAAAAUGGUGGAUUGGAUAUGGAUUGGGUCAAAUCCGCAUCCAAUCCGCAGAUGUAUGAAUUGAAUUUCACCAAUCCAUGAAUUGGAUUGGAUUAAAAAUUUAUAAUCCGCAAAAUCGUGGAUCAGAUAUGGAUUGAGGUCCAAUCCGUAAAAUUUGAUCCGGAAACACCCCUAGUAAUUUUCUUCAUUAUAGGAGUGAAGUAAAAACAUUUAGAUUUUAAUGUAUGUACGGAAAAAUUUAUCUUUAAAAAUACUUUCUUAAUGUGUGUAUAUAUAUUGAAAUACUCAAACCAAUUUUGGUUAUUAUAUAAUUAAACAAAUUUUAAAAUAUGAAAAAUAUAAUGUAGUUAUAGUGGAUAAACAAUAAGUGAGCGCAAUAUAAUUAAUCAAAUAUCAUGCCAUCAAAAGUUAAUUUUAGAAAUUCCAAAUCCAACAGCCAACACAAUUCUUUUAAAAAAAAGCUGACACAAUUAAUAAAAUUAGUGACAUGAAUUUCACACCAUUGAUAAUAAGCAAUUAGUAUUACUUUCUAAACUUGCUUCAACUGGUCGUUGAUGUCCGGGGUCACCAAAAGUAUAAGCAAUAAUAAGGGGCAUUGGGCAAGAGUGAUGAAUGUUUAGUCGGUGCAUUUGAUUGCUAGAUAUAUAAAGGGCCGAAACUUGAGAUUAUAUUACUUUUACAAAUUUUAAUCCAAUCACAUAUUUAAUGAAAACAAAAUGAGUUAGGAUACUUUAUUUAGAACCCACAUUUUAAUAAGGCUUCAUUUGAUGUAGUUUUUUAAACAGUGAUUAUUUAAGUAAAUUUUCCUCAAUAGAGUUUUUAUCAAACAAAUUUAUUUAUUUAGUUGUCGAUAAGAGUUUUUAUUAAAAAUUAUAAAAUUAUUUAAAUAAACAUGUUUUUUAAAAUUACAUUAUAAAAAUAAUUAAAUAAAAUUAUAAAAGUAAAAUAUAUUUUAGAUAUUUUAAUAUUUAAGAAAAAUUUUCAAUCUCUACUUUCAAAAGCUCAAAUUUUUAGCUUUUAGUUGUAGAGACAAAAUAUUUUAUUUAAUCUUUAAAAGUUAUGCUAAAAACAAUCAAAUAACUACAAAAAUUUUAAUAAGAGUAUAUAAAAUUAAAUGGUAAUUUUUAAAAACCUCCCCUGAGGUUUGGGCUUGUUGCAAGUAGAUGGCGAGAAUCCAUUUAUUUGUAACAAACCCCCUACCGUCAGUUAAUUUUUGCAUUAACCGUUAGUUGACUGUGCAAAGACAAUAUUGUCCCUAAUGACAGUUUGUAGACUGACAUAGCUAAAAAAAAUGCUGAGAUUGUCGGCACGAAAAUCACAAAUAAUUUUUUUUUGACAAUUUUGUCCUUGUUAAUUCCAAGAUUUACAAUGUCAUAAGUAAGGAUUAUGACUAUUUUACCCUCUUAAAAUUAUUGAUAAUUCCUUAAAAUUUCUACAAAAAAGAUAAAAUUAAAAACUUGAAGAAAAAUAAAGUUCUCAAGCCGGCUAACCAAACACAUAGAAUAAAAAAUCCAUCGUUUGACAACAAAAACAACUUUCCAUAAACCCAAACAAAAAUAAACAAGUCCCCAUUACUCUAAUUGGCUUUGCUUGGAGCUGUUACUAUUGUGCAUACAUUUCUAGGCAAAGCAAAAUGACCCCAUGAUAUAAACCUUAUAAAACAUGCCUCCACUAUUCUUAAUUUUGGUAUAAUAAUAAUAAUAAUCACAAAAAAUUAAUUGAAAACUUGACUAAUUAUCUUUGGUGGAGAAUUUUAAACCGAAACCGAUUCAGGAACCUUAAAUUGAUCAAAAGGAAGCUAAUAAUGACAAAAAAGUAACCGAUCAAAAAUCAUUAAGCAUAAAAAAAUAUUGAAUUUAAAUAACUAAAAAUGCCAUCGGAAAUUGAAAUUAAUUAUUUAACAUAUAGCAUGAAAACAAAUCUUCACUAUUGGUGCUAGGCGGCUGUCGUUUAGCUUGGUUCUAAGAGGUGGCAGUCAGUCAACUUCGAGACGGUGCGUUCGAAGUCAACUAAGCUGCAGCAGAGGUUGCAGGGGGCAGAUUGCAGCGAAGUCGCGGUGGAGCAGAGGUCGCGUCGCGGUGGAGAAGAGGUCGCGUUGCGCUGGCUUGGCUUCACGGUGGUGGGAUGGCUGGGCGGGCUGGCCAGCUGUGUGCGCAUUGUAUAUGAUUGUUUUUCACUUUUUUAAUAUUUUCUUGUGCAUUAGUUCAGAUUAGAUUAGUGAGUUUGUGUGUGUGUUUGCAGUUGAUUUGGUUAAGAUAUUUAGGUUAAAAUAAUUUUUUUUAAUAAAUUUUUUUUUUCAAAAUGUCAACAAUGCCCACAACUACCCAAAUGGCAACUAAGCAGAGUAAAAACGUAGGGGUUUUUUUUUAUAAAUAAAUAGAUUCUCGUCAUCUAUUUGCAACAAACUCAAAUCUCGGGGGAGGUUUUUAAAAAUUACCCUAAAAUUAAAUAAGCAUUUAUUAAUAAUCACUUUGGUAUACUUAUCUAAUGACCAUAAGUGUUUAUUUAAUCUCAUAAGUUCUUAUUUAAUCUCAUGAGCUCUUUUCAAUUUUUUUUGUUGUUUGUUUUUUAGUAGAGUUUUUGAAAAUUAAAUAAACUAUUUUGUCUCUACUAGAAAAAACUCAAAUUUUAGAUUUUUGUGAGUAAAUGUUUAAUUUUUUAAAAAAAUAUUAAAAUAUCUAAGAUAUCUUUCCUUUAUUUCAUAAUCUUAUUUCAUUUUUUCAUAACAUAACUUUCAAUAACUUACCUAUUAAAAUAAUUUCACAAUUUCUAAUAAAAACUCUAAUUGACAAUUAACAAUUUUUUUUUGUUUGUAAAAACUCUAUUUAUAAAAAAUCUAAUAAAAAUUCUAUUUAAAUAAAUUAUAUUUGAAAAGGUGUACUAAACCAACCUAAGAUAAAAACAAAAAUUUUUACAUCCAGACAAUUAAGCUUAAAACAAUUUCAAAUGAAUUUUAGACUAAUCAAAGUACAAUACGUACCAAGUUUGGUAACUUAUUGACAUCUUCUCAUAUAACCUUCGAUCAAGUCGAUUCUCACCUGACGACUAAUUGGUACAUCACCGUUGUUCUCUAUACUCGCAUGCAUCCGAUCACAAAUCUCACUCCAAUUGUCGUCUUUCUUCGGCGUUUUAGCACAUCCUUCUUGAAUUUCCCGCAUUUCGUUCCCUCCUGUUACAAGUCUCCGGUCAGGUCAGUUCUCUUGACGAUUAAUUCGGCAAAUCUCGAAUCUCUUCUCGCGUCGUUUCACUUCAAUUUUUUGUGUCUCCUUUCAGUUUUAGUGAUUGAAUCAAUUUUAUUGCAGUCUGAGAGAAAUUAAGUAAUGCUCUUGGAUUUAAAUUUUUUUUGCUUUCGACUUUAGAUCUCGAAAGUCAAACUCUGCUACGAAUCCUUAGAUUCUCAAUGUUUAUAAUCUUAUUUGUGUUUGACCAGGUAACUGGAUCGUGAAAUUCGUCGUUUUGUAUCAAUUCAAGCUUUCGCGAGCUCAUGGAAUCACCUGGUGAGUUGUGGUGAAACGUUAUCGUUUCAAUUUUCGCUUAAUUCUUUAUUGCAUAUUUUUUCUCUAACAUUUCAGUUUAAUUUAGAAAAGAAAGAGGACCCAAAAAGAGAGAGAGAGAGAGAGACUCUACCAUACUCAAUUCCUUGCUCAUUCUGAUUUGGCCUGAAUGUUGGCAUUGACUAUUAUUUGUUUUCAUUUCGAUUUAAUUCUCAUUUAGACAGUCUUUACUAACGGUCAAUAAUAGUUUAAGGAAAAUGAUAAUAGGGAUUCUGCAAUAAUCUUUUUAAGGAAAAUGAUAAUAGGGAUUCUGCAAUAAUCUUUUUAAGGGAUGUAUAACUUAUUAAUCAGAGUCCUGUUAUUAUGGUUUGACACUACUGACAUAUUGUGUUGGUAUUUAUUUGUACUUCCCUUGGUUGAAUUAUUUGCUGUCCCCAUGCCAUUCGAUAUGGUGCUACUUGGUUUUUGAUCAUCCAUGACGCUAUAUAUAUGUAAAGGAUGAAUUGAUUGUUUUGGCUUGUAUUCUCACAUUUUAUGAUUGAUCGAUGGAAAGGUCUUCAUGUAUUAAAUUCAACCUCACAAGCGUAAGAUUGACAGAUUCUGGGCAAAUUUUCAGGAAAAGAAACUAGACUUCAUGGAAGCAAUGAAGCUUGAAAUUGAACGUCUGCAGCUGAAAGGGAUAGAGCUUUAUUGUCAAUUGGAACUGAUCCUGCCUCUAUAAAUCCAAAUGUAUUGCUUGAUGAAUCUUACAUGGGAAGACUGUCGAGUAGCAACCACUCUUGCAUUACUUGGCCAAACUUCCCUAGAAGACAAAAUUGUUGGUGCAAUGGCCUUGAGAAUAGUGAUGAUAGUGUUUUAGACUUCUGGAAUAUUACUAGAAUCGGAGAGAGUUGUUCUGGUGGCGCGUGCAAGGUUCGUGCAGAAACUAAGGUGCCUGCUCUUGCUUCCUCAACUGCAGCAUCUGUUGGAGCUUCACAAUCCCCUUUGUUGUGUUCUCUGUUGUGUUCUCUGUUGUGUUCUCAAUGUGAAAGAAAAGUUUGCAAAGUUUGUUGUGCAGGAAGAGGAGCUCUACUGUUUUCAAAUUAUAAAUCAAGGGAUGUGACCAACUACAAUGGCUUCUCAAGUCAGAGUGGAUCAAGCCAUGGAAGCCAAGUUGAUGUAUCUACCAGUCGUUCACUAACACUGGAUGGCGUUAUCUGUAAACACUGCUGCCAUGAGAUUGUGCUUGAUACAAGUUCACAACACCAUUACAAAGGAUUCAAAAUUCCCACACGAAAACAUCAAUGUACAGAUUAUAAACAAUCCGAAUUGGACACAAGAAAAACCCUUCAAUGGAUUGCUUGCCUUCCCAAUGCUAUAUACUGUGCAAACUGCGCACUGUCCAAGAAAAUGUUUUCAAUUUAGUGUAUUUUCAAAAUGCUUAUUUUCUCAGAAUAUAUAAAAAAAAAAAAAGAAUUCUUACAUGUUUCAUCAGCAUGAUUAAAAUCAAAGAAGAAAGCGAGACAUAAUGUCUCUGACAUAAUAAAAUUACAAAAAUUUAAAAAAAAAAAAGUUAAAACAUGUAAUCUUCAUAAGCAUAUAAUAAAAUAACACUUCCACAAAUUACUACAAUUUCAUGCAGUAGAGAUUGAAGAGUUGAAUUCCACUUAUAGACACCGACCUCUUAUUUUGUCUAAUGUUAACAAUGAAAAUAACAACAGUAAUGAAAACAACAACAGAAUACAACAACAGAAAACAACAAUCCGCUCUGCAAAUUCUCUUGGGACUUGGUUCCAAUUCCUCUUCAUCCGAAGUUCCACUCGAAUCAAAUUCACUUGCAGCAGUUCCACUCGCGCUUGGCAAAUCAUCCAAUUUCCAAACUUCGGUAGCAAAAUUGAGAGUAAAAGUGUUGGCUUUGGUCUCGCUGGGAUUUGCAUAUACUGGACAUACUCCGUAACGUUUUACCUUGUGACCCUUUUGGUUUUGGUAACAAUUAUUGAAGAACUUAAGUGAGACAGUUGUAUGAUGGUAACCAUCAGGAAAGCCAACAUUCAAGCAAGGUUUAAAACCAAGUAUGACAUGAUCUGAAUCAAGGGAGUAUUUAUUUCUAACACUUGUGGUUGCGGGCCCACUGAAACCUAGAUCAACAUGUUUGGUUUCAGAGAGAGUCUUUAUUUCUAAGUCGAGUUGAGAGCGGCCGAAAACAUUGCAGCAAUAACAAGAACCAACUUUCUUAAAAUUAAGAACCGCACAAAAAGCAAACCCGAUUAAGUUUCUGCAAGAAGAGUGCGGUGGCAGUUGAAUACCUAUCGAAGAUCCUGAACUUUGAUUGUUGAACCAGUCAGGAAUUUCGCUCCCAGGUAAAACAAUUAGGGAUGUCCUGAGUUCAGAAAGUUUCUGUGAAAUGACAUUUAAAAAAAGAAAAUUGUAAAAUGAAAACCAUGAUUUCAGAUAUAACAAAGAGGGACAGAGUAAACAAGAGAGGGAACUUGAUGCGUUCUAAAUGUUCCAUUUUCUCCAAGAUUUCUGGGAAACGCUCAAGGUUCAAGCAGCCAUGAAGAAAAAGCUCAACCAAAGAUUUCAAUUUACAAAACCUAGUUGAAAUCCUCUUCAGCCGUUCGCAAUCCCUCAAAUCCAACUUUUCAAGAUCAGUUAGGCACUCUAUUGAUGAUGGAACUUCUUCUAUUGCAGACUGGCUUAAGUAUAGCCGUGUAAUUUUCCCAGAAAUCUGUGGAAACUCUACGAGAUUAACACAAUAGGAGAAAUUAAUAGUUACUGGACAAACAAAAUGAAGAUUGCUUGGAAAAGACCUAAGACUUUUGCAGCCCACAAAAUCCAACCUACUGAGAUACUUGAAAUUCUGGAUAGAUGAGGGAACACAAGCCAUUUCUCCUUCCCAAAUUUGCUCAACUUUACUAAAACGCAAAUUCAGUCCAACAAGGUUCUUUGGCUUGAAAUUUGAUGGCAGUGUCCUUAAUGGAUAUGUGUCCCAAUGAAGAUAUCUCAAUUUUUUAGGAAGAUAAUCUAGGCCAUUUGGAAGCUGCACUUUAGAGUACGAAAGUUGCUCUUCAAUGCUCAUACUUAGAAGCUUUUCAAUCUCAUACUUAGGUACAUAAAAUUUGAGCAAUCUCAGAUUAGACAUAUUUGUGAAGGCUCCGGGGUCUAAAUUGAUGCCUUUUAUUUUGGACAAAUCCAAAAAUAUGCCUUCAAUUGCAUCGGUCCCCUUAUUAAAAAAAAAAAAAAAACAAAGAAUGGGUAAGCCUAAAACAGAAAAGAAACAUUCGUAAACUUUAUUAACUAAGAGCUCCUAAAACAAAACAAAUUCUACGAUCUUUGAUCUUAUUUUUUUAAUAUAUUAAAUAUCUAUAUGCGAGAAAAGAAAAUUUUGGGAACCAUUGCAAAAUUAAACUAACCGAAAAAAAAAAUCAAAAUUUCUCUAAUUUACAAACCUGUUAUCUUACUAUCUAGAAGUUGAGAAGACAGGGCCUAUUUGAUUGGUAUAAGAUUUCGAUUUUUUUUUUAGUCCAUAGAAUCCAAAAUGUUAGUUCAAAAUUAGGGAAAAAAAUGAAAGUUAUUUUUUUUCCACUAGUUGUAAUUGUAUCCAAGUCAAAUUGAGAUAUGACCCUUUUCGAAAGGAUUUAAUCAUCUUAUAGCCUCCUUAAAGGAGUGAUUGGAGGCCUAACUAGGUAGGCCAAUCAGUCCAUUUUAUUAGCGACUAUUGCUUAAAAACAUUUAUACUCUAAAACACACUUACUUUUUUGAAAAAAAAAUAUAAUUAUAUUGAAGUAGAACCAGGUGGGCCAAUCCUCAUGGCACUCACUUUGUUCUGACACUCUUCACUAAAUUUGAAAAAAAAUAAAAUUAUACUCUUCACACUCUUAUUCAACAUUCCAAAAUUGAUAAAAUCUGGAGUUUUCAUUAAAAAUUUAAAAUUUGAAGACUUGUUCUCUUGACACCCUCAGUCAUUAAUUUUACCUAAUUAUGGUUUUUAUGAUUUUGGUUGUUUUGUUCAUAAAAAUGAUUUUACUAAAGGAUGUUCUGGUAAUAAUAAAAUUUAUAAAAAAAAACAUGGUUGUGCUGGUAUGAUUGGAAAAAUAUGAGUGCAUAACUCCAAACAAAUAAAAGAUAUAUAAAAAAAAAUGGAGGAUUCUUACCAUAUUAUGCUUUAGUACGCGGCGGAUUUCCUUAGGAUCCCACAACCUCUUGCGUUUGCCUGGCUCUUUCUCAGAUUCUUGGCGUCGCCCCAUUUCUUGCAAUAUAUCAUGCAUUUGCAAGCGGUUAUAUGACACUGUUAUGAGUGACUUAUCAACAAGGACAUCCAGUCCAACAGACUCAGAAUCAUCAAGAAUCCUUGCCACAAAAUCUUUAUCCUCUCCCUCAAAGAAACACGCAAUAUCUAGAAAUAUGCUCUGCACCCUGGGCGUUAAUUCAUCAAAACUAAUCUUUAAUUUCUUAUAAAUAGCAUGAAUAUCAGAUUCACAAAUCCGAUUUAAGUCGUGCAAUACUUUUCCCCAAUGGCUUUUCCCCUUGAGGGAGGAACCCAACACUUUAAGAACUAAUGGAUUGCCAUCAGCAUACUUUACAACUCUCCGUGAGUCAGGUUUGAAAUCUUCAGGACAAUGCUUUUCUUUAAAAGCGAAGUUACAAAAAUGCUCGAAAGCCUCAUGAAAAUCCAUUCCAUUAACCCUAUAUAUUUUCUUCUCCUCCACUCCAAAUUUUUCGAGGACUCCUUUAUCCCUAGUGGUUACAACAAUUCUACUUCCUGGAACAAAUUGAUCAAGCUCUCCAAUCAGACCCUCUAAUUGUCCAACUUCAUUCACAUCAUCGAGUACUAUCAACACCUUCAUACGCCGGACCCUCUCUUUAGUAAAAUGUGGAAUAUUGGCACCAGCUACUUCAAGUUUUUCGCUUAAUAUUGUUGAAAGCAUUUCCUUUUGUAGGUCUUCUAGGCCACCCUCUGUUUCUGAUUUUCUCCUAACAUUUUUUGCAAAGUAUUUACCAUCAAACUCACCAGAGAAUUGAUUGAAAAUAGCUUCAGCAAGGGUGGUUUUGCCGAUACCACCCAUGCCCCAAAUUCCAACAAUUUGGACAGUAUCCGACAAAUCCAUACACAAAAAUGGUUUAAUCUGCUCAAUUCGUGAAUUUAAUCCAACUAGGCCGUUGGAUGAGUCCGUUGAGACUGUUAUUUUUUCCAACUUCUUCAAAACAUCUUCGACAAUUUUGUUUACAAGUUCCGCAUCGUGCCUAAUAUAAAGGUGCAAAGAUGCAAAAACAUUGAGUCAAAUCGGGCCAACACAGAAACAGAGAUAAGAUGAAUUAGGAAAGAGAGUUACCUGAAUUUCGUGGAUUCGUGGCCAGCAAGACCGGAUGUUUCUCUCAGUGCAUCCCUCCACCUCUGAACCAUUUCUGGCUUCUCUUUGAACUGUUGUUCGAGCUUACCAAAGCCGACCCCAAAAAUCCCAGUUUGAUGCCGCACAUCGGACGGACUUACGCCAUAGAAAACCGGAAUAAUGAUUUGGCCGUUUGUGUGCUUGCAUUCAAGAAUCUCGACAAGUUCAUACAGGCACCAUUUUGAAGAAGCGUAGUCCGUUGAGAAAAUGACCACCGAAAUUUUUGAACCUUGGAUUGCGUUCAAAAGGGCAGGUGAAAUCUCAUCUCCGCGCCUAAGCUCUUCAUCAUCAAUAAAUGUUCUGAUUUUCUUUCUUUUAGACAAAGCAUCAUAGAGAUGGCAAGUAAAGAUCGCACGAGUGUCCUCCCCUCUAAAAUUGAGGAAGACUUCAUAAAUGCAAGGAGAAGAAGCCAUGAAGGAAAUAUUAGAAAUUUGGUGACAGAAACAGAGAAUUAAUCUUGAGAGCUGAGAGAGGAGAUGUAAGAAUGAACAUGUGUGAAUAUUCUUGCGAGUACAUAGUAAAUAAUUGAAUGGCUCGAGCUUUCUUAGUUUCCUGGAAAUUUCCUGGAGCUUUCGUAUACAUGAUUUGUCAAGUCAAGAAACAUAGUCAUGAUAAUGGGGCAGACCAGGAAGAAAAGGAAAUUGGAAUUUUGUACAAUUUCUCCAGCGAGGAACUUUCACUGUCAUUACCUCACCGUUACAGUUUGGAUUAGGGUAAUUUUUACCCCGCACCCAAAUGUUUUGACAUACAGCACAACGCACCCAAUUCUUUUGCCCAUGAGCACCGCGCACCCAUUUCCGUUUAUUUUUCAGUUAACUGUAACAGAUCAGGGUAAAAUUGGAAUAACGCAUCAAAAUUUAAAAAUAAAAAAAUAGGUAAACUCGAUGUUUGCGCCAAAAUAAUUUCACAUCACUGUGCUUAUGUUCACUGCGUUUGCGUGUGAGACCAAGAAGCAUGGCCACACCUCCAUUGAUGCCAAAAUCGAGGAGGUGGGUGAAGAAGAAUUGGCGCCAAAAUCAUUCACAUAUGAUGUGCAAGGAAAUUAUUUCAGCCUUUAAAUACUUUUUUAUUACAGCAGCAUCAGCUAUUGCUCUGUUUCGAAGAUCUGCUCAAUUUCUAAGACAAUAGUUGGUUUGAGAGUUUAAGGGAAGUGAAUCCACUGAGCGUGCUAUUGAAGAAGUGGAGGUCAGUUUCAUUUCUUGCUCAAUUGUUUUAAUUUAUUCCAUUUUGUUUGCAUGUCAAUUAUUUACACAUUUUUAGCUGGAUUUUGCUUAUCUAUAAAACUUGAAUCAUUGUUAAUCAAAUCAGCUAUAAUUUACGCCUCAAUGUGGUUUGUAAGUUUAAGUUAUGUUGGAUUAUACCUGAAUAAUGUGGUGUUUGCGUUAUUGAUUUCAAUUUCUAUUGAUGAUUUUGAGUAUACAUAUUAGUGGAUGAAAGUUUUUAAUUAGGAUGAUUGGUCACGCAUAUAUGUCAUAGCAACUGUGUUUUUUUGGGUUAUGGUUGUACUGUAGAUCAGUAGUAGUAGUGAUUUGGAUAUAAACGCUAGUGCUUUUAUUGUAAAUGAUAGUGAUGAAGAUCCAGUGUUACAGAAUUUGAUGUAAAAGUUAUUGGUUUUUGGCUAAAUAUCUUAGAUAAAUAUGAUGCUCAUGCAAUCAAAUCCAAUGCUUAUGCAAUUUACACCAUGUUUAUGAUAAGUAAUUAAAAAAAUAAAUGACUAUUCCAGGUGAAAAUGGAUGAUGAUGAUAUUACAACUGUUCUUUGUACAUUCAAGGGCAAGACAUAUAAUGUUGGUGUAAUUGAUCCAGAUAAGUUUAGUAGAGUUUCUGUAAUUAACAAGGUUUUAGUUAGAGUCUAUGGAAGAAAGAUGAGGCCUGAUGAGAAGUUUACACUAAGUGUUUGGGUACCAUGGGUCUAUAAGGAAGUAGAGAUUAUGUCUGAUCAUGACUUAAUAUUCCAGCUGAGAGAGCAUAAUAAGAUGUUGUUCUACUGCAUGCAAUUGUAUAUUGAAGAAAUCCAUGUACCUCAUGAGUUUGUACCUAGAAGGGCUUUGUUUCAGCACUCAGCAGAAGAAAGCUUACAAGGGUAUGCUGAAACAAACUUUCCAGCCACUACUGACCUGCACAAACCUUAUACACAUGCUACAUCCACCAACACAAAUCCUUAUGAAAAUGACAGUAAUGACCAUUCGAACCAUGAACCCCCUGUCAAGAACUCCAGCAGCAUAAUGAUGCAUAAUGUUGCACUUGAUAGCAUCCAAUCACAGACCAAACCAGAUACCAACCCUGACCUAUAUCAAGACUUUUUGGAUACCUAUUUCAGAUCAUCACCACAACAGAAAACACCAUCAGCUGCCCAAACUAAUGCCGAAAAUAGUGAUAGUGAUAACACAUCUUCAUUUGGUACAAAUAAGACUCCUACUGAGCAGCUUCAACAAAACUUUGCCAUCUCUUCUGAGUUGUCCCCUUUAUUGCAGCAACAUGGACAUCAUGCAUCCCAAAAUGAACCUAUACCUUUUCACCAACCUGAGUUCUCAUCUCAACCAAUAACUCAAAACCCUCAGUCACAAGUUGUACAAGCAGAAAACUUCCAGCAACCAGAAGCCACUACACCAGCACUAGUAGAUUAUAACUCAGAUGAUAGCCAUUAUAGUGUAACUGAUAGUGAGGAAGAUCCAGAUCAUCCAUUAGGUGCUCCAAACAUUAAUAAUACUCCUAGGAAACCUUCUGUUAAUGUUGACUUAGGCUCUAUGCCUUCUGAUGAUAGUGAUGAAGAUUGUAUGCUAUCUGAUUGUGAGAGUGAUGACAAUGAGUUUGGGGAAGAAUCUGAUGAAGAGAUUGAUCAAGUGCUGGUCAGAAUGGAUGCUGUUAUGAGAGAGAACAUGUACAUUCCUAGUGAUACACCUGUUCAAUUCUUUAUUGGGCAGUGUUUUAGGAACUUCAGGCAGCUGGCAUGGGCAAUAAGGACUUAUGCUGUGGAAAACAAGUUCAAGGUUUAUAAGCACAAGUUUGAAAAAUCCAGAGUAACUGUUGGAUGUAAUUAUUUCAGGUGCCCAUGGUUUUUACAUGUUGCAAAAACUAGAUUUGGACAAACCUUUAUUGUUAGGAGGCUUCACAACGUACAUACAUGUCAGAGAGACUUAAAGAAUCCUGAAUGCACUGCAGAGUUCAUUGUUGCCAAGUUUGCUGCAACUAUAAUUGAGCAUCCAGAUACAAAGGUUGGGUGGAUUCAAAGUGAACUUAGAAGGAUGUAUGGAGCUAAGAUACACAAGUAUAAAAUUUAUAGAGCAAAGAAGAAGGUUUUACAGAGACAAUGAGCUGAUUAUGAGUCUAGUUACAUGUUGAUCAGAAAUUAUGCUCAGGCCAUACUUACUAAGAUGCCACAGGCCUUGGCAUUGGUUAAGGUUUUCAGGAUGCAUGGUCAACAACCUCAAACUCACUUUGACAGCACUGUUAUAUCUUUCCAUGCCCUCAGAGAUGGCUUCAACCAAGGUUGUAGACCCUUCAUUGGUAUUGAUGGAUGCCAUUUGAAGGGUCCAUAUAAGGGUGUUCUUUUAUCAGCAGUUGCUAUUGAUGCCAACAAUGGAAUCUUCCCACUUGCAUUUUGUGUAUGUAGUGUCGAGAGUACAACCAGCUGGACAUGGUUUCUAAGCCACUUUAGGGAAUUUUUACAAGAUACAAGACAACUGACCUUUAUGUGUGAUAGGCAGAAAGGAAUUCAGAAUGCUCUUGCCUUAGAGUUUCCUAAUGCACAUGUUAGAUUCUGUGCUAGACACAUCUUAGCAAAUAUUAAGUUAAAACAUCCUCAAUCUGACUUUAAAGCAUAUUUCUGGGCAGCAGCAAGAGCAUCAAACAGAAGGGCAUUUGAUGAUGCUAUGCAAAACAUAAGAGCAGCACAUGAGGGUGUAUAUGAGACUCUUAGGAGGAUACCACCAAAUUUCUGGUCAAGGCAUGCCUUUGACAAUAAUUGCAAGUCUGAUCAUUGCACUAACAACGUAACUGAAUCUUUUAAUGCAUGGAUUGGGAUUCAAAGAAAGUUGCCAAUAAUCUCAAUGCUGGAGUGGAUUAGGAAGAAGCUGAUGAAAAGAAUGAUUGGAAGAAGAAAUAAGGCAGAGUCUUGGGACAGUGAUAUACCAAGAAGAAUUUAUGCACAAAUGAUGAAGAAUUUACAGAUUGGCAGUGCAAACCCUAUCUGUAGAGCUAGUAAAUGGCUUUAUGAAGUGGAUGAAAAUACCAAGACUUAUAUCGUUGAUCUUGAACACCAUAUGUGUGACUGCGGACAAUGGCAAGUUAGUGGGAUUCCAUGUGUACAUGCAAUGCCUUGUAUUGUGAAUAGUCAAAAAGAUCAAGCUCAGUUCAUUAGCCAAUGGUUGAAGAAAGAUACUUACCUAAGGUGUUAUUCUGGAUUGAUUAAACCAAUUCCAGAUAGAACGUCAUGGGUAGAUGCUGGUGGUGAUGAAAUACUGCCCCCUUUAGUGAGAAGACCACCUGGACGACCUAAGAUGACAAGAAGAAGAGAAGCUGAUGAGGUACCAGCACAUAAUAAACGAUACAAGAUGCAAUGCACUAUUUGCAAGGGAUUUGGACACAACAGAAGGGGUUGUCCUGUUAACCCUCAUAAUGCUCACAAGACAACAAGACAAUAUAAGGUGAGUGUGUAUGCUUGUAAGAGAAUAUUCAAUUAUUUUUUGAACCAUGUUCCUCCCAUGUGAUGACAGCUAAUGUGCCUUGUUUGUUUGUGCUUUUUUAUAGAAUAACCUGAAGAAGCACGUGACAAGGACAAAUGGGGAGCAAAGUGAAGGUAUAAGAGUAAUUUACUAAGUUAUAUUACUAUAUUACUUUACAGCUGUAUUAGAUAAUUAUAUAGUUGUGUAUCACCAAACUAUAUUAAAUUAACUUAUUUAUUUAACGUUGCUUUAUUGGUAAUUUAUAAGGCCAAGUUCACGGAAUUACCUCAACUAUUUUGGAAAGCCAAGACAAUGACAUGGUCCAAGUAACUGUCUCAGGCCAAAACAUAACAAAGAACCAGCAGACUGCAUCUAACAAACGCAAGAUUGGCAAUCAAGCAGGGCCAUCAAAAGCAAAUGAAGUCAUUGGCAAGAGCAUGAAUGGGGUCAUAUCUGUAGCUCCAUGGGUAGGUGAACAGGGAAGAAAAGUAAUGUCAGCCGCUGGAUUAACCUUCAGCAAAGAGGAUGAAGUCGGCAACUAUACUGAAAUGAAGCAUUUGGACAAAGGGAAGGCACCAGCCUUCCCUUCGUAAAGGGUAAAACCAUAGUUUUCUAUUGAUAUAAAUUAAUAUUGGUUUUGGAAAUGAUAUUUAUAAUUUGUAACUUGUUUUGUAGUGAUUCUUUGGCUAUGAUGGAGACAUUGGCAGCAAACUUAUUAACAAACAGUGGAGGCAACAUUAUCAUUUUUUGACACCUUCCACAAUGCCACAUCAACCCACCAGGCACAAGGUUAAGGUUAUCUGGAUGCUGAUUUCAUUAGGAUCAAGUGGCCAAGUAAUGACCAGGCAUGUCAUUGUUUUCUUUUUCUUUUUUAUUUUGGAGCUGAAAUUGGUGGAAGUUGUUGGACAUUAAGCUUAAGCAUUAUAGAGCUGGAAGCUGUGAUGACCUACUAUAAGUAUGAUUGGAAGGGUUUAUGGCAUUUUGAAAGUUUUUGGGAUUAAGAUACAUAUAGGACUGAUAUCAACCAAACCAACACUUUUUUUUUUUGUUUUUUGGUCACAUGUAUGUAAACACCAGAUUGGAUGUGACUAACAUUGUAAGUUGCUGCCAAUAUGCAUUUAUAGAUAAAAUAACUUAUUGCUAUUAUUGAUAUCAUAUUUGAUUAAAUGGUAUAUGUCAAGAAACGAAUGCAUUUUAUUGAUCAUAAGAUUUCAUUUUACACAUUGUUCUAGCAUUCCUUACAGUACAAUACAAGCAAUACAAGUAUAGUUAUCACUAUAAUCGUGAUUUGAUACUUCUUAUUUUUAUGAAGUAAACCUUCAAUAUUGAUGAACCUGUUGUGGAAGUCCUCAAUGUUAAAUUGUUGAAUCUCACUUGCCCUGUCUGCAGCUUCUUCUUCAAACCUUUGUAACGCUGCUUCAAUUUCUAUAGCCUCACCUGUAGAUGGUUUCCACCAUCUAAAGAAACCACAAGAUGGGUCAUUAGGGCAUGUGUAAUAUAGUUUGUUGGGGUUUGUUUUUGAUUCUGACACUUUGAUUUCUGCCCUUCUUCGACAGUAGCAUACUGUGUUAUAGAACUUGAUGAUGCCCCCAUUGAUUUUAGGUAAAUCCCUUCUUCUGUUAUAAGUUGAUGAACUUGAUGCAUUCCUUGAAGUGGACAUUUUCUUCAAAUUUCCAAUGUCGUGUCUGUUAUAUUCUUUUUGAAAUACAGCACAACGUAUCUGAACUUCAAGUUGUUGUGCUUGUUUUGUGUGUGAAUGAAGCUGCUGUUGAAGUUGUAUUGUUUCGGUGGGUAAAACCAAAUGUUGUACUACUGUAAGUUGUUGCUGAGUAAAAAAAAUGGUGGAGUUUCCAGGUGAGUCAAUGAAAAUCACUGAGGUGUGAAGAGGGUAGGAAUUUAUAUGUGUUAAACAUCACAGCUUGUGGUGAUGCAUCAGCUCAAAUUUAUCAAUUUCUUUUACUGUUCUUGUAACCAUAUAGCCGUUAUUACUGUUGCUCAGAUUUUAUAGCCGUUGGAUUUUUGAUGCGCAUGGUAAUAAACCAAUAUGCUAAGGGCAAUAUAGUCAAUAUAAUUUAACAGUUAUAGUUGGUCUUCGUGUGUAAAUACACCUUUAAAUAAUGGCCAGUGGUAAAUUCCUUAGUUCAAUGACUCACCUGGAUGCAUUUGAAUUCAACGCAAGGGUAUAUUUGUCAUUUAAUCAAAAUAUAGACUGAUCCGUUACAAUUAACUAAAAAAUAAACAGAAAUGGGUGCGCGGUGCUCAUAGGCAAAAGAAUUGGGUGCGUUGUGCUGUAUGUCAAAACAUUUGGGUGCGGGGUAAAAAUUACCCUUUGGAUUAUGAUUUGAGGGUGCAAGUAUUUACCUAGAGUUUACCUCCGCACUAAAUUCUUAAGUUUUGAAAAUUAUGAGACCUUUAUAUUGGGAGAUAUUGUAAUCGAAUCAAAACUUAAAUUUUUUAUAAUGUUAAUAUUUAAUCUUUUAAAAAACAAUAACCUCGCCGUUACAGUUUGGAUUAAGAUUUGAGUAAGUAUUUACCUAAAUUUUACCUCCGUCUGUAAAUUCUUAAGUUUUGAAAAUUAUGAGACCUUUAUAAUCGAAUCAAAAUUUUGAAUUUCAAUAUUAUUAUUCUUUAAAAAAAAUUUUGAGAUAACAGAGUGAUUGAUAAUAUAGGAGAACUUGUCUAGGCAAGCACAUGUAUACACAGAAACGUGAUGGAUUCAAAAAGAAAUUAAAGUGAUAAUGCGAAAUCGCUUGGUGGCCCAGUAAAAUUACGACUGAAUUUUUUUUUUUUUUUUUACAAAAUUCAAGCUCAUAAAUGACAAAUUUCAUUUCCCUUUCACACGUCAUUAACUUUUGUAACAUGGUGUGUGCAUCGUCAAGUGAGGCAAAAGGGUUUCAAUUACAGUUGGAAAACAUGAACAAGAAUGCAUAAUGAAUAAUUCCUUCGAUAAACCGAAAAUUAAGCACAGAAUAAUCCUAAAAUUUAAACUCUAAUAUCUUAUAAUGUAUUGAUUAAAAAUAAUCCUAAGAGCUCCCAAUUGAAACUUUCAUAAGUAUUUUAAUUGUUUUGGAUAAACAAAUUGCACUAGGAUAAAAAUUUGGCAAAUUCAGAGGAUAAUGGAAAAUAGUUAUGCUUCAAUAGGCCAAAGAUUAGAGAACAAAUAAGAAUUAUUUAUUGAUAUACAAAAGAGAAACACUCCAAAAUUUCAAGCAAAAAUAGUUUCAUAUAUCAUUUCGAUUUUGAAAGGGAUGAGAUUUUGAACUUCAAUAGUUUCCUCUAAAAUUAAAAGGUAGCAAUUAAGCUAAAAAGAGCAAUGAAGACUUAUUGGUACCUUAUUAAAGGUAAACAUUAUGGAACUUUCAAUGUCAUUAUCUCACUGUUCAAUUUUUAUUGAGAUUUGUGUAAGCAUUUACCUAAAUCUUACCUCCGCCUUUAAAUUCAUAAGUUUUGAUUAAUUAUGAGACCUUAUAUUGGGAGAUAUUAUAAUCAAACUAAAACUUAAAAUUUCAAUAUCAUUAUUCUUUAAAAAGAAAUUGAGAUAUCAGAGUAAUAUCACAUAGAAAAACUUGCCCACGGACGGUAAGCCAAAAGUCUAGUCAACCACACGCAUAAAGCUAACUAGAACAAGAGAACAGAGAAACGCGUGGGUCCCUAAAAGAAAAGGCAAGCACAUAAAUAACUUUCAAAAUGCCCAAGCAAAUACCGAUGAAAAUCACUGUUUAAGAAUAAUUUAUUAUGUGGUUGAAGCUUUCUUUUUAUCAAUCUUCUUUCUACCCAUUAAUUUUCCCACGACUUUCCCGUUUCAUUUCUUGAAUCUCCAUGGAUUAACUUUCAAUAAACCAUAAAAUAAACUAAGGAAUCAUUUUCUCGAAUACAGCUAUGAUUUUAAUAAAUGGGCGGACCAUCUAGAAUAGUAUAUAUAAUUCUGUUUAAUUAAUAAGUUGAAAAAACCAUCAAGAGAAAUUCUAAUAUUAUGAGCUUGACACGAAUUCUUCACUAAUUCCAAAACAAGGAGCUGUUUUAUAAGAACUGUGGUUGGAUUAUUAAGUUUUACAAUUUGAAUAUAAAUAAGAAAAUAAAAUCAGUCGCGUUGAUGUUUUCGAUACAUUUCGCUGCUAACUUUUUUUUUUUUUUUAUUACAUGAGACUAUUGCUCAAAUUACAACUCAUAUUACAUGAGAAUAUAACUGAUAUUUACAAAUCAGACUAUAACUGGGACCAAUAUACAUCAAUACUAAUGGAGCGCUGCCCAGAUUUUAACCCUCUCAAAUAUUCAAGGGAUGUCUACACCUCACACUUGGGUAAGGAAACAGACUGUCUUCACUUAAAUUUACUUGAGGAAUGAAGACCCCCACAAUACAUUGUGGGGGUUCACCACUCGACCAAAGGCCGAGUGGCUCAUUUCGCUGCUAACUUAAUUAAUUACUUUACUUCAACUUUAUUUCCUUAGGGGCACUUUAUGGUGGGUCCAAGAUGGGACCUACAAUAAUCAAUCCUAAAAUUUAGUAUGGUUACCAAAUAGCUAGUAGCUAGUGUUAUUUUGUGUUUGGUGGAAGAGAUUGAAUAUUUAGUUUUAACUUAACCAUUCAACUAAUUAGAAAAUAAAUAAAAUUAAAUGAAAUGUUUAGAUAUCAAUUUAAAUAUUAAUAUCGGGGAUAUAAAUUAGUUAUAAUAUAGUUCAUUACAUAAAAUUGAUUAAAUUAAUAAUUACCCGUGAACAUAGAUGUAUAUGCUUUCCAAUUUCCAAAGUGCUCAAAGCACUUUUCUCACCAAACUUUCCUCUGAAUUUCCCGUAGCUGACUCCUUUGUUUGCGUUUUGUGAAAUUUCUAGGAACUUUUUUCGAUUUAGAAUAUUGUACAUUUUUCUUUUCAGCUGAGAUUAAUUUAACUUAUAGAAAAUCUUAUCCUUUUUUAAUAUUAUUUAAAUAAAAUUUGUCUAUCUUUUAUUUUAUUAGUCUACUUUUUACCCAUUAAUUAAGACUUUUCAAUUUCUUUUUUACCUGAGGUUUUCAGUGACUAUCUUUCAAUAAACCAUAAAAAUUACUUAGUCAUUUAUCGAACAAUUAGAUGACCAUAUUUCAAAAUAUCAACUAGAAGUUGUCCUGAAAUAUUUAAUUAAUAGUUGAAGAAUUGUGAUUAGUGUGGGCAUCUACAUAAAAAUUAUAUUAAAACACCGCUAAAAGAUAAAAAUAAAAUAAAAUAGUACAAACAUACACCCAUAGGUUAAAACAAAGAAAAAACACGAACCAAUACACUAAAAUGUUUUAGCUGUAGUUAGUUUUCAGUUUCAUUACUUAAGUCCCACGUGCAUGUCACGUGACUGAGGUCAAAAAAUGAUUGUCACAUUAAAGUUCAAAAUACGGAGCAGGGUAAUUAAGGAGUGGAGCUAUUGGCACCCCUCCAUUAUUCUUACAAAACUCCACUUUAAAUCAAAAUAUAAUUAAGAAUAAUUGAAAAUUAAACACUUAUAGAUUUCUUUACAACAUGUUGAGUGAUAAAAAAGCACCAGUCGGGCAUGUCCCCAUUUCUUACCCGGUGCCGAAUCUCCACGGUCGAAUGGUAUGAGUAGACUCUUGGUGAUGUCUUCUAUGUGGAGCACGUAACAACAGACCAGGAACUAGUACCAACCAAAAACGAGUACUGAUCGAAACAAGCAUGACCAGAAACGCAUACCGACCAGAGACUUGUGGGUCCGUAAAAGAAAAGGCAAGCACACAAAUGAAAAAGCCAUUACAUUUCUAUUUUACAUGUCAUUCCUAAUUUUUGUAACACGAUGUGGCAGCAUAUGCACAAUCAAAUGAGGCAAAAGGGAUUCGACUAUCGUGGCAGAACAUGGACGAGGACGCGUGAUGAAUAAUUCCUUCGAUAAAACGAAAAACAAACGCAGAGAAAAGAAUUUCUUAUAUGACAAGAAAUUAAAGUAAUGUGACGGAACAUGAUGAAGAAAUUGCAGAUCGAUCAAUUAUCCCCAUGGACUCCUAUAAAUUCAACCAAAAUAACAAUUCCAAUAUUACCAAAUUCUUGAGUUAAAUUUAUUCAAUGCUUUUUUUUAAGAGAAAUUUUUUCCAAUGCUACUUUCCCUUUUUUGGGGAAAUUAGAACUGCGGCAUGUAUAGAAGACAUUGAGGUAUAAAGCAACAUUAAUUUCAUGGGUUAUGCGUUAUACGCAUAAUAUAUUUUCAGUCCAAAUUCAACUAUGCAAAGAGGCUUGAGAACUUAAAAUUAAGCACAAACUAAACAGACGAAGUAAAUACAUGAUUAUGCAACAUAACAUUAAUUCUCUUAAUUUAUAACCGUUUUGCCACAUGAAUCUUGCACAGUUAAUCCUAAUUGAAGACUAAAAAAGAACAAUUGGAACAAGGUUUUGAAAUAGAAUGAUAGACAAUCGAUAUGAUCCAUUUCCAGUCGUCAACGCUAAUUAACUGCAGUUUCUAGACUCCUAAUUAUACUAGCCAUAAGAAACUGUUUAGAAAACUGGUGAUCAGAUUAGAUUUUGAAAUGAAAUAAUGUUCAUUUUCCCUUCGUUACCCUUUUAUUUAUUUAUUAUUUUUAUACCAAAGAAUUCUAUCAUGAAACGAAUCAAUUUAAUCACCUUUUCCAGCAGCACAAUUUUUCUUUUAUAAAAUUUGACCACAGAGACAAAGAAGAAUUAUUCAUACCUUCAUCAGUAAGGAAAUACUUUUCGGUAUGGCUAGGGUGAGAAAAGGCUUUCCACAAACACUUGUACUUUGUAUUCCUGUAAAUUUUCUUUAAAGUCAAUAAAAAUCAUAAGUUCUUUACAAUAACCAUCUCUUUGAUAAAAAAAGUGCCGUAUUCCUUUAGAAUUUAAAACCGGCAAAAUCGAAUCAGUGUCUUUGAAGAGACAUAAUGGUCAUAAUUCUUUAAAGAGUUGGCUAUGGAAAUCCUUAUCCAAGAUUCUUUUACGCCAUAUUCUUUCGUAAACCAAAAUUCAUUUUGGAAUACUCUGUUGAGAAUGUCAAAUAAAACGGUAUUGAAGGAAGUUUUCAAAGGCAGAAUCCGCACUUGUCAAAGGGAUGAUCUGCAUUUGUCAGAGACACAAUCUGCGUCGAAUGAAUCGACACAUUUCCUUUUGUAUUCGCAUAUGUAAUUUUUGAAAAAAUGUAGCUUCUGCAUCUAUAAAUAACGCUCAGUGUAUAAUGUUUUAUUCAAAAAAAGAAAACAAGUUUCUUCAUACUCGUCGUCCGAACAUACAGAGACCGUCUCUCAUAACUUCAGCCGAAUACUUAUGAUGAUGAUCAUUUGUGAUUUCAUCAGGCAUAGGGUUGAUGGUGAAAAAUUUUGUAUGUGUGAAGAAUUGAGCUGUGGAUAUAGGGGACUUAAGUGUAAUCGAAAGAGAGUUAUUAGGCCAUAGUGUAGAUUGCAUUCAGUUUAUGAGUCGAUAUGCAAAUAAUUUGUUGACGUGGCGAAAUUUGUUAUGGUCGUUACUAUUGUUUCUGGAAAUUUUCUAGAAACCUCAGCAUAAAAGGGGCUUUUGGAUAGCCUCUGGUGUGCGUGUGAUUUCUCUUUCGUUUCCUCAUCAAAUUCUGUAAUUCUUGCUUUGAUAAAAAGCUUGUAAUCUCUUCUGUAAUUGUGAUCAGUGCGUAAUCAUUUUGAGCGAUAAAAGCUUGUAGGUUUUUCCUUCAAACAAUGUCGUUUUGGUCAGUUUGUUAGUUUGAUCUGUUGGUGGAAUUUUCUUUGGUUAUUUGUUCUCAAAUUUCAACCUUAUAUAAAGUUUGAACUCUAAUGGCUUAUAAUGUAUUGAUUAAGAAUAAUCCUAAGAGUUUCCGAUUGAAAUUUUUAAUGACUAUUUUUAUUGUUUUGGAUGCACAAAUUGCAUUAAGAAAAAAUAUUGUCAAAUUCAGAGGAUAACGGGAAAUAAUUAUGCUUCAAAAGGCCAGAGAUUAGAGAAUAAAGAAGCAUUCAUUACUGAUAUAAAAACUGCUUCUAUUUGGAUUUUGAAAGGGGUGAAGUUUUGAACUUCAGUUGUUCCUCUAAAAUCAAAAGCAAUAAUUAAGCAUUCUCAAUUAGAAAGAGCAAAGAAGACUUAUUGGUACCUUACUGAAGCUAACAUUAUGGCACGGUUGUUCAUAUGUAAUGGCUGCUCUGUUAUGCUAGCUUCUCUGUUUUUGCUUCUAUUUUUGCUUACAGUUUUGAAGAUAAAUUCUUGCUCAAAUAACACAUAAUUAAAUAACACUAAUAUGGCUCAUGAAAUCCUAUAAUAGCUAAUUACGCAACUUUCUCCUCCUCCUCAAUUCUGUCUUCCCCUGCUCGGACACUAACUUCAAAAUUCAAUGCCCCGAAAAACAACACAAGAAAUCUUUGAGUUAGUUCGUGACCAGUUUAUAUAUAGUAGCAAUUGAAAAAAGAAAAAGAAGAAAAGAGUUAAUUAUUUUUCAGACCUUCACUUAUUAGGAAGUUUGUUCUGCUAUUGGGUGAGAUCAAGCUCUCAGCAUAUACUUCCACAUGAUACUUUCUAACAUUUUCUUGAAAGCCAUCAAUCAUUAAAUCUUCAUACUUUUUUCCAUCCUUUGGAUCAAUAAGUACAAAUUUCUCAUCUAAAAAAGACAAAAUAAAAUCACUGUCCUUCAUGGAAUCAGAAUUGAGCUUACAAAAACCGAAGUGGACAGUUCCAUUCAGAUUGGUCGCCCGAGAACAAUGAUGAGAAGACUUAAAAUCAGUUUCAAAGGUUUUCCAAGUAUUGUUCCUCUAAACCACUUGUAUAUUUUACCAGAACUCUUGGUUAAGAAAAUCCUAGUCCAUGGAGUAUGAUAUAUCAAUCAUGCAACAAUGACCUACAACAUCUAUGUGGAUUGAUUUUUGCAAAAUAAAGAACAAUGCUGACUGAGGAAUAAGGUGCAUACCCGAUUAGCAAUAUCUCAGCAAGUAACCAACAAUUUUUUAUCUGAUAAGAAAAAAUUACAAUUUCUUGAAUAUACAUGAAACAUUUUGCAGAAAGAACCAUGUCAUAAUUAUUAGUCCAACUGAAGAAUUAUCAAUACUUAUCACAUGAAACGAAAGAUACCCGAGUUCACUUAAUGAAAUUCUCUUUUUUUUUUCUCUAACAUUGAGAUAAGCAAAAACUUUUAACUAAAGACAAUCAUCUAGUGAUCUCAAACAAAUGAGGUUAGUAUGAAACCAUCAUAAUUUGUUCGCUCAUUGCCUAAUUUUAUUAAUGCAAGAGCCUGGAAGCAACUCAAAAAGAAAAUAACCGACAUAGGAAGUGUCAUCUCAUAUCUCACCAAUGAAUGGGAACAGCUUGAUGUGGCUGAGCAAACUGGCAGAAUUGUCAUUUUAACACACGUUCAAGAAACUCAGCAAAUUCUCAUAUCUGUUUAAAUUCCACAGCAAAGAUAGUUACAAGAAAUCUAAUCAAAAUUUAAAAUGUCAGAAGGCAAAUCUUCCAAUUAGGAUCAAAAGAAGAUAAUUAUAAUUUGUCAUUUCAAUUCUGAAUGUACAAUUUUAUUUUUUUAUGUGUGCAUUAAUUAAGAUUCUACCUUCUCUGCAAAAUUGUGAUGGACUUGGUAAAUAAUGAAUUGUAUCGACUUGAAUUUUAUACAACUUAUUGAGAUAAUAAUACGCCAAAUUCAACACCGUCCAUCCCAAAUCACAACAAGAAACUCAAACUUUUAUCCCCUCAAGUGGGUUCUUGAAACUGAAGCUUUAGUGCCAGUACAAUUUUGAAAGAUUGUGAUCAAACUAAAACAUCAAAUAAAAUAAGACGUAACAAAAACACGUCUUCAGAAAAUUAGUAUAGGAAUAAGAUAAGCUACACAGACCUACUUCAAUGAAUUAGAAAAAUUAUGAUAAACUUGAUGCAUUUCGAAAAACAACAAACAAAUAUUCCCAGGAAAACAAAAAAAAGACAACUUUGUUUAAGCUUAGACAAAAAUAACUAAGGACAUAUGAAUGCAUCAUAAUAGUAUCUCUAUGGGUAAUUUUCAGAAAUCUCCCCUAAGGUAUGGUGUAUUCUUAGUUUGAUAGAAAAUAUCUAAGUAUUCUUAUAGACCUCCCCUACUGUUAGUAUUCCAUUUCGUAUAUGUUAGGUAGAUGAGGGUAAGAUCGUAAUUUGAAUAAGUUAAUGAUAAAAAAUCCAGAAAUUUUAAGAUUUUCACAUUGGCCUCUGGGCUUUAUUCAUCUCUUUCAUCCACCAAAACCAGAAAUACAACUCACCUCUCUCCUCCACCUAAAUCGAAGCAAGGUAGCUCAAAACUCAUUUCAAAAAAUUGAUCAAUUACUUGGGUCACAAACUAGAGACAAUGACGACGAAGUUGAUGACGCCAAUAUCGACGACGAAGCUGAUGACGCCAAUAUCGACGACGAAUGAUUCGCAACUGCCAGGUAAGAGAGUAUAGUAGGUUUCGCCAUCGAACGCCCAAUCAUCCAGUUGUUUUGGAGCCGCGUUAUUUUUAUUAGCUAAAAUUAGAAUUUUUAGUGAAAAAUUGAAAGUGGGUCUCAAAAUUUUUUGAGAGCGUAUAUGUUUCUCCUGAUUUUUCGAUCGAUUCGUGUUAGUUGCAGUUAAAUGAUUAAUCCAAUUCGUGUUGAAGAUAGAGCUAACUCGAAUAUCUCUAUAGUCCUGUAAUUGAUUGAAAAUGGGUCUUGAAAAUUGUUUUAGAUUUCAGCUGUGUGCUUCUGAUUUUUUCCAUGGAUUCAUGAUAGAUGAAAAUGGUUGAUGAAGAUUUGCUUGACAUGUAUAUAGAUGGUAUUUUGUUAAAGGGGUUUUAAUUUUUUCCUUUUUUGGUGGUUUCGAUUGUGGUAUUUACAUGCCUUAGGUUGAGAAAAACGAAAAUGGUUUGUUGCACUCUUUUGUGUUGGAUCAGUGAGUUUAGGCGAUUUGAAAUGGUUUGCGGCAUUCAAUUGAUUGUUUUAUUUAUGUGGUUUGAUAUGGGAAAAGUAUAAUAAAAUUCAAUUGUUCCAUAUGUCAAUUUGGAUGUUUUGAAAUUAUGAACUACAAAAAGUUAAAAUUAAUUUCUUAUUAUAUUUUCAAUUGAAAGUUACUAUUGUCUUCUUUUUAGUACUUAGUAUGCAUUUUUCCCCAUCUUCUAGUGGUGGUGUUGCACCCAUUUUGAAUUUGAUCGGCAUCUUCUUCUGUACAUGCAUGUUUCUUGGACUCCAAUUUUUGUUUCAUAUGAUGAAGCUAAUUUAAUUCCUCCUUUUUAAUAUCAACUUUGUUCAUCUAGGUUUGCGAUUUUGAUCUUUCUCAUUUGAAGGCAAACACAUUUAUGUCAUCAAAAUUUCCAAUAUUUUUUAUUUUAUAGUAUCCAAACUGCUUAUGGCAAUAUGAAAUUGAGAAUAUUUCUUUCAUCAUGUUAACCUAAGUGGAUGGUGGAUGAUGUUUGUGUAAGAGAUUUAAGUUAUUUGUAUUAUAGAAUAUGUCUUAUGUUUUGAUUUGCAAUUUCACCAUUAAAUUGGCUUUGUAAAUGAUUAGAAGCUAAAUGCAUAAAAUGAAAACAAUAGUAACAUUUCUGAGUGGGGUAUAAUCAGAUGCUAACAUGGCGAUCCAUGACUUGUAAUUUCUAUUGUCGUUAUAAUUGGACUAGAUCGAGGUAAACUGACUUUUCUUGUUCUGUUUUUUUUUUCAUUUCUUUGUUCUAGAUUUUUCUUUCUUUGUUUUACUUCUGGUUUCUUCUUCAGCAUAUUCAAUAACUAGCAUGAGCAAAUGGAGAGGAAAAGGGUAGAAUAUGCUUUUAAAAAAAAAGAAAAGAAAAAAAGAGAUAGCUCUAAUUCAAAAAUAAGGAGGAGAAAAGGGCAAUGAUUGAAGUUGUGGAGAAGAAAUUCUUAAUGCAUAGGAGAUGACAACAAAGUGUUGCAACUGGGAGCAGUUUUAAAGUGCUAUUCGAUUGCUUUUGUAAUCAAAUUGUCUUUUGUACCUAUUUAUACACACACAUAUUUGUAUUUGUAAUUUGAAUUUUACAUUUUCUCAAGACAACUAUGUUUAUUUUAAAAAAAAUCUAAAUGUAACUAAAAUAUUAAAGUUUUUGUACUUAUUACUCCAUUUGAUGAUUUUUUUUAUUUUUUUGCUGACGAAUAUUCCAUGUCAAUUUUUUUCCCUUCAGCUCGUUUAAGGUGUUUUAUUGUCUGAUGUGAUAUUUGGUGCUCGGGAGGAAGGGUGUUUUAAGUCUUUUUUGGUGUCAGGGGCAAUUUUGUCUUUACAUCAGUCAACAAAUAGUCAAUGGAUGGAAAUGCAAACAGCAGGGGAGGUGUCUGAUAAUACACGGAUACUUUCUAUCAAACUUAUAAUACACAAAAUCUCAGGGGAGGUUUUUGAAAAUUACCCAACUGUGCAAAAUUAUGAAAAAAAUGAGCUAAACAUAUAUAGCAUUUCAGAGGAGUGCUUACUUGACAAAUCACUAAUACAAAGCUGCGAAUGGGCAUUCGGAAUGUUUUGAGAGACUCGUAUGGAUAAAAUAUGUAGUUAUUUAAGUAAUGACAGAAGGAGAAUCGUGUGGCUUGUCAAAGCCGUUAGCUCCAUCUCAUUUGCCUCGUCCUCUCGUUUUGUUUCUGUGGGGACAUAUUUGAUAUUUUGGAUUUUGUCUAAAAUUCGUCAUGUUUUUGGAUACUAACAUCUGCGCCUCUAGACCAAUAGCCAUUUGAUUAAGUGGGAGAACCCUUACACUAGUGUAAGAAUUUGAACUUUUAUAAAAUUAUUUAUGAGAUUAUUUAUAAUUUUUUUUAAUUAUCAAAUAAUUGAGUAGAGUCAGUUUAAUCCUUACGAAAUAUUUACUAUUCAUAAAUAUCUUUUUUUUUCUCUAUCUUACAAUUGAAUAUUCUCUCUCUACUCCAACAUUAUGUAACCUAAAUAUUUAAUUUCACUCUUUUUUAAUUUAUUUUUUUGUCUUUUCUUAGUAUAUUAUAAUCUUUAUUUCAUGUUUUCUAUAUAUAAGAAUUUUUUUAUAUCUAUUAAAUUUUGUGUUUAGUGAAAAUUAAUUUCUUGAUAUUUUUAAUUUUUAUAAUUGAUAAAAAUAUAUCAAUGUUCAUUUUUAAAUGAUGGGUUUUGUUCAUUUUAGUUUGUUAUAUUAAUUUUUUGUAGGUAAAAGAAUAUAUUUGAAUGAAUUGAAGGAAAAUUGUGAAAUUGAGAAGAGAAAGAGAAGAAAAAGUUAAUUAAAUAAUUUUUUCAAAAAUUAUUUAAAUAAUAAAAUUCUUAAUUAAAAACAAAGAUGGAGAGAGAAAUUUAGUGGGUUCAAAAUACUUAUUUUAAAUCCAAAAAAGAACCAAUAAAAGAAAUCAAAAGAUGAUUCUUUUCUUUCUGACAUAUUUCUCUGUACUUUUCUCUCUCUACUGAUUCACAAUUUUUCAUACUUCUAACUAUCAUUUUAUUCAAGUAUUUUGUAUUUUUAAUGACAAUUAUUUAAUUUUUAGUUAGUUUUGAUAUUGAUUAGAGAUUUAAAGUGUAUUUUAGAAGACUUCCGGUCUCUUGAAAAAAGGAAAAAUGGAGAAGAAGAAGUGUUCUUGAUUUUUUGUAGGCGUUAAAGUUAAAUGGUUUGAAAUGAUAUUCUUUUUUAAUUUCACUCAUUAAUCUCAUUCAAGAUAAAAUUAUAAAUGCAAAUAAAUGGGGUUUCAUAAGUAUUUUUAAUAGUGUUAAAAGGUCUACUCACUAAAUAAACAUGUUUAACCCAAACCAAUGCGAUUAGUAAGUUAUUGGGUUGGGUUAAUCAGGUUAAAAAUCAAAAUUAAAAAUUAAAUAAAUAAAAAAGGUAUAAAAACUAUCUGUUACUUGAAAAUAAAAAGAAUUUCUAAUUGUUAGUUCUAAUGUCCCAUAUCCAAAACAUGCAUAUUAAAUAAAUAUUAUAAGUUAGAAAUACAAUAUCCAAGAAAGAAUGAAUGAAAUACCAUAUUUUUGUUGAGAAUUAAGAGUGUGAUUUUAAUUUUGAUAUUGGAGUCUAAAGUGCCACGUUUAAAUAUUCUCUUUUAUAAAAUAAUAAAAAGAGGUUAAAAAUUAGGUUAGCAAUUUAGCCAUUUAGGGUUUAGCAAUUAAGGAUGAACAUAUUAUUGUUGUUGUUGUUAUUAUUAUUAUUAUUUAUAUGUUUACUAAUCCAAUCCAAUCCAAUUAUUAACGAAUUUGAAAAAAUUGAUUCAAUCAAGCCAUAAUAAUUCAUUCAACUCGUCUAAAUUGGAUUAGGUUGAAUUUGGUUUGCCACCCUUGUUUUGAGCAACAAACCUCAAUGUGAUUCCAUGAGCUCUUUGAUUGUUUAUAAAAUUGUUUAUGAAAGUGCAAAAUAAAUUAUUGUAUACAUUAAAAUGUGCAAAACAAUGAAUUAUAUGUACGAACGAGUGCAAACACAUUUUUCAAUAAGAAGUUAAAAGAUAUUUAUGCAUGAAAAAGCCUACGUUUGUAGUUAUUCUAAAUUUUAAAAACAAAAUUUACAUUUAGAUCCCUAAAAUUUACGUAUAAGUACAAAAGUUUCAAAUAUUGUCUAUUAUUUUUUUAACAUGCCUAUUCCUUGUGGAUAAUUCUAUCUCAUCACUAAUGUUGUUUCUUGCUUACAAUUUGUAUAGUGUCUCAAAAUAGACAAUAGGGGGAUUUUGAAUUUUUUAAGUCUCAAUAUAGUCUCUAAUCUUGUGAGAAAGAUUUUCUUUCAAUAAUUUGGAGGUAAACAUAACAUAACUUUUUGGACUAAAGCCUAACUCUGCUGGUUAUGGUGGUAUCCUUUUCAAGACCUGCGUCUUUAGAUUCGAGUUUUAUAGUGUGCAUGCGUAUUUAAUUAAUAAUUUUUUAAAACAAUACAUCAAAUAUUAAUAUCCAUGACAUAAUUUAGUUCUUAAUUUUUUUUUUAAAUACAUCAAAAACAUAAUUUUUUUAACAACUUAUAGGCAUGACAAAUUUCAAGAUAUAAAUAUCAGUCAAAAUAAGUGAAAGAAAUAAUGGUGCCAAUUCUAAUUUCUUAACUAAAUUAAUUAGUGCAUGAGCCCCGAAUACGACACGAGAGUUUGAUGGGCUAACAUGGCACAAGAACCUGAAUAAAUAAUUGAUUUAAGAAAUAAUUCAAUGAAAAAUAUAAUUGAUAAGAAUUCAGUAUUGAAAUGAGUUUUUUAUGAAACACUGAAUUAAUGAUUAUUAAGCAAGAACAAUAAAAAAUAAAUAUUAAUCAUUGAUAAGUUUCAACAAAAGCUUAACACAAUCCUCAAUCCUAAUUCAAAUUAUAAAUGUCAUUCAUAUAUUCAUUAUAAUCAACAACAAAGGUUAUAAAUGUUUAGAAAUUCUAGAGGGAAGGAAGCUAUCGCUGGGCAAUCAACAACUAAAUUUGAUGUAAUUGUGGCACGAGAUGGAAUAUGGAAACUACACCAUAAUUUCAAAUGCCGCCAUAGACAUUGACUUAUCUACAAUAACAAUGAUCUAAUUAAAAUAAAAAUAGAGUUUAUGGGCAUUUAUUAAAAUAAAAAUAGGAGUGAAGUAAAAACAUUUAGAUUUUAAUGUAUGUACGGAAAAAUUUAUCUUUAAAAAUACUUUCUUAAUGUGUGUGUGCAUAUUGAAAUACUCAAACCAAUUUUGGUUAUAUAUAAUUCAACAAAAUUUAAAAUAUGAAAAAUAUAAUGUAGUUAUAGUGGAUAAGCAAUAAGUGAGCACAAUAUAAUUAAUCAAAUACUAUGCUAUCAAAAGUUAAUUUUAGAAAUUCCAAAUCCAAUAGCUAACACAAUUCUUUAAAGAAAUAACAAGGGGCAUUGGGCAAGAGUAAUGAAUGCUUAGUGGGUGCAUUUGAUUGAUAGAUAUAUAAAGGGCCGAAACUUGAUAUUAUAUUACUUUUACAAAAUUUAAUCCAAUCACAUAUUUAAUGAAAACAAAAUGAGUUAGGAUUGUUUAUUUAGAACCCACAUUUUAAUAAGGCUUCAUUUGAUGUAGUUUUUCAAACAUUGAUUAUUUGAGUAAUUACAAAGUACAAUACGUACCAAGUUUGGUAACUUAAUUGACAUCUUCUCAUAUAACCUUCGAUCAAGUCGAUUCUGACCUGACGACUAAUUGGUACAUCACCGUUGUUCUCUAUACUCGCAUGCAUCCGAUCACAAAUCUCACUCCAAUUGUCGUCUUUCUUCGGCGUUUUAGCGCAUCCUUCUUGAAUUUCCCGCAUUUCGUUCCCUCCUGUUACAAGUCUCCGGUCAGGUCAGUUCACUUGACGAUUAAUUCGGCAAAUCUCGAAUCUCUUCUCUAUCCCUCUCGUUUUCUCGUGUCUCCUUUCAGUUUAAGUGAUUGAAUCAAUUUUAUCGCAGUCUUAAGAGAAAUUAAGUAAUGCUCUUGGAUUUAAAAUUUUUUUGCUUUCGACUUUAGAUCUCGAAAGUCAAACUCUGCUACGAAUCCAUAGAUUCUCAAUGUUUAUAAUCUUAUUUGUGUUUGACCAGGUAACUGGAUCGUGAAAUUCGUCGUUUUGUAUCAAUUCAAGCUUUCGCGAGCUCAUGGAAUCCCCUGGUGAGUUGUGGUGAAACGUUAUCGUUUCAAUUUUCGCUUAAUUCUUUAUUGCAUAUUUUUUUCUCUCUAAUAUUUCAGUUUAAUUUAGAAAAGAAAGAGGACCCAAAAAGAGAGAGAGAGAGAGAGAGACUCUACCAUACUCAAUUCCUUGCUCAUUCUGAUUUGGCCUGAAUGUUGGCAUUGACUAUUAUUUGUUUUCAUUUCGAUUUAAUUCUCAUUUAGACAGUCUUUUUUAACUAGCAAUAAUCUUUUUAAGGAAAAUGAUAAUAGGGAUUCUGCAAUAAUCUUUUUAAGGAAAAUGAUAAUAGGGAUUCUGCAAUAAUCUUUCUGCAUUGUUCAAGUUAGUAGACAAUGAAUAGGGUGUUUAUGUUUACCUCAUUUUGAACCCUGAGGGCUUCGUUGAGUAGUUGAUCCAACAUAUCCAGCACCGGUUGAUGUGAGAACAGGAUGCCAUUUAGAUAGGCUUAAACUGAUUUUGGAGGUUUGUAUUCAUUCUAUUGUAUGUCUUGCUUACAAAUUUUUUAUUUUUUAUUUUUAAUUUUGUAUAAUAUGCUCUUUGUUGGUAAAUCUCAUUUGACUUAGAAGAGAUAGUUUUAUCCCAACAGUGGGAUAAAUCAUUGAGAUGCAUGGCAGUGUGAAUAUAGUAGACAAAAUCAUUGAGACAGAUGGUGGUGUGAACAUAGUAAACUUUGUCAAACACAGCUAAGAUAAACAAAUUGUUUCAUUAGCCUUUAUCUUAUCUGCUGUGAUGAUUCAAAUUAAUGCUGUUUGGUAGGUUGCAAAAAACGAAAUGAGCUGACUGUUCAUAUUAUUUAGUCAGAUCUAUUGCAAUAAGUUGAAGUUCACUGUCACAUGGGUUGGGAGUAGCGUGGGCUGUGAGUAGUAGAAUGGAUUUAUGGAGUUGAUACAAGUGCCCAUAAUCUAUCAUGUCAUUCUAGGAUUAAAUGGAUUGCACAUUACUGUAAAGAUGGAGGUUAAAUUUAUAUAAUUCGGAUUGAUUGUAAAAUGGGAGGCAGAGAUGAGUUAGAAAAAAAAUGACCUGUGUCCUUUUUGAGCUGUUUCUAAAUCUCCCUGGUGUGCUUCAUGCUUAACACGUGUCUGUCCAAAUAAUUUUGCUUAACCUGUGCUUGUCUACUUCUUGUGCUAUUCUGUGCCUGGUCCUGAGCUGUGUUGGUAGAUUGACAUAAUUUUGCUCUGCUAAAUGUAUAACUUAUUAAUCAGAGUCCUGUUAUUAUGGUUUGACACUACUGACAUGUUGUGUUGGUAUUUAUUUGUACUUCCCUUGGUUGAAUUAUUUGCUGUCUCCAUGCCAUUCGAUAUGGUGCUACUUGGUUUUUGAUCAUCCAUGACGCUAUAUAUAUGUAAAGGAUGAAUUGAUUGUUUUGGCUUGUAUUCUCACAUUUUAUGAUUGAUCGAUGGAAAGGUCUUCAUGUAUUAAAUUCAACCUCACAAGCGUAAGAUUGACAGAUUGUGGGAAAAUUUUCAGGAAAAGAAACUAGACUUCAUGGAAGCAAUGAAGCUUGAAAUUGAACGUCUGCAGCUGCAUCUUUCUGCAGCUGAAAGGGAUAGAGCUUUAUUGUCAAUUGAAACUGAUCCUGCCUCUAUAAAUCCAAAUGUAUUGCUUGAUGAAUCUUACAUGGGAAGACUGUCGAGUAGCAACCACUCUUGCAUUACUUGGCCAAACUUCCCUAGAAGACAAAAUUGUUGGUGCAAUUGGCCUUGAGAAUAGUGAUGAUAGUGUUUUAGACUUCUGGAAUAUUACUAGAAUCGGAGAGAGUUGUUCUGGUGGCGGGUGCAAGGUUUGUGCAGAAACUAAGGUGCCUGCUCUUGCUUCCUCAACUGCAACAUCUGUUGGAGCUUCACAAUCCCCUUUGUUGUGUUCUCAAUGUGAAAGAAAAGUUUGCAAAGUUUGUUGUGCAGGAAGAGGAGCUCUACUGUUUUCAAAUUAUAAAUCAAGGGAUGUGACCAACUACAAUGGCUUCUCAAGUCAGAGUGGAUGAAGCCAUGGAAGCCAAGUUGAUGUAUCUACCAGUCGUUCACUAACACUGGAUGGCGUUAUCUGUAAACACUGCUGCCAUGAGAUUGUGCCUGAUGCAUUGAUGUUGGACCAUGUUAGGGUCUUGAUUAGCUUGCGAAGAAGUUCCUGUGCAGACAACGCAGUCAUACAAUGCUUUGAAUGAGGUUGUUGGAUCCUGCUUAAAGGAUAGUGUUUCUGAAAGGAUUCAGUCUUCCGAUAACGUGCAAGCUGCUGAAGUCCUUCACCAAUUAUGUGGUGGACAGGAAUCACUUGCUGAAUUUCCAUUUGCUAGCUGUUUGCACUAGGUAUGUUCUUGGUUUGUAUUCAGUUCUCAUCAUGUUAUGUUUUCCUUUUAAAUUUCUUUUCUUGAUUAAAAUUUUUAGAAAUAUGUUUUAGUAUUUGUUCUUAUGAUAUAUGCCCAGAACAUUCAUCCCACUUAUCCAUGAGAAUCCUUGUCUGGUUUGAUUUUCAAUUGAGACAUUUUUGGGAACCCUGAGCAGGUUCCAUAUGCUAAUAAUCUUUGAGGUAAGGUGUUGUAGGAUGCCUUGAGAAGCUAAAAACCUAUUACAAGGAAAAGCUCUUGCAUUGUUUUGUGGAAUCUGUGUUGUGAAAAUAGGUAGAGAAAAAGUUUAUGGAAUAAUUCUCUUAUUUCAUAUGUUCAUGAGACUGUACACAGUCUUUAUAUAGGGAUACAAGAGACUAAGAAAGGAAAGAAAAAAUUAAAGCAGAAUAUUACACACUGAUUUCUAGGAAGCAAUAACUCUAUAUUUACACCAAAUAUACACCUAAAUAUAUAAGGAAAACCAAAUCAAUUUGAUUUGGUCAACCUUUCAACACUCCCCCUCAAGCUGGUCUAAAAAUGUCUUUCAUGGCCAGCUUGCAAACCAAUUUCUCAAAAUGUUUCUUAGGUAGUCCCUUGGUGAGUAUAUCAGCAAUCUGCUCAUUUGUAGGAAUGUAGGGCAUGCAGACCAAACCACUGUCCAGUUUUUCUUUUAUGAAAUGUUUGUCCACUUCAACAUGUUUAGUUCGGUUGUGGAGUACUGGAUUAUGUGCUAUUGCAAUGGCAGAUUUGUUGUCACAAUAUACUUUCAUAGGUAGAGAAUUAUUUGCCUUAAGUUCUUCAAGAACUUUUUUGAUCCAAAAAACCUCACAAAUUCCUAGAGCUACUGCUCUAUAUUCUGCCUCUGCACUACUUCUUGCUACCACAGUUUGUUUCUUGCUGCGCUAAGUGACCAAAUUUCCUCCGACAAAGGUGCAGUAACCCGAAGUGGAUCUUCUAUCGGUUACACUACCAGCCCAGUCAGCAUCAGUGUAGACUUCUACUUGUAGGUGCCCGUUUUUUCUAAACAAAAGACCUUUACCCGGAGAUCCUUUUAAGUAUCUAAGGAUUCUAUAUACAGUUUCAAAGUGUUCUGGUCCUGGAGCAUGCAUAAACUGGCUGACUAAGCUCACUGCAAAGGCUAUGUCCGGGCGUGUAUGUGAAAGGUAGAUUAAUCUACCUACAAGGCGUUGGUACCGAUCUAUGUUGGUCACAUCUUCAAUAUUAGCUGGCUGUAAUUUCAUAUUAGGAUCUAUGGGUGUCUCGGCUGCUUUACAUCCGAGUAAACCUGUCUCUUCAAGCAAAUCAAGAACAUACUUGCGUUGAGACACAACAAUCCCAUCUUUUGAUCUAGCAAACUCCAUGCCCAAAAAAUACUUCAGGUUGCCUAAGUCUUUGAUUUCAAAGUCACGUGCAAGCACUUUCUUUAAUCUGCAAAUCUCAACUAAGUCAUCACCAGUCAAAAUUAUAUCAUCUACAUAUACAAUUAACACGACUAAUUUCCCUUCAAUAGAAUGUUUGUAAAACAUUGUAUGAUCUGCCUGACUUUGGGAGUAGCCGUGUCCCUUUAUAACAUUACCAAAGCGUUCAAACCAUGCUCUAGGAGACUGUUUGAGCCCAUACAAAGACUUAUGUAGUUUACACACUUUACUGUUGCCAUGAUUUCCCUCAAAACCUAGUGGUAAAUCCAUAAAGACUUCUUCUUCUAGCUCCCCAUUCAGAAAAGCAUUUUUAACAUCUAACUGGUAUAGAUUCCAAUCAGAAUGUACAGCCAAUGAGAUAAGGACCCGGAUGGAAUUUAUCUUUGCAACGGGGGCAAAAGUUUCUUGAUAAUCAAUUCCGUAGGUUUGAGUGAAUCCUUUUGCUACAAGCCUUGCCUUAUAUCUCUCAACACUCCCAUCAGCAUUACAUUUAAGUGUAAACACCCACUUUCAACCCACAGUUUUCUUUUCUUUUGGUAAAUCCACAAUCUCCCACGUACCAUUCUUCUUUAGAGCAUUCAUUUCCUCUAAAACUGCUAACUUCCAAUCUGGGUGGUCUAGGGCUUCUUUUAUGGUUUUAGGAAUUGGUAUUUGAGAGAUUUUUGUGGUAAAGGCUCUUUGUUUAUUGGACAACUUUUCAUAGGAAACAUAUCUAGCAAUGGGGUGCUUAGUACAGGUUCGGGUUCCUUUCCUAUGUGCUAUGGGUAAGUCAAGAUCAGGAAAAAAAGUGCUGAAAUGUUUAGGAGAAGAAAUGUUACCUGAAUUUUCUGAGGAAUCAGUGCUUGGAGGCAACGAUUGAGGCUGUAUCGAGUUUAUGAGAGGGUCUUUACUGUUGUGAUGAUACUUUCGAGUAUAAACACGCAGCUCUGGUGGUGGAAUUUUAUCUUGUAGUAUUUCUCCCCCUGUCUCUGGUACAUUAACACUUGGUUCCUGUAGUUCAAGGUUUCCUAGGUUUUCAUUAUUAGAAAUAUCAGUUUUUUGAGUUUGAGUUGGAGUGCCCAGAUCAGGUAAAAACUGAUUAGGCAUAGGUGUAGAAGUAUGCCAAAAAUGAUCUUCACUAUUUUCUUUCUCCCCCUGAAGAGAAUUUUGGCCAAAAAAAGGUUGAUUUUCGAGAAAUAUAACAUCCAUACUGACAUGGAAUUUCUUUGUUUGAGGAUUGAAACAUUUGUAACCUUUUUUAUUAGGUGCAUAGCCCAAGAAAACACAUUUUUCAGAUCUAGGAUCCAAUUUAGAUCUAAGAUGGUUAGGAACAUGAACAAAUACAGUGCACCCAAAGACUCUUAACUGAAUAUUGGAGGUAAUCCUACUAGAAGGAUAUAUAAGUGUGAAGUAUUCUAAAGGUGAUUGAUACUUUAAAACACGGGUAGGCAUCCUAUUAAUCAAAUAACAUGCUGUUAAAACAGCAUCACCCCACAAAUAUUUAGGAACAUGCAUAGAGAGCAUGAUAGCCGACUAACUUCAAGUAAAUGGCGGUUUUUUCGUUCCGCAAUUCCAUUUUGUUGUGGAGUAUCACGACAAGUGGAUGUGUGAAUUAUACCCUUUUCCUUACAAAACACCUCUAGAUAAUUAUUAAAAUAUUCAGUACCAUUAUCUGUAUGGAGUAGACUUAUUUUUGUUUGAAAUUGAUUUUCAACCAUGUUAUAAAAAUCUUUGAAUAACCCCUCAACUUCAGAUUUUUCUCUCAUUAAAUAAACCCAACAAAGCCGAGUAUGAUCAUCUAUGAAUGUUACAAACCAUUUUUUUCCAGUUAAAGUGUUGAUUUUUGAGGGUCCCCAAACAUCACUAUGAAUUAAAUAAAAAGGUUUUGAGGCACGAUAAAUAAGUGCUUUAUAUGAAACUCGAUGACUUUUAGAUAAAAAACAACUUUCACACUGAAAAGUAGUACAAUCAACAUUUUUAAAUAAAUUUGGAAACAAAUAUUUCAAAUAAGGAAAGCUAGGGUGUCCUAGUCUAAGGUGCCAAAGCAUUAUUUGAUCCCUAGCAGAGUUUGAACUAAUACUACUGCUCAAACCUUGAGUUUGUUUAUUCCUUGAUAAGUAGUCAUCAAAAUAGUAAAGACCUUCUCGCAAACUAGCACUGCCAAUCAUCGUCCCCAAGUCCCUGUCCUGAAAUUCACAAUGGGAGUCAAAAAAGACAGCACAACAAUUAGAAUCUUUGGUUAAUUUACUGACAGAUAACAGAUUGCAAGAAAGUUUAGGGACAUGUAGCACAUUUUUAAGCUCAAUGGUUCCAGAGAUUUUUAUUGAUCCUUUUCCAGCUAUGGAAGAUAAGCUUCCAUCAGCAACUCUUACCUUUUUGUUACCAGGGCAAGGAUAAUAGGAAUCAAAUAAACUAGAAAUGCUAGUCAUAUGAUCAGAAGCACCCGAAUCAAUAAUCCAUGGUGCAGUAGUUGAGUGGCUAAAUAGAGCAUUAAUAAUACUACCUGUUUGGGCUAGUGAACCACUAGGAGUACUAGGUGGAGGAUUAGAAGUCAGCAGCUUUAUGAGAUGGUCAAUUUGCUCCUUGCUGAGAUUUUUUUCUAGAUUCUCCACUUCAUUGGCAGACGCACGGCUAUGCUUGCUGUUUUUCCAAUCUGCAGGCUUUCCGUGGAGUUUCCAGCAAGCCUCCCGAGUAUGGCGUGGUUUAUUACAGUAAUCACACCAUACUCGAGGUUUUUGUUGCUGUUGAGUGAUGGAGCGGGUAGCAUUAUCUGCUGUAACAAGGGCAGAUUUUUCCACAGAGACAACGGAGUUCUUUUUUCCCAACAUAACACCUCGACGACUUUCUUCUCUCCUUACUUAAGAGAAAACAUCCUCAAGAGUAGGAAGUGGCUUUCUCCCAAUAAUUCUUCCUCUUACCUCAUCAAAUUCAACAUUGAGCCCAGCCAGGAACUUGAAGAUUCGCUCAUUAUUGACAGUUUGUUUGUGGUGUUUAAAAUCUUCCAUGCUCUCCCACUCGUAGUCGUUGAAUAAGUCCAGAUCUUGCCACAAUCUCUUUAGAGUAUUGAAGUAUUUUGUUAUACUAUAAUCUCCUUGACGGAUAUCUCCAAGAGCAAGCUGCAACUCAUAGAUCUGGGACUGAUUUCCAUAGUCAGAGUACAUCUGACUCACAUUAUCCCAGAGUUCUUUUGCAGUAGAGUAGCACAUAUAAUUUGCACCAAUGUCUUCAUCCAUGGAGUUGACUAACCAUGCCAUAAUCAUGGAGUUUUCGGCAUCCCAAACACCAUAAGAGGGAUCAGAUAUUUCAGGAGCCUUAACAUCUCCGGUAAGAUAACCAAUCUUCCCUCUUCCCCUAAUAUACAUUCUAACCGACUGAGACCAUCUUUGAAAAUUUCCUUCAUUCAGCCGGAUAGUUGUAAUCUGGACAGAAUGAGAUUCAGAAUGGGAAAUUUUUGGUUCUAGUCUUUUUGAGGUGACUGUGGUUUCAGAAGAUUGGUCAGACAUGGUAGGGAAGAGAUCAGAAAGAAAGGGAGCCUAGCUCUGAUACCAUGUGAAAAUAGGUAGAGAAAAAGUUUAUGGAAUAAUUCUCUUAUUUCAUAUGUUCAUGAGACUGUACACAGUCUUUAUAUAGGGAUACAAGAGACUAAGAAAGGAAAGAAAAAAUUAAAGCAGAAUAUUACACAUUGAUUUUUAGGAAGCAAUAACUCUAUAUUUACACCAAAUAUACACCUAAAUAUAUAAGGAAAACCAAAUCAAUUUGAUUUGGUCAACCUUUCAACAUGUGUGCUAGCAAGUCAUGUCUCUAAUAAUUUCAUAGUUUGCUUGAUUGGAAUUUUUUAUCUUGAUAUGGAUUGUUUAUUCUAGAUUCCUUGGUGCUGUAGGUUGAAACAGCAAAAGAUUCAGCACCGAUUUUGUCACUGCUUGCUCCAUUAAAUUCUGGAUCAAGGCACUCAUAUUGGAGAGCUCCACCUUGUACUACUUCUGUUGAAUUUGUUAUUGUUCUCUGUUCUGUUUCUGAUGUCAGUGGGGUUAUCUUGCUUGUUAGUCCUUGCGGCUAUUCUGUGGGUGACACUCCGAUGGUAAGUGCCAUAUUUAUUCCCUUAUUUCCUUGUUGUUCAAUAAAUUUGGUGAUAAGCCAAGUGGCCUUAAUAAUGAAGCCCAGUACCAGGGGUGGUGGGUAAUCGAUAUUCAACUUGUGAAUAUUCCUAAGCAAGCACUGAAUCAACAUAGACCUCGGCAAAAGUUCUCCAUGCUAUUAUAACGAAAGUCAUAUUUUGAAAUGAUUAAAAGAGUCCCUGUGUAGUGCUAUUUCCAAAGAAAUUGCAGCUGGAGGUUUAGUUUCAUGUAGGUUAGUUUCCGAUAAUAAACUUUCCAUUUCAUUAAUUGCUGAUGAAAAAACCAAGUAAGAACAGUUUUGUUGCUCGUCAUUUAUGUAUAUUUUGGUAAACUGUAAUUUUAAAUUCUCAACGAUCUUCCCUUUGUAGGUAAGAAGAUGGUCCACUCACUUGAUAUUUAUGAUUGUAGAUCAGGUUUCUAUUGGUUUGCCUUUAUCAUUCGGAACCCAAGUUUGAUAUUAACAGAGAUCACGUCAAUAAUAUCCUAUUUGGGUAGAUGUGGGUGAGGAUUUAAAAUCAAAUUUGAAAUUGAGGGCAAAGAAGAGAAAAGAAACCGCAAUAAUUAAACAAAAUAUUAGGAACUAUUCUGAUGAGUUUUAAUCUCGAGAGGAACAAUUUUCAAAUGCAAAAUUUAACUGCUAGAGAAAUUGUAGCUUUUUGUCAUUAGUUAAGAGGAAAGAGAAUAAGAACUAUCUGGCCCUUUCCUUCAUGAAUGUGUGUUGAGGUUGCUGUAUUAUUUAGUCAGUAUUUGUAAUUUUCUUCCCUGCAGUGCUCUCUGCCUCCUGAAUUUGCUACUGAGUCCAUAUUUUUCUUUGAGCUGUUGCUUCCUAUUGCUGUUACAGGUACAAAUCUGGGCAAGCAAUAAGAUACACCGGGAGGACAGGUCAUCAAUGGGAAAAUGGGAUGUCCAAUCCCUCAUCACAUCUUCUUCAGAUUUGUAUGGUCCAGAAAAGUCUGCUAGUGUUGAAAAAUUACCUAGGCAUGUAAAAUUUACUUUUAAGAAUCCUGUUAGGUGCCGCAUUGUUUGGAUCACAUUACGUCUUCAGAGACCUGGUUCGGCUUCAGUUAAUUUCGGGAAUGACUUCAGUCUUUUGUCUCUUGAUGAAGAUGAAAACCCCUUUGCACAAGUAGACAGACGUGCUUCAUUUGGAGGAGCAGUUGAAAAUGAACCAUGUAUUCAUGCCAAAAGAAUUCUUGUAGUCGGAAGCCCAGUAAAAAGGGAGGGGCUUACCACAUCACAGAGCUCUGAGCAGCUAAGUAUUAGAAACUGGUUGGAUAGAGCUCCACAAAUGAGUAGAUUCAAGGUAUUAGUUGCUUUCACUCUUUGUUCAUUCAUAAUUCCAGCUUUCUGCUUGAUGCCUUGCCUCUGAUAAACCUCUUUUUUCUCUUCAGGUCCCAAUUGAGGCCGAGAGAUUGAUGGACUACGAUCUCGUCUUGGAACAGUAUCUACCUCCAGCGUCACCUUCGCUUGCCGGAUUCCGUCUAGAUGCUUUCAGUGCAAUAAAACCUAGGGUUACCCAUUCACCUUCCUCAGAUUCAGAUAUCUGGGACAAAUCAGUAACAUUUUUAGAAGACAGGUACAUCUCUCAAGCUGUGUUGUAUUUACAAGUAUCCGCACUCCAGGAACCACAUAACAUGGUAACUAUUGCGGAAUAUCGACUGCCGGAGGCUAGAGCCGGAACGCCAAUGUACUUUGAUUUCCCACGACCGAUACAGUCCCGACGAGUUUCAUUCAAGCUUCUUGGAGAUGUUACAGCAUUUGCAGAUGAACCUUCAGAACAAGAUGAUUCAGGAUUGAGAGCUCCACUUGUGGCCACAGGUUUGUCUUUGUCAAACAGAAUCAAGUUAUAUUAUUAUUGUGAUCCUUAUGAGCUCGGAAAAUGGGCAAGCCUUUCUGGAGUUUGAUCGUUAUUUAUAUGUCAGAGAAAGGGUUUUGGGUUUGAUUUUGAUUUUGAUUUGUAAUUUUUGUCAGUUUAUUGAAAUUUUUUGUUGUAUAAAAGCAGAAUGUAAAGGUAUAAAAAUUCAUUGAUGCUGCAAUGUCUGUGCUUUUGAGAAAGAAAGAAUUCUAUGGCUUUUCUAUGCCAUUGGAUUUUCCACUGCCUGUAAACUUGGGCUGUCGAAUGCUCUGUGAACCUUAAGGGCUAUAAAGUAAUUUUCAAGACUGAAGGAUUUAUUAAUCGAGUUCAAAAGAUUGCAAGUUGGUGAGCGUUGGCAUUUAAAAAAUCAAUUGUUAUUCUCUCAAUAAUCUCUGUCUUCUGCCGACACCCCAUGCUCAGAAACCCAUUGUUCCGACGGACGUGUAACACUUCUAGAAAUUGUUUUGAUCUCUCCUCGUGAAGUGUUUUCUUUUUCGAGUGAAGGUGGUUUUCUACUUGCAUACGUCGGGGGUCUUAUGAUAUGUAAUGUGUGAAAUUUCUUUCUCAUUUUACCAUAAAGAAAAAUGUUGUAAUAAUCUAAAGCUCGAGUCUUAAAUUAUCUUAAAUUUAUAUUUAGAGUGGAGCUAUUCGCAAUCCUACAUUAAAAUUACAAAUAAAAAUAAUUGAAAAUUAAACACUUAUAGAUUUUUUUUACAACAAAUUAUUUAAUUCAUAAUCAAUCCUUUAAAAAAAAAAAUCCAUAUGUUACUUGCUAUCUAACUAAAAUAAAUUUUACAAAUUUAGAAUAAUCUAUUGAUUUCUUUUGAUUUCUUAUUAAUUAAAUAUUUUUAUACAUAAAAUUGCUUUGAAAUUAUAAUUUGAAAUAUGUGUUAUUUCAGCCAAUGAUUAACACUAAAAAACUUAUCACCCAUAUAACUUUUUAAUUUGUGUGUAGGGUAAUAAUAAAAUCAAAAAUAAUUAAAAAAAUAGUACAAUAAUGAGUUUUAACAAUAAAACAAAUCAAAUGAAAAUUGAAAAUUUAGAAAAAAUGUAUCUAAAAAAGGGAACGUUUUUUAAAAUAAAAUGAAUAUAACUAAAAAGGGGUUUUAUGAGAAGAGCAGAGGGGUGCCAAUAGUCCAACUUGUAAUUAAGAAUCUCCCAUUAUAUUGUCAACCAAAAAGACACUUGAAUAAGAAGAAGAAUUUAUCAGUUUGAUUUUAUUUAUAGAUCCAACAUUUCUCAUAUCCUAAACGCCUUUCCGUAUCAAAUUAAAACAGUAGUCGCAAAAUCGUAGUAUUAAAAUCGUAGUGCACAUUCAAUUAACCAACUAAUAGUCUUUGGUAUAAGAUUUUAUAUUAGCUAGCCAAGUAGGUUGUCCAUCCCACUCAGACAUGAACGAAAGCUAAAUUCAUCAAAUGGUGUUAUACUAUUAAAUAUUUUUAUAUUUAAAAUUACUUUGAAAUUAUAAUUUCAAAUUAAAAUAGUAGUAGCAAAAUCGUAGUGCACAUUCAAUUAACCAACUAAUAGUCUAAGAAGCAAAGAGAGGAUUACAAGUUCACAACACCAUUACAAAGGAUUCAAAAUUCCCACACGAAAACAUCAAUGUACAGAUUAUAAACAAUCCGAAUUGGACACAAGAAAAAGCCCUUCAAUGGAUUGCUUUCCUUCCCAAUGCUAUAUACUGUGCAAACUCCGCACUGGCCAAGAAAAUGUUUUCAAUUUAGUGUAUUUUCAAAUUGCUUAUUUUCUCAUAAUAUAAAAAAUAAAAAAGAAUCCUUACAUGUUUCAUCAGCAUGAUUAAAAUCAAAGAAGAAAGCGAAGACGUAAUGUCUCUGACAUAAUAAAAUUACAAAAAUUUCAAGGAAAAAAAAAAGGUUAAAACAUGUAAUCUUCAGAAGCAUAUAAUAAAAGAACACUUCCACAAAUUACUACAAUUUCAUGCAGUAGAGAUUGAAGAGUUGAAUUCCACUAAUUUUAAUAAUGAAAACAACAACAGAGGAUUAACUGAUGCUUUGACUUAUUAGCAGGUUGCUUUGACUUAUUAGUUCUGCAGCUAAGUUAAAUAAAAUAAGCUAUUUUCAAAAGCAAAAUGGAAUACAUAGAUAAAAACAUCAUCUUAAACAAAUCACAAUCUAGAAUUAGAGCAUUUUCGACAUACCUAAGGAACACGAAUACGUGAAAACGGGUGAUUUAUUUGUUAAGGAGUGUUGAUUUGGUCGUCUCUGCAAAUUCUUUAGGGACUCGGUUCCAAUUCCUCUUCAUCAAAACUGUAAUAUAAUUCCCCUUCAUCAGAACUCGAAUCGAUGCAAUAUAAUUCCCCUUCAUCAGAACUCGAAUCAAAUUCACUUGCAGCAGUUCCACUCGCGCUUGGCAAAUCAUCCAAUUUCCAAACUUCGGUAACAAAAUUGAGAGUAAAAGUGUUGGCUUUGAUCUCGCUGGGAUUUGCAUAUACUGGACAUACUCCGCAACGUUUUAUCUUCUGACCCUUUUGGACCUUUAUUAUGUUUCGGUGACACUCAUUGAAGAACUUAAAUGUGGCAGUUGAAUGAUGGUCACCAUCAGGAAAGCCAACAUUCAAGCAAGGUUUAAAACCAAGUAUGACAUGAUCUGAAUCAUGGGGGUCUUGAAUUGAGUGCAAAUUGUAACCCAGAUGAACAUGUUUGGUUUCAGAGAGAGUCUUUAUUUCUAAGUCGGAUCGACAGUAAACGUAAAAAUAACGAAAACGAUCAGAAUAAAGUUGCUUAAAAUCAAGAACAGCACAAAAAGCAAACCCGAUUAAGUUUCUGCAAAAAGAGUGCGGUGGCAGUUGAAUACGUAUCGAAGAUCCUGAACUUUGAUUGCUGAACCAGUCAGGAAUUUCGCUCCCAGGUAAAACAAUUUGGGAUCCCCUGAGUUCAGAAAGUUUCUGCGAAACGACAUUUAAAAAAAGAAAAUUGUAAAAUGAAAACCAUGAUUUCAGAUAUAACAAAGAGGGACAGAGUAAACAAGAGAGGGAAUUUGAUACCUCGUUGUAUGCAUUUUCAUAGCCCAGUCUCAGUGAUGCUGCAAUUGCCAUACGUAGUGAAUCUGCCAAAAUCUUGUUGUUUGCUUUUCCAUCAAGUUUCAAGCAGUUAGUAAACUCAAAACAAAUUGGUUGUGGCGUCACAUAUUCCGGAUGCCAUUCACGAAGGUCAGGAGAGGGUUUGGAUAGCUUUUCGAGUACGGAUGCAUCUAGUUCUUGUACACAUGACGGAAUCUCUGGCAAAGAUUGAAGCCGGUUGCAGUUCAUUGCUUUUAGUGACUGUAGACACAAUGGAAGUUCUGGUAAUGACCGAAGCAUGUUACAAUCCUCCAAGUGAAGAGUUUCUAGACCCAAUGGAAGUGCUGGUAAUGACUGAAGCAUGUUACAACGCCUCAAGUAAAGAGAUUUUAGACACAAUGGAAGUUCUGGUAAUGACUGAAGUAUCUUACAAUCCCUCAAUUCAAGAUAUUUUAGACACAAUGGAAGUUCUGGUAAUGACUGAAGCAUAUUACAAUCCUCCAAGUUAAGAUAACUUAGCCACGACAGUUGCUUGAUACUUGCAGGUAAACUCUCAAAGUUAUUUCCACUUAAAUUGCCAAUGUUAUCCGGCAACUUGUCAAGUAUAGAGCAACCACUUACGGACAAAAAUGAAAGCCCCGGUAGAUUUUCAAAUGGCGAUGGCAGCUCUGUAAUUGCCGUCCAGACUAAAUAGAUGCAAUUUAAAUGUUCCAUUUUCUCCAAGAUUUCUGGGAAACGCUCAAGGUUCAAGCAGCCAAAAAGAAAAAGAUCAACCAAAGAUCUCAAUUUACAGAACCUAGUUGAAAUCCUCUUCAGCCGUUUGCAAUGCCCCAAAUCCAACACUUCAAGAUCAGUUAGGCACUCUAUUGAUGAUGGAACUUCUUCUAUUGCAGACUGGCCUAAGGAUAGCUCUGUGAUUUUCCCAGAAAUCCGUGGAAACUCUUUGAGAUUAACACAAUAGGAGAAAUUAAUAGUUACUGGACAAACAAAAUGAAGAUUGCUUGGAAAAGACCUAAGACUUUUGCAGCCCUCAAAAGACAACGCACUGAGAUACUUGAAAUUCUGGAUAGAUGAGGGAACACAAGCCAAGUUUGUAUAAUCCAAAAGAUUUGUUUCAACAUUUGGGGUUUCUAAUGGGCCUGGCAUCUUAAUGAAAUGUCGAGAAUGAUUGAGGUUAAUAGAUUUUAACUUGAAAGCUUCCUGCAAUAACAGAUAUAUAAAGACUAUAUUAAUUAAAAAGCAACAUUGAAUUCAACAAUUAAUUGCACGUAUGUUUAAAGAAAGAAAAAAAUUAAUGUUUUAGUUUUAGUACAAAACUUACCUUUUCUCCUUCCCAAAGUUGCUCAACUUUACUAAAACGCAAAUUCAGUUCAACAAGGUUCAUUGGCUUGAAAUUUGAUGGCAGUGUCCUUAAUGGAUAUGUGUCCCAAUGAAGAUAUCUCAAUUUUUUAGGAAGAUAAUCUAGGCCAUUUGGAAGCUGCACUUUAGAGUAUGAAAGUUGCUCUUCAAUGCUCAUACUUAGAAACCUUUCAAUCUCAGGUACAUAAAAUUUGAGCAAUCUUAGAUUAGACAUUUUUGUGAAGGCUCCUGGGUCUAAAUUGAUGCCUUUUAUUUUGGACAAAUCCAGAAAUAUGCCUUCAAUUGCAUCGGUCCCCUUAUUAAAAAAAAAAAAAACAAAGAAUGAGUAACCCUAAAACAGAAAAGAAACAUUCGUAAACUUUAUUAACUAAGAGCUUCUUAAACAAAAACAAAUUCUGCAAUCUUUGAUUUUAUUUUUUUAAUAUAUUAAAUAUCUAUAUACGAGAAAAGAAAAUUUUGGGGACCAUUGCAAAAUUAAACUAACCGAAAAAAAAUUCAAAAUUUCUCUAAUUUACAAACCUGUUAUCUUAAUAACUAGAAGUUGAGAAGACAAGGCCUAUUUGAUUGGUAUAAGAUUUCGAUUUGUUUUUUAGUCCAUAGAAUCCAAAAUGUUAGUUCAAAAUUAGGGAAAAAAAAUGAAAGUUAUUUUUUUUCCACUAGUUGUAAUUGUUUCCAAGUCAAAUUGAGAUACGACCCUUUUCGAAAGGAUUUAAUCAUCUUAUAGCCUCCUUAAGAUACAUUUAAGCUAAAAGGAGUGAUUGGAGGCAGAACUAGGUGGGCCAAUCAGUCCCUUUUAUUAGUGACUGUUGCUUAAAAAAAAUUAUACUCUAAAACACACUUACUUUUUUGAAAAAAAAUAUAAUUAUAUUGAAGUAGAACCAGGUGGGCCAAUCCUCAUGGCACUCACUUUGUUCUGACACUCUUCACUAAAUUUGAAGAAAAAUAAAAUUAUACUCUUCACACUCUUAUUCAACAUUCCAAAAUUGAUAAAAUCUAGAGUUUUCUUUAAAAAUUUAAAAUUUGAAGACUUGUUCUCUUGACAUCCUCAGUCAUUAAUUUCACCUAAUUAUGGUUUUUAUGAUUUUGGUUGUUUUGUUCAUAAAACAAUUUUACUAAAGGAUGUUCUCGUAAUAAUAAAAAUUAUAAAAAAAACAUGGGUGUGCUGGUAUGGUUGGGAAAAUACGAGUACAGAACUCCAAACAAAUAAAAGAUUUAUAUAAAAAAAAAUGGAGGAUUCUUACCAUAUUAUGCUUUAGUACGCGGCGGAUUUCCUUAGGAUCCCACAACCUACUACGUCUGCCUGGCACUUCCUCAGAUUCUUGGCGAACAGUCUCUUGGCCCAUUUCUUGCAAUAAAUCAUGCAUUUGCAAGCGGUUAUCUGACACAGUUAUGAGUGACUUGUCGACGAGGACAUCCAGUCUGUGAGACCCAGAAUCAUCAAGUAUCCUUAACACAAAAUCUUUAUCCUCUCCCUCAAGGAAACACGCAAUAUCUAGAAACAUACUCUUCACCCUGGGCGUUAAUUCUUUAAAACUAAUCUUUAAUGUAUCAUAAAUACCAUGAAUAUCAGAUUCACAAAUCCGAUUUAAGUCGUGCAAUACAUUUUCCCAAUGGCUUUUCCUCUUGAGAUACAGGGAGGAACCCAACACUUUAAGAACUAAUGGAUUGCCAUCAGCAUACUCUACAACUCUCCACGAGUCACGUUUGAAAUCUUCAGGACGAUGCUUUUCUUUAAAAGCGAAGUUACAAAAGUGCUCGAAAGCCUCAUCAAAUUUCAAUCCAUUGACCCUAUAUAUUUUCUCCACUCCAAAUUUUUCGAGGACUCGUUUAUCCCUGGUGGUUACAACAAUUCUACUUCCUGGACCAUAUUGAUCAAGCCCUCCAAUCAAACCCUCUAAUUGUUCAUCUUUAUUCACAUCAUCGAGUACAAUCAACACCUUCAUGCGUCGGACCCUCCCUUUAGUAAAUUGUGGAAUAUUGGGACCAGCUACUUCAAGUUUUUCACUUAAUAUUGUCGAAAGCAUUUCCUUUUGUAGGUCUUCUAGGCCACCCUCUGUUUCUGAUUUUCUCCUAACAUUUUUUGCAAAGUAUUUACCAUCAAACUCACCAGCGAAUUGAUCGAAAAUAGCUUCAGCAAGGGUAGUUUUGCCUAUACCGCCCAUACCCCAAAUUCCAACAAUUUGGACAGUAUCCGACAAAUCCAUACACAAAAAUGGUUUAAUCUGCUCAAUUCGUGAAUUUAAUCCAACUAGGCCGUUGGAUGAGUCCGUUGAGACUGUUAUUUUUUCCAACUUCUUCAAAACAUCUUCGACAAUUUUGUUUACAAGUUGCGCAUCAAGCCUAAUAUGAAGGUGCAAAGAUGCAAAAACAUUGAGUCAAAUCGGGCCAAGACAGAAACAGAGAAAAGAUGAAUUAGGAAAGAGAGUUACCUGAAUUUCGUGGAUUCAUGGCCGGCUAGAUGGGAUGUUUCUGUCAGUGCAUCCCUCCACUUCUGAACCAUUUCUUGUUUAUCUUUGAACUGUUUUUUGAGCUCAUCAAAACGGUCUCCAAAUGUUCCGUUUUGAUGCCGCACAUCAGAUGGACUUACUCCAUAGAAGAAUGGAAUAAUAAUUUGGCCGUUUGUGUUCUUGCAUUCAAGAAUCUUGACAAGUUCAUUCAGGCACCAUUUUGAAGAAGCGUAGUCCUUCGAGAAAAUGACCACCGAAAUUUUUGAACCUUGGAUUGCGUUCAAAAGGGCGGGUGAAAUCUCAUCUCCUCGCCUAAGCCCUUCAUCAUCAAUAAAUGUUUUGAUUUUCUUUCCUUCAUACAAUUUAUCAUAGAGAUAGCAAGUAAAGCUCUUACGAGUGUCCUCCCCUCUAAAGUUGAGGAAGACUUCAUAAUUGGCACAAGAAGAAGAGGAAGCCAUGAAGGAAAUUUUAGAAAAUUGGUGACAGAAACAGAGAAUUAAUCUUGAGAGUUGAGAGAGGAGAUGUAAGAAUGAACAUGUGCGAAGAUUCUUGCGAGUACAUAGUAAAUAAUUGAAUGGCUGGAGCUUUCUUAGUUUCCUGGAAAUUUCCUGGAGCUUUCGUAUACAUGAUUUGUCAAGUCAUGAAACAUAAUCAUGAUAAUGGGGCAGACCGAAAAGAAAAGCAACAAUUCAAAUAUUUGAUUCAACCAGUAUAAAAAGGAAGGAAAAGCAAAGAAAGGAAAUGUUGAAAGUAGAGUUAGGGAAUUAUAAAAAGCUGAAGGAAAUUGGAAUUUUGUACAAUUUCUCCAGCGAGGAACUUUCACAGUCGUUACCUCAUUGUUACAGUUUAGAUUAAGAUUUGAGGGUGCAAGCAUUUACCUAGAUUUUACCUCCGCACUAAAUUCUUAAGUUUGAAAAAUUAUGAGACCUUUAUAUUGGAAGAUAUUAUAAUCGAAUCAAAACUUAAAAUUUUAAUAUUGUUAAUCUUUAAUCUUUAAAAAAAAUUACCUUGCCGUUACAAUUUGGAUUAAGAUUUGAAUAAGCAUUUACCUAAAUUUUAUCUCCGCCUGUAAAUUCUUAUGUUUUAAAAAUUAUGAGACCUUUAUAUUGGGAGAUAUUAUAAUCGAAUCAAAAUUUUGAAUUUCAAUAUUAUUAUUCUUUUAAAAAAAAUUUGAGAUAACAGAGUGAUUGAUAAUAGAGAACUUGUCUAGGCAAACACAUGCAUACACAAAAAUGUGAUGGAUUCAAAAAGAAAUUAAAGUGAUAAUGUACGUGGAUCCUUAAAACAAAAAGCGAAAUCGCUUGGUGGCCCAGUAAAAUUAAGACUGAAUAUUUUUUACACGAGAAGUGUAGCUCAUAAAUGGCAAAAGCCAUUUCAUUUCACUUUUACGCGUCAUUGACUUUUGUAACAUGGUGCAUGCAUCGUCAAGUGAGGCAAAAGGGUUUCGAUUACAGUGGGAAAACAUGAACAAGAAUGCAUAAUGAAUAAUUCCUUUGAUAAAGCGAAAAUUAAACACAGAAUAAUCCUAAAAUUUAAACUCUAAUAUCUUAUAAUUUAAUGAUUAAAAAUAAUCCUAAGAGUUCCCAAUUGAAACUUUCAGAGAUAAUAGAAAAUAGCUAUGCUUUAAAAGGCCAAAGAUUAGAGAACAAAGAAGAAUUAGGUAUUGAUAUAAAAAUUAUUAAUUUUUUUGAUUUCAAGCAAAAAUAGUUUCAUAUACCAUUUCGAUUUUGGUAGGGGUGAGGUUUUGAACUUCAAUAGUUUCCUCUAAAAUCAAAAGGUAGUAAUUAAGUUAGAAAGAGCAAAGAAGACUUAUCGGUACCUUAUUGAAGGUAAACAUUAUGGAACUUUCAAUGUCAUUACCCCACUGUUUAAUUUUUAUUGAGAUUUGUGCAAGCAUUUACCUAAAUCUUACCUCUGCCUGUAAAUUCAUAAGUUUUGAAAAUUAUGAGACCUUAUAUCGGGAGAUAUUAUAAUCGAACUAAAACUUAAAAUUUCUUUUCUUUUUUUUUUUUUUUAUCAUAAAAGGGCUCUUAAGAGAGCUAAGGCAACACUAAAUGGGAGUGUGCAACCCCAUGAACAUCAUUAAUCAAUAUGUUUAGCGUAUUUGGAGGAAUAGAUUGAAAGCAAUGUAAACCCAAAGGAAAAGAAAAGCUGUACGAAGUAAGGAAAUCUGCUGCUACAUUGGUUUCUUGGUAGAUAUGAUCCACUUUGAUCAGCCAAUCACGCCGAAGGAGUUCUUCGAUGGCCUGAAUGAGAGUAAAAUGCUCAUUGACGGGAGGGUUUGAGUUAGAGAUUAACUUCAUAACACACAUGCUGUCCACUUCCACGUAAAACUUAAAAUUUCAAUAUUAUUAUUCUUUAAAAAAAAAUUGAGAUAUCAGAGUAAUAUCACAUAGAAAAACUUGCCCACGGACGGUAAGCCAAAAGUCUAGUCAACCACAUGCAUAAAGCUAAGUAGAACAAGAGAACAGAGAAACGCGUGGGUCCCUAAAGAAAAGGCAAGCACAUAAAUGAAAAAGCCAUUACAUAUCUAUUAACACGGUGUGGCAGCAUAUGCACAAUCAAGUGAGGCAAAAGGGAUUCGAUUAUCGUGGCAGAACAUGGACGAGGACGCGUGAUGAAUAAUUCCUUCGUUAAAACCAAAAACAAACGCAGAGAAAACAAUUUCUUAUAUGACAAGAAAUCAAAGUAAUGUGAAGGAACAUGAUGAAGAAAUUGCAGACUGAUCAAUUAUCCCCAUGGACUCCUAUAAAUUCAACCAAAAUAACAAUUCGAAUCUUACCAAAUUCUUGAGUUAAAUUUAUUCAAUGCUUUUAUUUUUUUAGAAAAUUUUUUUCCAAUGCUACUUUUCCUUUUUUGGGGAAAUUAGAACCGCGGCAUGUAUAGAAAACAUUGAGGUGUAAAGCAACAUUAAUUUCAUGGGAUAUGCGUUAUACGCAUAAUAUAUUUUCAGUCCAAAUUCAACUAUACAAAGAGGCUUGAGAACUUAAAAUUAAGCACAAACUAAACAGACGAAGUAAAUACAUGAUUAUGCAACAUAACAUUAAUUCUCUCAAUUGAUAACUGUUUUUGCUACAUGAAUCUUGCACAGUUAAUCCUAAUUGAAGACUAAAAAAGAGCAAUUGGAAGAAGGUUUUGGAAUAGAAUGGUAUACAAUCGAUAUGAUCCUUUUCCAGUAGUCAACGCUAAUUAACUGCAGUUUCUAGACUCCUAAUUAUACUAGCCAUAGCAAACUAUUUAGAAAACUGGUGAUCAAAUUAGAUUUUGAAAGGAAAUAAUGUUCAUUUUCCCUUCGCUGCCUUUUCUUUUCUUUUCUUUUUAUAGCAAAGAAUUAUAUCAUGAAAAGAAUCAAUUUAAUCACCUUUUCCAGCAGCCCAAUUUUUCUUUUAUAAAAUUUGACCACGGAGACAAAGAAGAAUUAUUCAUAACUUCAUCACUAAGGAAAUACUUUUCGGUAUGGCUAGGGUGAGAAAAUGCUUUCCACUAACACUUGUACUUUGUAUUCUUGUAAAUUUUCUUUAAAGUCAAUAAAAACCAUAAGUUCUUUGCAAUAACCAUCUCUUUGAUCAAAAAGUGCCGUAUUCCUUUAGAAUUUAAAACCGGCAAAACCGAAUCAGUGUCUUUGAAGAGACAUAAUGGUCGUAAUUCUUUAAAUGAGUUGGCUAUGGAAAUCCUUAUCCAAGAUUCUUUUAUGCCAUAUUCUUUCGUAAACCAAAAUUCAUUUUGAAAUACUCUAUUGAAAAUGUCAAAUAAAACGGCAUUGAAGGAAGUUUUCAAAGGCAUAAUCCGCACUUGUCAAAGGGAUGAUCUGCACUUGUCAGAGACACGAUCCGCGUCGAACGAAUCGACACAUUUCCUUUCGUAUUCGCAUAUGUAAUCUUUGAAAAAAUGUAGCUUCCGCAUCUAUAAAUAACGCUCAGUGUAUAAUGUUUUAUUCAAGAAAAGAAAACAAAUUUCUUCAUACUCCUUGUCCGAACAUACAGAGACAGUCUCUCAUAACUUCAGCCGAAUACUUAUGAUGAUGAUCAUUUGUGAUUUCAUCAGGCAUAGGGUUGAUGGUGAAAAAUUUUGUAUGUGUGAAGAAUUGAGCUGUGGAUAUAGGGGACUUAAGUGUAAUCGAAAGAGAGUUAUUAGGCCAUAGUGCAGAUUGCAUUCAGUUUAUGGGUCGAUAUGCAAAUAAUUUGUUGACGUGGCGAAAUCUGUUAUGGUCGUUACUAUUGUUUCUGGAAAUUUUCUAGAAACCUCAGCAUAAAAGGGGCUUUUGCAUAGCCUCUGGUGUGCGUGUGAUUUCUCUUUCGUUUCCUCAUCAAAUUCUGUAAUUCUUGCUUUGAUAAAAAGCUUGUAAUCAUUUCUGUAAUGUGUGAUCAGUGCGUAAUCAUUUUGAGCAAUAAAAGCUUGUGGGUUUUUCCUUCAAACAGUGUCGUUUUGGUCAGUUUGUUAGUUUGAUCUGUUGGUGGAAUUUUCUUUGGUUAUUUGUUCUCAAAUUUCAACCGUAUAUAAAGUUUGAACUCUAAUGGCUUAUAAUGUAUUGAUUAAGAAUAAUCCUAAGAGUUCCCGAUUGAAAUUUUUAAUGACUAUUUUUAUUGUUUUGGAUAUACAAAUUGCAUUAAGAAAAAAUAUUGUCAAAUUCAGAGGAUAACGGGAAAUAAUUAUGCUUCAAAAGACCAGAGAUUAGAGAAUAAAGAAGCAUUCAUUACUGACAUACAAAAGAGAAACACUCCAAAAUUGCAAGCAAACUAGUUUCAUAUACUAUUUGGAUUUUGGAAGGGGUGAAGUUUUGAGCUUCAGUUGUUCCUCUAAAUAGCAAAGAAGACUUAUUGGUACCUUACUGAAGCUAACAUUGUGGCACGGUUGUUCAUAUGUAAUGGCUGCUCUGUUAUGGUAGCUUCUCUGUUUUUGCUCACAGUUUUGAACAUGAAUUCUUGCUCAAAUAACCCAUAAUUAAUUAACAUUAAAAUGGCUCGUGAAAUCCCAUAAUAGCUAAUUACGCAACUUUCUCCUCCUCCUCAAUUAUGUCUUCCCCUGCUCGUACAAUAAAUUCAAAAUUCAAUGCCCCGAAAAACAACACAAGAAAUCUUUGAGUUAGUUCGUGACCAGUUUAUAUAUAGUAGCAAUUGAAAAAAGAAAAAGAAGAAAAGAGUUAAUUAUUAUUCAGACCUUCACUUAUUAGGAAGUUUGUUCUGCUAUUGGGUGAGGUCAAGCUCUCAGCAUAUACUUCCACAUGAUACUUUCUAACAUUUUCUUGAAAGCCAUCAAUCAUAAAAUCUUCAUACUUUUUUCCAUCCUUUGGAUCAAUGAGUACAAAUUUCUCAUCUAAAACAGACAAAAUAAAAUCACUGUCCUUCAUGGAACAUAAUGGCUGCAAUGCCUGAACUGAAUUGGCUAAUGAAACAUAGUCUUCUUUUCUUUCUCGACAUGGAACAUAGUCUUCUUUUCUUUCUCGACACAUGUCUCUGUACUUUUCUCUCUCUACUGAUCCACACUUUUUCAUACUUCUAACUAUCAUUUUGUUUUUUUUUUUUGAGUUGUGAUUUAUUCAAUUAUUUUGUAUUUUUAAUGACAAUUAUUUAAUAUUUAGUUAGUGUUGAUAUUGAUUAGUGAUUGAAAGUGUAUUUUAGAAGACUUCCGGUCUCUUGAAAAAAGGAAAAAUGGAGAAGAAGAAGAAGUGUUCUUGAUUUUUUUGUAGGCAUUAAAGUUAAACGGUUUGAAAUGAUAUUUUGUUUUAAUUUCACUCAUUAAUCUCAUUCAGGAUAAAAUUAUAAAUGCAAAUAAAUGGGGUUUCAUAAGUAUUUUUAAUAGUGUUAAAAGGUCUACUAACUAAAUAAACAUGUUUUACCCAAACCAAUCCGAUUAAUAAGUUAUUGGGUUGGGUUGAUCAGGUUAAAAAUCAAAAUUAAAAAUUAAAUAAAUAAAUAAGGCAUAAAAACUAUAUGUUACUUGAAAAUAAAAAGAAUUUCUAAUAGUUAGUUCUAAUGUCCCAUAUCCAAAACAUGCAUAUUAAAUAAAUAUUAUAAGUUAGAAAUAAAAUAUCCAAGAAAUAAUGAAUGAAAUACCAUAUUUUUGUUGAGAAUUAAGAGUGUGAUUUUAAUUUUGAUAUUGGAGUCUAAAGCAAUAGAUAGUACAAUGAAAUCAUGAAUGCUACGUUUAAAUAAUCUCUUUUAUAAAAUAAUAAAAAGAGGUUAAAAAUUAGGUUAGCAUUUAGGGUUUAGCAGUUAAGGAUGAACAUAUUAUUAUUGUUGUUGUUGUUGUUAUUAUUAUUAUUAUUAUUAUUAUUAUUAUUUACAUAUUAAUUAAUCCAACCCAACUCAAUUAUUAACGAAUUUGAAAAAAAAUGACCAAAUUAAUCCACAAUAAUUCAUUCAACUCGUCUAAAUUAGAUUAGAUUGAAUUUGAUUUGCUACACCUACAUUGAGCAACAAACCUCAACGCGAUUCUAUGAGCUCUUUGAUUGUUUAUAAAAUUGAUUUAGAGUACAUAAUGGAGUGUAUCGACAAUGAAAGUGCAAAACAAAUUAUUGUAUACAUUAAAAUCUGCAAAACAAUGAAUUAUAUGUACGAACGAGUGCAAACACAUUUUUCAAUAAGAAGUUAAAAGAUAUUUAUGCAUGAAAAAGCAUACGUUUGUAGUUACUCUAAAUUUUUUAAAAAAAAUUUACAUUUAGAUCCCUAAAAUUUACGUAUAAGUACAAAAGUUUCAAAUAUUGUCUAUUAUUUUUUAACAUAUGCCUAUUCCUUGUGGAUAAUUCUGUCUCAUCACUAAUGUUGUUUCUUGCUUACAAAAAACAAAUGUCAUCUCCUUUUACAAUUUUUAUAGCGUCUCAAAAUAGACAAUGGGGGGAUUUUGAAUUUUUUAAGUCUCAAGAUAGUCUCUAAUCUUGUGAGAAAGAUUUUCUUUCAAUAAUUUGGAGGUAAAGAUAACAUAAUUUUUUGGAUAGUGUGCAUGUGUAUUUAAUUAAUAAUUUUUUAAAAAAAUACAUCAAAUAUUAAUAUCCAUGACAUAAUUUAGUUCUUAAUUUUUUUUAAAUACAUCAAAAACAUAAUUUUUUUUAACAACUUAUAGGCAUGACAAAUUUCAAGAUAUAAAUAUCAGUCAAAAUAAGUGAAAGAAAUAAUGGUGCCAAUUCUAAUUUCUUAACUAAAUUAAUUAGUGCAUGAGCCCCGAAUACGACACGAGAGUUUGAUGGGCUAACUUGGCACAAGAACGUGAAUAAAUAAUUGAUUUAAGAAAUAAUUCAACGAAAAAUAUAAUUGAUAAGAAUUCAGUAUUGAAAUGAGUUUUUUUGUGAAACACUGAAUUAAUGAUUAUUAAGCAAGAACAAUAAAAAAAUAAAUAUUAAUCAUUGAUAAGUUUCAACAAAAACUUAACACAAUCCUCAAUCCUCAUUCAAAUGAUAAAUGUCAUUCAUAUAUUCAUUAUAAAUCAACAACAAAGGUUAUAAAUGUUUAGAAAUUCUAGAGGGAAGGAAGCUAUCGCCGGACAAUCAACAACUAAAUUUGAUGUAAUUGUGGCACGAGAUGGAAUAUGGAAACUACACCAUAAUUUCAAAUGCCGCCAUAGACAUUGACUUAUCAUAAUAACAAUGAUCUAAUUAAAAUAAAAACAAAGUUUAUGGGCAUUUAUUAUUUUGCCAUUCCUCAUUUGCAAAUAGGGAUAUAAUUAUAAUUUUACCUAGUCAAAGCAAUCGGUAGUUUUCUUCAUUAUAGGAGUGAAGUAAAAACAUUUAGAUUUCAAUGUAUGUACGGAAAAAUUUGUCUUUAAAAAUACUUUCUUAAUGUGUGUAUGCAUAUUGAAAUACUCAAACCAAUUUUGGUUAUAUAUAAUUAAACAAAUUUUAAAAUAUGAAAAAUAUAAUGUAGUUAUAGUGGAUAAACAAUAAGUGAGCACAAUAUAAUUAAUCAAAUAUUAUGCCAUCAAAAGUUAAUUUUAGAAAUUCCAAAUCCAAUAGCCAACACAAUUCUUUUUUUUUUAAAAAAGUUGACACAAUUAAUAAAAUUAGCGACAUGAAUUUCACGCCAUUGAUAAUCAGCAAUUAGUAUUACUUUCUAAACUUGCUUCAACUGGUCGUUGAUGUCCGGGUCACCAAAAGUAUAAGCGAUAAUAAGGGGCAUUGGGCAAGAGUGAUGAAUGUUUAGUCGGUGCAUUUGAUUGAUAGAUAUAUAAAGGGCCGAAACUUGAGAUUAUAUUACUUUUACAAAUUUUAAUCCAAUCACAUAUUUACUGAAAACAAAAUGAGUUAGGAUACUUUAUUUAGAACCCACAUUUUAAUAAGGCUUCAUUUGAUGUAGUUUUUCAAACAGUGAUUAUUUGAGUAAAGUUUCCUCAAUAGAGUUUUUAUCAAAUAAAUUUUAUUUAUUUGGUUGUCGAUAAGAACUUUUAUUAAAAAUUAUAAAAUUAUUUAAAUAAACAUAUUUUUUAAAAUUACAUUAUAAAAAGAAUUAAAUAAAGUUAUAAAAGUAAAAUAUAUUUUAGAUAUUUUAAUAUUUAAGAAAAAAAUUUUGAAUCUCUACUUUCAGAAGCUCAAAUUUUUAGUUUUUAGUUGUAGAGACAAAAUAUCUUAUUUAAUCUUUAAAAGUUCUGCUAAAAACAAUCAAAUAACUAUAAAAUUUUUAAUAAGAGUAUAUAAAAUUAAAUAAGCAUUUAUUAAUAAUCACUUUAGUGUACUUAUCUAAUGACCAUAAGUGUUUAUUUAAUCUCAUAAGUUCUUAUUUAAUCUCAUGAGCUCUUUUCAAUUUUUUUUGUUGUUUGCUUUUUUUAGUAGAGUUUUUGAAAAUUAAAUAAACUAUUUUGUCUCUAUUAGGAAAAACUCAAAUUUUAGGUUUUUGUGAGUAAAUGUUUAAAUUUUUUUUAAAAUAUUAAAAUAUUAAAGUAAAAGUUGUAGAGACAAAAUAUCUUAUUUAAUGUUUAAAAGUUCUGCUAAAAAUAAUCAAAUAACUACAAAAAUUUUAAUAAGAGCAUAUAAAAUUAAAUAAGCAUUUAUUAAUAGUCACUUUAGUAUACUUAUCUAAUGACCAUAAGUGUUUAUUUAAUCUAAUGAGCUCUUUUUAAUUUUGUUUGUUUGUUUUUUUAGUAGAGUUUUUGAAAAUUAAAUAAACUAUUUUGUCUCUAUUAGGAAAAACUUAAAAUUUAGGUUUUUGUGAGUAAAUGUUUAAAUUUUUUUUAAAAUAUUAAAAUAUCUUUUCUUUAUUUCAUAAUCUUAUUUCAUUCUUCACAACAUAACUUUAAAUAACUCACCUAUUAAAAUAAUUUCACAAUUUAUAAUAAAAAUUUUAAUUGACAAUCAAAUAACAAAUUUUUUUUUAUAAAAACUCUAAUAAUAAAAAUUCUACUUAAAUAAAUUAUAUUUGAAAAGGUAUACCAAACGAACCUAACAUAAAAACAAAAAUUUUUACAUCCACACAAUUAAGCUUAAAACAAUUUCAAAUGAAUUUUAGACUACUCAAAGUACAAUACGUACCAAGUUUGGUAACUUAUUGGGGUCCGCUUGUAAUACAGCGUCUGUAUCUCAUACAGCCAAAUUUAAUAAUUUAUUAAGAAAAAGGGCAACCAUUAGAUAGAAGUAGAUACAUCCAACGGUUAAAAUGUUUGAUUACUCAUUUUGGCGACCGGAUAUGCCAGUUAUUAUUUCAUCAAUUAACUUACCUAAAAAAUCACAGCCGUUGGAUUGAGAUGCCUCUCUUUCCCUCAAAAUAACAGCCUUCGUAUUCUCUCUGCUAUUGUUUUCUCCUACAUCCAGAAUUUUGGAUGAAUGAACUUGGUAUUCAACAAUAUUCACCACCCAUCACAGCAAAGAGCAAAGAUGUAGUCAAAGGAGUGCCAUUUAUUCAGGCUAACUCGAUCUGUCACUCUCGCUUCAAUUCGUCACUCAUUUUCUCGCGCUCAGCUUCAAUCUAUCACUCUCAGCUUCAGUUCGUCACUCACAGCUUCAAUUUUUCACUGUCGUGAAUCAUCUCUCUUGCUGUAUCUCUCUCUUAUGUCUUCCAAUAAUUUCGGUGAGCUCUCUCUCUAAUUUAAUAUAUGAUUAAAAAUCUUAUCAUCUUAUCAUGUCAUUUAAAUAUGCUUGAAGUUUCAAUUUAGUUUAUGAAUAUUACUUGAAAUUUCAGUUUCAAUAAUUUGAUUUUGCAAUUGAGAAAUUAUUACUUGAAAUAUUGAGAUGAUUUCUAGGGAUUGAUAAUUGAAUGAUAAUUGCUAAGGCUUGUCAUUUUUUGUUUUUGAACAGAUAGAGUUACAAUUAAGUCAUACUGCAAUAUUUUAUCUUGAGAUUCUAUUAUUCACAAAAAGAAAAAAAUCAUAAAUUGAAAAAAAAAAAAAAGAGGUUACGAGCAUCAAGCAACUGCAAGUAAUGGGGUUUGUUUUGAUGAGCUGCGAAUUGGGGCCUGUCAUUUUCUUGAAGUAUCUUCAAUAUAAGUGGAAGGAGAUUUCUUCUCUCCAAAAAAUUAUUGUAUAUUUCCUUUUAAAUUCUAGAUUCGCAUGUAGCUGAUUUUUUAUGUUUGAAGGAUUUUAUUAAAGAAUGUGCUGCUGCUAGUGGCAUGAAUUAAUGUAGUCUCGCUAGUAUUCGUGAUUUGGGGUAAGGAUCGAAUUGAACAAUUAUAUUUCUAUUAUUCUUAUAUUCGAAUCCAGUGAUAUUGUGGUGGUUUUAUGAUAAUAUUCAAUUGUUUUGUGCCUCAAAUCAGCCAAUGAGUUGGGUAUGUGCUGGGUAUAUGCCGUAUGGGCUUGUUGUUGAAUUUGCUUGACCUUGGAUGUGAUUCUUGCCGUGUUUAUAAGAAAUAGACACAGGUCUUUGUGUGGUAAUAGAAUUGUCUAAGGUGCCUUACAAUAAAUUUAAGAGUCUUAAGUAACUAUGCUUUGUAACCUUAAACCUUUAUUUGUACGACUUGGUGUUCUUGGUUGUGAAAGAAUGUUAAAUGUUGACCUAUUUUCAUCGGUGAAGAUAAAUGAAGUUAGGGAAGGUUUGUAAUCACUAUAACCCUGACAAUUUUUUUGGUGGGCCGUGAUAAUUUUAUUCAUGGCAUGUACUUUGUUUUUAUCAGAAGGCCCUGUUUGCUUGUAGUCUCAAAUCUAGGGUAAUAUUUUAAAUAAGUUCUGCAAUAUAUGUUUUGCUAUUUUUCUUUUUUGUUUUUAUUUUAAUUAGUUUUAGUAUUACUUGGAGGGGAAUUCUGAUCUGCUGAAGUUUAUCAAGCUGGUGCAGUGGUGCAGCAAGCAGACCUUUAUCUUAAUCUUAUGAUUGUGCUAAGUGGAAUUUUGUGUAAGUUACAACAAUAUAAUUUUUUAAAGAGCUGACAAGACGCUCUCUCUUUUUUUUGGAAUGUUGAGCAAAACUUUUCUUUCUUAUUAGGUGUUUAUAAUAAUUCAUAGCAUGGGUUUUGUCAUAUUGGUUUCAAUGCAUUGAUUUGAUCUUGGUUACAACCCAUCAGCCCUUACUCCUCAUUCCCAGCAGCUUUUAAUGCCUUUUUUUUAAGCAUUGUACUUUGUUUCAUGAUGAAAUUUGUUUAUAUGACGCAAAGUUGAGGACACGGUAAUAGUCAUUAUUUUAAUUUAUGCAACAAAGAUCAUUAUCCAUUAAAUUUUAUGUUGUUGAAAUAUUUAGAUUUUGUAAAUUUUGUUGUAAGAAAUGAGGGCUCUUGAUCCCAUCCCUUUAUUAUAUACAAUUUUUUUUCACUCUGUCAUUCAUUUAUUGUGUGUUAGAGGUAUUAGUCAUGUGCAAAAGUAAAGAUCUUUAUUUUGUUAUUUUUGUCAUCUUGUGCUUCAUUGGUAUAAAUGAGGAAAAAAAAGAAUAAAAUAAAAUAAAAUUAUAGUUUGUGCAUGAAUUCCACCAUAUAUGAAAUGUUUAAUAGAUUAAAAAGUAAGGAGUACACAGUGACUUUGAAUAGCAGGUGGGGGAACUCAUUUUGUUUUAAAAAAAAUUAAUACAUAUUGAUAGAAUAAUUAUCCUUCACUUAAUUAUUUAAAAAUUUUAUUUUGGAAGAAUACAAAUGGACAGUCACCAAUGAAAGCGUAAACGACUACCAGGGGGCUUACAGAAAAAAUUGCUCCUAUUCUAAAAGUAGAUGGUCAGGACAAAGUUCCAACAACUUCAACUUAUGGAUUUGUCUCUUACUUGUAAGGUAAUCUCUUCUUGUAGGGUGUUUAAUUGAAUUAAAAACAGAAUAUUAUUUGCAUUAUAGAGUACAGGCAUAAAUUCAUUAUCUAUGUCAGUUCAUUCAUGAUUUUACUCCAAAUGGAGUAAUAGAUCACCAUUAAUUUAUUGAUACAUCGUCCAUGUUUGUUUUCGUCUUCAAUUUUUAUAUUACAAUAUCUAAUCUAUUUAGUAUUCGUAAAAAAACAUACGAGAAAAAGUUGGAAAAACACUUUAGGGGUGAUUGUGUACACUUUCGUAUGGCACAAAUAGCGUUAGGCUUUGUUUUUUAAGUGGACGACGUGUCCAUUUUUUGUGUUACAUCUUACUCAUUAAUAUAUUUUUGAGUUUCUUAUGGAAAAAAAAUUGAAAAAACACUUUAAGUGAAAAAAAUUUGUAUUUCAAUUUAUAUGUAACAGUGAAUUGGAAAAUAAAUUCUACCAAUAAUUAAAAGAAUACUUUUCUUUUAAUUAUUAAAAAGAUAAGGUAGUUACUCAUUACCCAUAUAAAUGGACAGUUUUAAUUUGUUCCAUAUCUAUACAACAGAAGAGCUUCAGACACGGUUUGCAGCGUUCCACGAUCACUUCCAUUCUAAGCAGCAGCGUCUUCCGUCUUUUUGCACACCAACAGCAGAUUCUAGAUGGCCAGAAGCUCAUCUGCCGCACUCUCGGGAUUUCGCUGCCAUCCUCAUCUUCAUCUCCACUACCUCCUCAGUGAUUAUCCCCUGGUUUUAUGCUCAGAAAUUAUGAUUAUUAUGUAUCUUGUUUUCAGAUUUGUCAAUACUUGUUAUAUUUUGAUUAUGCAUUAUGGACAUUUUUCAUAAGAUAGCUUAAUUUUGUGGUUUGUGUUGACGAUUUCCAUGUAUGGAUGUUUGGAUAGGUAAUUUCGCCUUCCAUGCAUUCUUCAUUCCUGCAUCCUGUGGGAGAAAAUUGGAAAAAGUGGUUUUUGAUGAGAAACGGGGAGAAGGAUGAGAUAUAUAUUUUUGAAGUGUCACAUUAUUUCAAAAACAAACCCCAAAUUUAAUUUCUCUUACCGAUCAUGAGUUAAAAUAUAAAAAUUAACGUUUACUCAUCACACUGUUAUAAGUAUCAAAGCAUUACUUAUAGAAAAAUUAUCGUCACCUAUCCUACAUUUGUGAUUGAAUAGUGGCACAAUUUUAAUUGGGAUAUUUAACAUUACUCUUUGUAAUUGUUUGGUCUUAUUUGAAGUUUGUAAAUUUUUCAUAACUAUGACUUCAACAGCAUAUUUCAGGUUGCAUUUAAUCGUUGCUAUAAUUAGGUACUUUGAAAUAAUUUAUUGGCCACGAUUACAGUCAUUGUUAUUAGUCACCCCUCUUUUUUCUCUUUUGGCCAACCAGCUCUUGGAUAUUUGGGAACCGAUGACAAUAGUUGGGAAAUUAUGUAAUAUUGGUGUGUUUGCGAAAUAAAUCAAGAGAUUUGCCUUGCCGAAGUUAAAAGAGAUAUUGUGGCCUGAAUUUUUUUUUUUUUUCUCUAGGGGCCAUGGCUCUCAAGGACAAGGCAUGAAUCAUGCAUUAUAAUUGCUCGAAAGGGUUAGUAAAAUAGCAAUCUAAAAUACCCAAGUUGGAUCUGCUGUUGAAUCACAAAAAGAACAUAAUUGGGAUAUGAAGUCAUGGUUGCAAGUGUUGGACCCUUAGGUUACGUUUGGCACGUAGGAUUGGAUUGAACUAAUUACUAAAAUUGGAUUGAAUUAUAUUCGAUUGGAUUAAACUGGAUUAUAUUAUAUAGUUCUAUGGUUAGUACAAUAUCGGAUUAAACUAUGUUAAAUUAUAUUUAAAUAAUAUUAAAUAGCAUUUAAGUUGGUAUUUUAAUAUUAAUAUCAAUUAUUCAUGAAAUUUCAUAAUCAUAAUUAAAAUAAAUUUAAAAAACAAUUACCAGGAAAAUUAAAUAUAUUGUAAAUAAGUUACUGGGUAGUCAUAAUACAGUAAACAAAUGAACAUAGAUAAAAAAAUUAAAUUUUAAAUAAUUUUUAUCAAAUUUUAAAAAAAAAUUAUAUAAAAUCAAUUAUUUAAUGGUAUUAUUAAUUUUCAUGAUUAUUUUUAAUAGUAUAUAACAAUGAUUAUUAAAUUUAAUACAAUCAAAUAAUGCAAUAAAUAAUUAAACAUUUAAUUUUAUCAAUAAAUUACUAAAUAUACAAGUGGUGAAAAUUUAAUCUCCAGAGUUAGUACAAGUAAAGGUAUUAAUUUAAUUAGAUCAUAGAUAAUAAAUAAAAAUAAGUUUUAAGUAAAUCAUAUUAAAAAUUAAUUAAUUAAUUAAUACUAGGUGUAAAUAAAAAAAAUGAUAUAAAUAAAAAUCUCAUAAAUGGACAACUUUUUUCUUUAAUCUUAUCCCAACUAAACCCAUGCGUAAAUUAGGAUUAUCAAUUCCAUGAUUUUAGGAUUAAAUUUAAAUUACUACCCCCUUAAUCCAAUCCAACUAAGCUUGCCAAACAUUGGAUAAAUAUUUAAUUCCAAAAUUAGUCUAAUCCCAUACUUAAUCCUAGAAUCCAAACAUGGCAUUAGCACCUUAUAUAACAAAGUGUCACUGAAAUACAGCAAAACGUUAUAAACAAGAACUUAUUUCUGUACAAAAUGUUAUUUACUUUUUGUGAACUUCCAAAUACCUACUAUAUGAUUUGCAAACCCUACAAAAGUCUACCUUGCAUGCUCUUUCUAACGUGAAAUUUGAUUUUUAUUAAAUUUUUGAUGUGUUCACUAAUAAAUAAUUGGAAUCUAAAAAAAUUAGAAAAAAAUAGAAUUAGAAUGAGCUACAAUAAAAAUGAGGAAUAACAAAAAAAAUGAUAUUUGUUGAGAUGAAUGAAACACAAUUGAAAUACUCUAUAUCGCUCUUAAUAUGUUCACUUUGUGAACAUAAAUUAGAAUUAGUUGUUAUAACUUAGUAAUUUAUCCUCAAUCAAUUAUUAUCAUUAUUACUAUUUGUUAUAAUAAUUGUAAUUAUUAUUUUUGAUAAUUUUAAUACUAAGAAAAUUAUUGUUAGGGGUGGAAACACCAUAUAGAGAAGGAACAAUUAAAUUUAUAAAAUUUAGUGGGGAUAAAAUAGUCACUUAAGACAGCAAGCGUCUCCCAUUCUCACCUCCACGAGCAUGAAAACACUAGUAAUCAUUCUUAAAUUUUGAUGGAAUCUGUUGCUUUUAUUCUAAUAACGAACGCAAAACCUAUGGAAUUAGUUGGAAUAACGAAUGCAAAACCUCUGGAAUUACAAUUGAAAUACGUCAACCCAAAAUGGAGAAAGCACAACUAAAAUUAGAGACCUACAAAACCAAAAAUAAACUUAUAGAAAACAAACCCGGUACCUAAUCUCAAUAAUUGGAAUCUCAACCAGUUAAUGGAAAUAUUCAACUCAAAAUUAGGGAAAAAUUAGAUGAAACACGUGAACCAUUGAGAGAGAAAGUAUGACGAAAAUUAGAAACUCAUUUAACGAAAAAUAAUAUUUACUUGGAAUCUAACCCAUGAUACUGGUACCUAAGGAACUUUAUAGGAAUAUGAAACGCAAAACCAGUGGACCAAUAAGUUGAAACAUGUGAACCAAAAAAUGAAAAACUAUAACCAAAUCUUGAGACUAAUCAAACCAAGCAAAAGUAAUAUUGAUAUUUAACCCAUAUAAUUGGAAUUUUACCAAAUUAGUUGGAAUAACGAAUGUAGAACUUGUGGAAUUACAAUUGAAAUACAUCAACAAAAAAUGGAGAAAGCACAACCAAAAUUAGAGACCUACAAAACCAAAAAUAAAUUUAUAGAAAAUAAAUUUGGUACCUAACCACAAUAAUUGGAAUCUCAACCAGUUAAUGAGAAUUCUCAACGCAAAACUAUAGGAAAAAUUAGCUGAAACACAUGAACCAUUAAGAGAGAAAUUAGAACGAAAACUUGGAACUUAUCCAACGAAGAAUGCUCGUGACUUGGAAUCUAACAACAAAUAUUGGUACUUGACUAAUUUAGUAGGAAUAUCAAAUGCAAAACUCAUUGACCAAUAAGUUGAAACAUGUAAACCAAAAGAUGAAAAAGUAUAACCAAAACCUGAGAAUAAUCAAACCAAGAAAAAGUAAUAUUGAUUUUUAACCCAUAUAAUUGGAAUUUUACCAACUUAAUUGGAAUAACGAAUGCAAAACCUGUGGAUUUACAAUUGAUAUACGUCAACCCAAAAUGGAGAAAGCACAACCAAAAUUAGGGACCUACAAAACCAAAAAUAAAGUUAUAGAAAACAAACCUGGUACCUAACCUCAGUAAUUGGAAUCACAACCAGUUAAUAGGAAUAUUCAAUGCAAAAUUGGGGAAAAAAUUAGAUGAAACACGUGAACCAUUAAGAGAGAAAGAACAACGAAAACUAGGAACUUAUCCAACAAAGAAUGAUAGUUACUUGGAAUCUAACAGUAAAUAUUGGUACUCGACGAAUUUAAUAGGAAUAUCAAACGCAAAAAUAGUGGACCAAUAAGUUGAAACAUGUGAACCUAUAGAUGGAAAAGAAUUACCAAAAUUUGUAACUAAUCAAACCAAAAAAAGUAAUAUAGAUAUCUAACCCAUAUAAUUGGAAUCUCGACAAAUUAGUUGAAAUAUUAAACAAAAAACUAGUGGAAUAAUAGUUGAAACACAUGAACCAAAUGUGGAGAAAGUUUAACCAAAUUUUGAAACUUAUCCAAUGAAGAAUGCUAGUUACGUGGAAUCUAACAACAAAUAUUGGUACUCGACGAAUUUAAUAGGAAUAUCAAACGCAAAAAUAGUGGACCAAUAAGUUGAAACAUGUGAACCUAUAGAUGGAAAAAUAUUACCAAAAUUUGGAACUAAUCAAACCAAAAAAAGUAAUAUCGAUAUCUAACCCAUAUAAUUGGAAUCUUGACAAAUUAGUUGAAAUAUUAAACGAAAAACUAGUAGAAUAAUAGUUGAAACACAUGAACCAAAUGUGGAGAAAGUUUAACCGAAUUUUGAAACUUAUCCAACGAAGAAUGCUAGUUAUUUGGAAUCUAACAACAAAUAUUGGUACUCGAUGAAUUUAGUAGGAAUAUCAAACGCAAAAAUAGUGGACCAAUAAGUUGAAACAUGUGAAUCUAUAGAUGGAAAAGCAUUACCAAAAUUUGGAACUAAUCAAACCAAAAAAAGUAAUAUCGAUAUCUAACCCAUAUAAUUGGAAUCUCGACAAAUUAGUUGAAAUAUUAAACUAAAAAUUAGUGGAAUAAUAGUUGAAACACAUGAACCAAAUAUGGAGAAAGUUUAACCAAAUUUUGAAACUUAUCCAACGGAGAAUGCUAGUUACUUGGAAUCUAACAAAAAAUAUUGGUACUCGACGAAUUUAGUAGGAAUAUCAAACGCAAAAAUAGUGGACCAAUAAGUUGAAACAUGUGAACCUAUUGAUGGAAAAGCAUUGCCAAAAUUUGGAACUAAUAAAACCAAAAAAAGUAAUAUCGAUAUCUAACCCAUAUAAUUGGAAUCUUGACAAAUUAGUUGAAAUAUUAAAUGAAAAACUAGUAGAAUAAUAGUUGAAACACAUGAACCAAAUGUGGAGAAAGUUUAACCGAAUUUUGAAACUUAUCUAACGAAAAAUAAAUUUAAUUGGAAUUUAACCCAAAAUAUUAGUGUUUAACGAGUUUAGUGGGAAUAUUAAACAUAAAACUAGUGGAUCGGAAAAUGGAGAUAAGCAAACCAAUUAGUGAGAAAGUUGAAUCAAAAUUAGGUAUAUGUGAAAUUAACUUGGAAUGUCACCUAAUAUAUUGAUAUUUAACCAAAAGAAUCGAGACAUGCUCAUUUUAAUUUUUUUAAACUUUUGUUGCAAUUAAAAAUAAUUUUUUCACUUAAAUAUUGUUUGUGUUAAAUAUUUACAAAAUUUCCUUAAUUUUUCCUGUUUCAUUUUAUUUUUUCUACAUUAAAAAUAAUUUUUUAAAAAUUAUUAAAUGAACAACCGGUAAAAUACCGGUUGUUCAAGUUUCCUUUUUACUGUUGAAGGGGCUGUAUUUUAUACAGCACUGUACUAUAGGAAGACUCAACUUAUUGACAUCUUCUCAUAUAACCUUCGAUCAAGUCGAUUCUGACCUGACGACUAAUUGGUACAUCACCGUUGUUCUCUAUACUCGCAUGCAUCGGAUCACAAAUCUCACUCCAAUUGUCGUCUUUCUUCGCCGUUUUAGCGCAUACUUCUUGAAUUUCCCGCAUUUCGUUCCCUCCUGUUACAAGUCUCCGGUCAGGUCAGUGAUUGAAUUUCCCGCAUCUCUAUCCCUCCCGUUUUCUCGCGUCGUUUCACUUCAAUUUCUCGUGUCUCCUUUCAGUUUAAGUGAUUGAAUCAAUUUUAUCGCAGUCAUAAGAGAAAUUAAGUAAUGCUCUUGGAUUUAAAAUUUUUUUGCUUUCGACUUUAGAUCUCGAAAGUCAAACUCUGCUACGAAUCCAUAGAUUCUCAAUGCUCAUAAUCUUAUUUGUGUUUGACCAGGUAACUGGAUCGUGAAAUUCGUCGUUUUGUAUCAAUUCAAGCUUUCGCGAGCUCAUGGAAUCACCUGGUGAGUUGUGGUGAAACGUUAUCGUUUCAAUUUUCGCUUAAUUCUUUAUUGCAUAUUUUUUUCUCUAAUGUUUCAGUUUAAUUUAGAAAAGAAAGAGGCCCCAAAAAGAGAGAGAGAGAGAGACUCUACCAUACUCAAUUCCUUGCUCAUUCUGAUUUGGCCUGAAUGUUGGCAUUGACUAUUAUUUGUUUUCAUUUCGAUUUAAUUCUCAUUUAGACAGUCUUUACUAACGGUCAAUAAUAGUUUAAGGAAAAUGAUCAUAGGGAUUCUGCAAUAAUCUUUCUGCAUUGUUCAAGUUAGUAGACAAUGAAUAGGAUGUUUAUGUUUACCUCAUUUUGAACCCUGAGGGCUUCGUUGAGUAGUUGAUUCAACAUAUCCAGCAACGGUUGAUGUGAGAACAGAAUGCCACUUAGAUAGGCUUAAACUGAUUUUGGAGGUUUGUAUUGGUUCUAUUGUACGUCUUGCUUACAAAUUUUUAAUUUUUAAUUUUGUAUAAUAUGCUCUUUGUUGGUAAAUCUCAUUUGACUUAGAAGAGAUAGUUUUAUCCCAACAGUGGGAUAAAUCAUUGAGAUGCAUGGCAGUGUGAAUAUAGUAGACAAAAUCAUUGAGACACAUGGUGGUGUGAACAUAGUAAACUUUGUCAAACACAGCUAAGAUAAACAAAUUGUUUCAUUAGCCUUUACCUUAUCUGCUGUGAUGAUUCAAAUUAAUGCUGUUUGGUAGGUUGCAAAAAACGAAAUGAGCUGUCUGUUCGUAUUAUUUAGUCAGAUCUAUUGCAAUAAGUUGAAGUUCAUUGUCACAUGGGUUGGGAGUAGCGUGGGCUGUGAGUAGUAGAAUGGAUUUAUGGAGUUGAUACAAGUGCCCAUAAUCUAUCAUGUCAUUCUAGGAUUAAAUGGAUUGCACAUUACUGUAAAGAUGGAGGUUAAAUUUAUAUAAUUCGGAUUGAUUGUAAAAUGGGAGGCAGAGAUGAGUUAGAAAAAGAAUGACCUGUGUCCUUUUUGAGCUGUUUCUAAAUCUCCCUGGUGUGCUUCAUGCUUAACACGUGUCUUUCCAAAUAAUUUUGCUUAACCUGUGCUUGUCUACUUCUUGUGCUAUUCUGUGCCUGGUCCUGAGCUGUGUUGGUAGAUUGACAUAAUUUUGCUCUGCUAAAUGUAUAACUUAUUAAUCAGAGUCCUGUUAUUAUGGUUUGACACUACUGACAUAUUGUGUUGGUAUUUAUUUGUACUUCCCUUGGUUGAAUUAUUUGCUGUCUCCAUGCAAUUCGAUAUGGUGCUACUUGGUUUUUGAUCAUCCAUGACGCUAUAUAUAUGUAAAGGAUGAAUUGAUUGUUUUGGCUUGUAUUCUCACAUUUUAUGAUUGAUCGAUGGAAAGGUUUUCAUGCAUUAAAUUCAACCUCACAAGCGUAAGAUUGACAGAUUGUGGGCAAAUUUUCAGGAAAAGAAACUAGACUUCAUGGAAGCAAUGAAGCUUGAAAUUGAACGUCUGCAGCUGAAUCUUUCUGCAGCUGAAAGGGAUAGAACUUUAUUGUCAAUUGGAACUGAUCCUGCCUCUAUAAAUCCAAAUGUAUUGCUUGAUGAAUCUUACAUGGGAAGACUGUGUCGAGUAGCAAACACUCUUGCAUUACUUGGCCAAGCUUCCCUAGAAGAGAAAAUUGUUGGUGCAAUUGGCCUUGAGAAUAGUGGUGAUAGUGUUUUAGACUUCUGGAAUAUUACUAGAAUCGGAGAGAGUUGUUCUGGUGGUGGGUGCGAGGUUUGUGCAGAAACUAAGGUGCCUGCUCUUGCUUCCUCAACUGCAACAUCUGUUGGAUCUUCACAAUCCCCUUUGUUGUGUUCUCAAUGUGAAAGAAAAGUUUGCAAAGUUUGUUGUGCAGGAAGAGGAGCUCUACUGUUUUCAAAUUAUAAAUCAAGGGAUGUGACCAACUACAAUGGCUUCUCAAGUCAGAGUGGAUCAAGCCAUGGAAGCCAAGUUGAUGUAGCUACCAGUCGUUCACUAACACUGGAUGGCGUUAUCUGUAAACACUGUUGCCAUGAGAUGGUGCUUGAUGCAUUGAUGUUGGACUAUGUUAGGGUCUUGAUUAGGUUGCGAAGAAGUUCCUGUGCAGACAACGCAGCAUACAAUGCUUUGAAUGAGGUUGUUGGAUCCUGCUUAAAGGAUAGUCUUUCUGAGAGGAUUCAGUCUUCCGAU
rnacentral:lncRNA from 1 species